rnacentral:lncRNA from 1 species
GCAGUAAUAUAUGUGUAGGCGAUACUUGUAUGUCCAAUGAGAAAAAAGUCAAGAAACAAGAGGAGAAACUACUGUUAGGUUUGCUUUGCAAGGAAUGGCCAGCGCAACUAUUAAGUCCAAUAACAUCUCCACAAACUACAUACACCAUCUGUCCAACAAGUAUCCUCCUCCAUUUUCCAAUGGCCAAACCAAUCCCUUCACCUCUCUAUGAAAAAAUUCCCCAGAAGAACACACUCCAUAGAGCCUUGGACCUCACCAUCUUCUUCCUUCUUCUCUCUCUCCUUGCUUAUCGUCUCCUUUCCCUCAAAAACAAUGGCUUCACUUGGCUCCUCGCCUUCCUCUGUGAGUCAUGGUUCACCUUUAUUUGGAUUCUUAACGUCAGCACCAAAUGGAACCCUGUGUCCUACAAAACAUACCCUGAACGUCUUCUACAAUGUUAUCGGUAUCCAAUAAUGCUCUUAGUAAAACUCUUCGUGUGCUUUGGUGUUUUUUUCUGCCUUCAAAUUUUAUAUAUGACUAUACUUAUGAUUUUCUGAACAGAGUUGAUGAGCUUCCUCCAGUGGACAUGUUUGUGACAACUGCAGACCCCAUGCUGGAACCCCCUAUCAUCACUGUAAACACUGUCCUCUCCUUGCUGGCAGUUGACUAUCCAGCUAACAAGCUUUCUUGCUAUGUGUCCGAUGAUGGGGCUUCCCCUCUCACCUUCUACGCUCUCCUUGAAGCAUCCAAGUUUGCUAAGCUUUGGGUUCCUUUCUGUAAGAAGUAUGGUAUUCAAACUAGAGCUCCCUUUAGAUACAUCUCCAGAGAGUUGUUACCAUCCCAUGAUAAUUCAACGGAGUUCCUACAAGAAUACAGAAAGAUAAUGGUAGGCGCAUUAUUCCUAGUAGGAACCAUAAGUGGUCCUUAAUUAUUUUAGUUCAACUUGGUGCAAUUAGUUAUUUAUUUAAUAACAAUGAUUAGAAUGCAGAUGAUCCUGAAUCUAGAAUUUUCUUCUCCAAUCUAUUGACUAUCUUUCUUUUUUUGUCCUUUAUAUAUAUAAAAUCUCCUUUAAAGAAAAAAAUAAAAAUAAAAAUCCACUAGCAAGCAAGUUCAUGUCCAAGUUACGUGUCCAAUUUUCUUUUUCUUCAUCCCUCUGUAGGGCGAAUAUGAAGAGCUUAGACGAAGAAUUGAAGACGCAACCCUGAAGUCAAUAUCAUAUGAGUUUAGUACUGCAGAUUUUGUCGCUUUCUCAAAUAUAAAAAAGGGAAGCCAUCCAACUAUAAUCAAGGUAUGUUUAAAGAUAUAACUAGAUUUGUUUACUCAUUAUUACCGUUAUUAGGUCUAUUUGGAUUGCUUUCUCAUAAGCUAAAAAACAAAUUUUUUAAGUUCAAUAAAAGAUUUUAUGUCUGAUUAAUUUUAUACUUAUGGUUUAAGAAAAAGCUUAAUAUAAAAGUCAUGGAAAUCUUAUUUCUUAUAAAACCUUACACAAAAAGUCAUUUUAUGUUUAAUACAAAUCUUAUGAUAUCAAUAUUACUUUUUAAAAAUUAUAACUUUAGCUUCAACUUUAUUUUAUAGGUAGAGAUUAAAAGAAACAAACAAUCUCAAACGGGUCGGAAUUGGUAUAGAACAAAGGACCACUUAAAGCAUAACAGAUUAGAAUGAUAGUAUAAAACUAUUUGUUUUUGUCUUUUUCUAUAUUAUAAAAAAAAAUAACUUUCUUUAAUUAAUAAAAAAAUAAAAAGAAACAAAUAAUCUCAAAUAGGUUGCAAUCGAUAUAGAACAAAUGACCACUUAAAGCUAACCAUAGGAGAUUAAAAUGAUAGUGUAAAACUAUUUGUUUUUGUCUUUUUCUUUCUAUAUUAUAAAAAAAAAAUAACUUUCUUUAAUUAAUAAAAAAUAGUCAUGCCAUUAAAAAAAAGUUUUAUUUAUUUGUAUUUUGAUUUAUACUCUAUUUCUUUGUUCUUGUACUUUAUUGUAUUUAAAUUAUAUUUCUUUAUAUUUACGUUCAAUGGUAUGGUUAGAUUAAAAGUUCAAUACGAUACUAAAUUCAACAAGCUUGCCAUGAGCUUUAUUUAAGCUAUAACUAUUCGGUUACGACAUGAGAGAGCUAGGGAGUUGUGGUGAAGGAAGUAUUUGACAACAUUUCUAUAACCACGGAUGAGACUUUGUAGGUUAUAUUGGAGAACAAGGAGAGCCGCUCUGAUGGACUGCCACAUCUAGUCUAUGUAUCCAGAGAGAAGGAUCCCAAGCAUCCACACCAUUACAAAGCCGGUGCCAUGAAUGUUCUGGUAAGGAAGCUCCCUUGAAUUAAUAUAAUUACUGAUCUCCCUCUUCUUCUGAUUGUUUCUUGAUAAACAGACCAGAGUCUCUGGAGCUAUGACAAAUGCUCCUUUCAUGCUGAACGUAGACUGUGAUAUGUACGCCAACAAUCCACUGAUUUUUCAUCAUGCAAUGUGUUUGCUCCUCGGUUCCAAGAAUGAACAGGACUGCGGGUUUGUUCAGUCUCCACAAUGCUUCUAUGAUGGACUAAAGGACGACCCAUUUGGAAAUCAGCUAGUAGUUUUGUAUAAGGUAUGCCAAAUUUCAAUAGCAAAGAGUGAUCUCUUCCAUACUAUAGAGCACACGUAGUAGAAGCCUCUUUUAUUUAUUUUUCAUUAAUUGAUAUGUUUGUUGAAUCAGUAUCUGGGAAGUGGGAUAGCAGGGCUUCAAGGACCUACGUACUCUGGAACGGGAUGUUUUCAUAGAAGAAAAGUUAUCUAUGGGUUAUGGCCAGAUGGCAGGAUGGAGAUUAAAGGAAGAAGUGGUAUGCAGUCAAUUUAUUUGUCUUAUGUAUCAUUCUAAUUUUCUUAGGGGGAUCUUAAAAUGUUAUAUGAAACUAAGCAUUACAAUUUUCUACUUCUUGGUAGGAAAAUUAACUGAUGAGAGAAUACAAAAAACAUUCGGAAAUUCAAAGGAAUUCACCACAACAGCUGCAAGGCUCUUAUCCGGGUUGAGCGGGAUUUCGCAUUGUCCAUAUGAUCUUUUGAAUCGGGUUGAGGCAGCACAAGAAGUUGCAACUUGCAGCUACGAGUAUGGAACUAGCUGGGGUACAAAGGUGAGCUGCAAAUAUUUAGAACAACAAGAAUAGCACGUACCUCAAAUAAAAUCUGAAGUUGCAAUGAUUAGCACUUCCCUGUUAUUUGAUUAAUUUAGCUGUAAGUUUACAAGAUUGCUAAAGAUGAUCCCCUCUUGCUUCAUGGCAUAGGCAUUAUAUAGCCUCUCCCUCUGUCACUGCUUCACGCUUUGGUUCUGCUUUAUGGACUUUAAGACGCAUGGUGAUAAAGAGUCAUUGAGCUCAACUUUAGGGGCAGGUUGGUUAGUUAGGUCAACCUACAGGUCCGAGGUGGGUUGUCUUUCUUUUUGGUCCUUGCUUUGGGGUGAGGUGCUUUUGUGCACCUUCAGUAUCCCCCUUCCCCCCUUCCAGCUUUGAGUUUUUCUUUCUUGGAAGAGGUUAGAGCCUUUUCUUUUUGGGUUGUGUGCUAAUGAUGUUUAGGCAGUGCUAGUGCAAUUUUCAAUGGCGGUAUACCCAUUUUGGUUUCCUCCGUUUUGAGGCAGUUUCUUCCACUAAUCUCAUGUUUGAUGGUUGAGAUUUGUCCACGUGCCGCAUCCUUAGCCUUUCCUCAAUUGAGAGUUUUCUCUUUCAAAUCCUACGCUAAUUAUUAUUUCUUCCUUCAAUAGUCGAUAAGUAUUAUAUCUCCCAUUUUCUUUCUUCAUUUAUGGUUUUCUUCUUCUUCUUCUUAUAUUCCUGUUCCACCAUGUUGAAGAAAUAAAAAAGGAUGAAUGCCUCUGGAUCGAUUGAAUAGUUUCAUGCUAAGUUUAAUAUCCUACUGUUAGUGGGACUUUGCUUCAUGGAUGAUGGGGAUGUAAUCCUGGCCAAAGGGAGUCUAGUUGAAGGUGAGAUGUUCUUGCCCAAAAGCAACUUCGAGGCUGGGCUUUGACUUCCACUUCUUCCAUUGUUUAGAAGCUUAGUGUGUCAUCUUCGACUUGUCUCGAACCAACUAUGUAUUAACAUCGUUCGUUUGAUCAUGUCAAUGAUCGUGUUAGAUUACUUAAGGGGUUUGAAUAUUUCAAUGAGGGAUGUUAUGUACAUCUAUACUAUGAAGUAGUCUCACAUUCCUCAUGAAUGGUACUUGUUCGCUUGCUUAGGUGUGACUGGCUUCAUCACCGGGGCACCCUUGACCAAUAAAGACCUGAAUUGUGGUAUUGUUGCCAUUUUGGCUGAAUGAAAGUUUGGACCUUUUGAACCCGAUGACCUUCCUAGGGUUCCAGAACACAUGACAUGUCACAUUAGUUUUUAGUUUUACUUUUCCUCUUUUCUUUCUGAAAGGCGAAUCUUAAUAAUGGACUACACCUAGAGGGGGGUUGAAUAGGGUUGAAUUAUAAAAAAAAAUGUCCCAACAAAGAUUACCUAAUUUUAGAAAUUUUCAAUGUCAAUGAACUUUUCUUUCAACAACUUUUCAAUAAAACAUAAAAUCCAUAAGCAAGUAUGUAUGCACCAACACUCUCCUAAUAAUUUAUAAAUGCAAUUAACAUGCAAAUGCUUCAACACUCCUCAAAAUUAAUUCAAAAGAACAAUUAUCUCCUUAAUUCAUUUCAAUUUACUACAAGAUAUCAUUAACUAAAAUGAACAAAAAAAUUAUUGAAGAUAUUCCAUGGAUAAUCACACUUAUUUCAGCUUAGAUAUCUUCCAUUUAACAUAUAUGCCCAAGUGACCAAUGAUAUCAAAAACUGAAAAUAAAUUAAAGAGUAGAAUGAGAGAAUGAGACAACUGACACCAGAUUUUAACGUAGAAAACCUUCGAAGAGAUAAAAAACCACGAGCCUAUAAUUGAUAAAAAAACAUCCACUAUGAAGAAUAAAAAUUGAAUACAAAGUUUUACUUAACUCAAACCAAUCAAUCCCUUCUCGGAACAUUUAACUAGUACCUUUUACUUUCAGCUUCUCACCUUCUUCUUCAGAAGCACACUUGGAGUCCACACCAAGAUCGAUCUUGACCUCUUCUUGAAUCCACACAAGAAGAAAAUGAGUUUUUACACAAACCCACAAAUAAUGAGAGAUGAAUGCUUAAGGAAUCAACCCAUUUUUCUUUUCAGAAAAUCCAUUUAAAAUUUUUCUUGGAAAACUUGGAUGAGAUUUUCUUAGUAUGCAAACAACCUCAAAAAUGGUAAGGAAUGAAGAGCUCUCUUUCAUGACUGCUAAAAUCUCUCUUAACUAGAAAUGAGAGAAGUUUGUAUUUAAAAAGCAAAAGAAACCCUUAAUCUGAUGGCUGAAAUUUGAUCUUAAAAACAGAUUAGUUGGAUUGAUCUACCCCUACGCCUAGAUCGAUCUAGAAACAGGGGAACUUACUACUUUUAUCAAAAAUUAUUUUUCCCAACUUCCCUAACACUUUUUAAAAUAAUUCAAAGCAAUCAACAUAUUGAAAAAUAGUGUUGAUUCAAAUUCAUUCAACACACGCUUGGUUAUAUACCUCGACCUCUUAUCAAAGUCUUAAUCUUCAAAGGUCAAGUAGUUCAACCAACAUAUUGAAAAAUAAGGUUGAUUAAAUUCAUUCAACACACAUGCGACUACAUACCUCAACCUCUUAGUAAAGUCUUAAUAUUUAAAGGUCAAGUAGUUUGAGAAGAAUUGAAAAACUGAGUUAAGAAACACUUAGGAAUUUUGUCCGGAAUUGCCAACCUAGCUAAACACUCAAACUUUCCUUCUUUGUAGAUUCUCCUUGCCUUUACUUUUUCUUGUAGUGAUAGAGGAUACCAAGGUUCUAGAGAUUAGUGAUUCCUAUUGAGCUGAGAUCACUGGUGAUUCAAAAUCGACAUUGCUUUAAUGACUAGAAGGUUCUGUUGAAGCCAACCCAAUUGUAUGCCAGUUUCAUCUCCUUGGGUUUGAUUUUUCCUACCCCCAACCUUUCUUUCAUCAAUUCGAAGGAGUGACUUCUUUGGAAAAAAAAAUUCUUGCUCCUCACACCUCCUUUAGUAGCUGAUCCUAUAAAGAGGAAGCGUGAGCAACCUUUGUUGAAACAAUCUUCUUCGGAUGGGAAGUCUCAAAACAUUGGGUCAAACACUAGGGGCUUGUUGAGUCACUGAAAAUCUCAAAUGAUAGAGCAGGGCUCGUUCAAGUGUUAGGGUAACCCAUUCUUUUGGGACCUUGAAGAGUAAGACAUUAUUUUCCUCCACUUUGAUUGAUCUCAUUGUAAGUUUUGAAGAUGCAUAAGAUUCUACUAAAUCUAAAGCUCCAAGAAUGAUAGGUGGAGCAAUGGAGAAAGACACUUCAGAUUUCAGGGACAUAAGGAAGGUUGUGGCCAUGUUGUCCUCUAUUGUAGUAUAUGACUCAUAUUGAGUGAGAAACAUAUGUGGAGAGAAAAAAAAAUGGCAAAUGCUAGAGUGGAGUGUAGUGUAUGGUUUGGGGGUAUUUUUGGAAUUUCAAUACCUAAGGGUUAAUAUAAAUACCCUUUUAUGUAACCUUAAUUUUGAUAUAGUGAAAGUCUUCUUCCUUGUUCCUGUGGACGUAGGCAUUCUACCGAACUACAUUAAAAUCAGUGUAUUUUCUUUUGUUUUCUCAAAUCUCUUCAUUAGGAACCCUCCCUAACCUAAGUUGGGGGAAAAGAUUCUGAGUUUGAGAUGCUUUUUGUUGGUGGGGAUUUACUUUCGGUGGUUGAGGUAGCUAAGUGGUCAACUCUUCCUAGUGAUGCCAAAUUUAUUUCGGGUUUUUCUAAUCCUGAGGUGGUAGAUAAAUCAAUUAGGCUGAGCUAUUGGGUGCGAAUUGAAGUUUUUGUUUCCUUUUCCCUAUGUUUUUAUGUUCCAUGUGGGUCAUUGAGUUGGCUUAUAGUUUCUGUUUUAUGUGUUUUCCUCAUCCAUGUAGGCCUUAUAGUUCAACCUGGUUAUUUGUCAACAUCUUAGUUCGUCUCGACUAAACUAGGUCGGGUUGAGGGACCAAGUGAGAGUAUGUCCUCCCAAGUGGAGGUCAUCUCAAAAGAGUUGGUCAUGUUAAAUCCAAGUUGGAGGUUGAGUGGAACAUUAUGACCAAUUUCCAGCAAGAGAUUGUGUCUCUUAGGGUUUGUUUUAGGGACUUGGAGUCUUGAUAGAAGUCACUUUCUAAAGAAAAAGAUGACUUGAGCAAUCUUUUGGAGGAGAUUAGAUGAGCCAAGAUGAUGUGCGAAUUGGACCUAUUCCACUUGCAAGAAAACUGAGACAAAGAGAAAGAAAAAGUUUGUGACGAAGUUUAUAUGCAACUUACUAGUGACUUGUUGGCCCGUGAUAAGCAGAACCAGAAUGAGGGGUACGUUCUUGGUUAGAGUAUUUGAAGCUUGGAAUUGAGUCUUUUGACCCUCUUGAGUUUGAUUUUGGUAGUAAAUCUGACGGGUCUUCCGACCAGUUCCUUAUGAAUGAUCAUUUUCCGGGUACGAAUGGUGGUCUUACAAAAUUGGAUUUAGAGGUGAACUUUUUUUUUUUUUUUUUUGAAAUCUUAUUGACUGUAAGGAUUUUGGUGUUUCAAGGAGCUUGGGUUGGCUGGUGGACAUCAGGAUGAGCCAAGAAAAAGACAAGGUAGUUGCAAGAGCUUAGGUGUUGUUCAUGAGGUAGUUAUUGAGGCUUUUAGAUCGAAGGAAGACGAGGCAACGAAGAAUGCUACUCUUUCUGUUUCCUUAGUCACUAACUCUUCUUAAUUCAAGGGUGAUACCUUAGAGAUUGACAUUAAUACUUCUUCAAAGGAGUCUGGGCUUUUGUUGGAGAAAGAUUCUUUUAGUCUUGAAAUUGCUUUACCACAUUAAUACCUCUUCAAAGGAGUCUGGCUUUUGUUGGAGAAAGAUUCUUUUAGACUUGAAAUUGCUUUACCAUUGGAAACCUGACAAUACUUUGUCCUAGCCCUCUUUCUCCUCUCCGUUUUUGUUUUGGAAAUGUUUGCCCUGUUUUAGACUAUAUGAGAUAUUUCCUUUGUAGUGAACGAUAUGCUAAAAACAAAAUUUUCUUUUGGCAAUUCUAUGUGUUGUUGUGUAAGUUUGGGAAAGAGAUGAUUUUGUGUUGUAGGUAGAAUGCUCUCACUUCUUACCAAGAGGUAGGGUUGAACUAUGGUAUGGUCCUACUAGGGGCAGGUACAAUCAACAUGGGUUGGCAAAUACAGUCGAAGCUCUAUAUAAUGACCAUUCAAGCCUUUUUAAUUUUUUGGCUAUGUUAUGGUGUUGCGGCUUAUAUGCUUGCUUGUAUUUAAGCUUUCCUGGAGGUUGCUUACCCAAAAUUUCCCAUUCUUACAUUGCAUAGUUAAGUUAAAGCGAACCAAAUUUAUUUAAUACAUAAUCAGUUAUGCAUAGUACUUUUUAAGGUGUAUCCGGUUCCAAGGUUUAGGUAUGGGUGUCCCAUCUGGUUGUACUAGCCAACAUGCUUCAGUUCGAUACAUUUUAAUAACCUAAAGCGACCUUCCUAAGUUGGCACAAACUUGCCUUCAUCCGCAUGUCUAUUUGGAUCAUGUAUAGCUCGGAGUACCAGAUCUUCCCUUUUAUAUGGGUUGAUGUUGGACUUUUUGGUUGUAUGCUCUUAACAGUUGUUGGUAUAUGCAACUAUUUGAAUGACCACCUUCUCAUGCCUUUCCUCCAGGAAGGUGGUGGUUUCGACCAGAGUCCUUUGUUUGUCUUUCCCUUCAUAAUAUUAUACAAAAAUGGUUGACAUUCCUAUAUUAAUUGGUACUAACCUCCGCUUCGUAGGAGUUUCCUUAGUUGUCAUGAUGUGAGGUGUGGCCCAGUAUGCCCAUAGGAUUACUGGUAGCUUUUCGACCCAUUUGGCUUUAGAUAUUUCCAAACUUUUUUUGAGUGCUGCGAGUAUUGUUCUAUUACUAAUUUCUACAUGUCCAUUACCUUAGGGGUAAGCCAGAGUUGAUAAAUGAUGAUGGAUACCCAAUUCUUGGCAUAAAUCCUUGAACUCUAAGGAUUUAAACUACAUUCUAUUAUUGAUAGUGAUCUCGAUCUUGUGGACUGCUGAACCGACAAACGAUGUUCUUCUAGAGGAAAGUGUGGAUGUUCUUCUCUCUUAUUUGAGAUAAUGGUUCUGCUUCAAUCCACUUUGUGAAAUAGUUAGUGGCAACUAGGAGGUAGUGUCGUUGAGCUGUUGAUAUAGGUAAUGACCCAAUCAAGUCUAACCCCUAAUGAACAAAGGGCCAAGUUGUACUAGUCGGGUCAUAUUUCUAUGGUGGUAAGUGUCGUAGAAGGGCAUACCUUUGACACCUCUCACAAGCCUAGACAAAUUGCAUCACAUAUUUUUGCACGUAAGGCCAAUAGUAUCCCAGACUAAGGGCUUGGUGCAUCAACAUUCUUUUGCCAUAGUGAUUUCCACAUUGCCCUUGAUGUAUUUCUGCCAAGAAAUACUGGGAUUCGGGAUGUGAUAAACAUUGGAGGUAGGGACCUUGUGUGGAAUGUAAAUAUAACUAUUUAUCAAUAAUUGUAUAUUGCAAGGCUUAAAAUCAAAGUUUAUGUGCAUUUUUUUUUUAGUCCUUUGACAACGUUCCAUUUUUUAAGAUAUUUAUAGGAAUGGUGUCCUCCAGUCUUCUUCAUUGAUAGAGUUACUGCAGUUUACACGCAAUUCGCAUCUGUAUAUGCUUGGUUGCUCUUGAUAUUCCAAGCUGACACUUUGCUGCUUGUCCACCCUAAGAUGUACUGCUAGGUUAGCCAAUAGGUCAACGAUCACAUUUUUCUCCCGCGGAAUUUGUUCAAUAUUGAAUUUGUUGAAUGUUUGUUUGAUUUCAUUGACUUUAGAUAGAUAGGCUCCCAUUCGAUCAUCUUUGGCCUCAUAUUGAGGCAGGACCUGACAUACGAUAAGUUUGGAGUUCCGAGUACACUUGGAUUUUUCGGGCUCCUAAAAGUUGAGAUACUACUAAUCGACGAAGUAAGGCUUCAUAGUUUGAUUCAUUUUUGGAUGCUUCGAAUCCAAGUACAAUGCUUUUGUCUGUACUUCCGAAUGGGGUUUCCAUGUGGAUUCCAAUCCUUGCACCAUGUUGGUUUGAAGCCCCAUCUACAUAGAGAACCUAAACCUCCUAUGGCCUUGGUUUGUCUCUGGUUUAACUCCUUUUGUGAACUCAACCACAAAGUCUACUAACACUUGCUCUUUUAAUUGUAGUAUGUGGUUUAUAGCUCAUGUUGUAUUCGCUUAACUCCAAAAAUCAUUGUAGCAUCUUUCCAGAUGGGUCAAGUUCGCAGAGGACGUUUCUGAUUGGUAAGAAGUUAAUACGAUGAUGGUAUGCACUUGAAAGUAUGAUUGAAGCUUUCAAGUAGCAACCAAUAAGGCCAGGGUUAACUAUUCCAAUUGGGGAUAACUGAGCUUAGUGUUCAACAAUGCUUGAAAGUAUGAUUGAAGCUUUCGAGUAGCAACCAAUAAGGCCAGGAUUAGCUAUUCCAAUUGGGUAUAACUGAGCUUAGUGUUCAACAGUGCUUUGCUUACAUAGCAGAUUGGUGUUUCUUUAUUUUUUUCGUUUUGAAACAAGAUAACACUUACGACCUGCCUAGAGAUUGCUAGGUAGAUGUAUAAUUUCUCAUGAGGUUGGGCCAUUGAGAGGGGAUUGACGGGUGUGAUAGGUGGUUUUUUUAGUAGUUUGAAGGCUUCAAUACAUUUCAUGUCCUGCAGCAAUUUUUUUUUUUUUUUUUUAGAAAAACAAAAAUGGGUUUACACUUGUCAGUUGAUUAGGAUAUGAAACUAGAUAAGGCUACUAUUUUUUCGGCUUCUUGUACCUUAUUCUGUGUAGUUGGGAUCUUCAUGUUGUGUAUGGCACGGAUUUGGUCCAGGUUUCACUUAAUGCCCUGCCCUGUUUCCAAAUGCCCUAAAAAUUUUCCACUGGCAACUUCAAAGAUGCAUUUAAUUGGAUUAAGCCAUAUCUCGUGCUUGAGUAUAGUGGCCAAUACUUCGGCUAGGUGUUGGGGAUGAUCAUUGGCCCUUUUACUUUUUACCAUCAAGUCGUCCAUGUAGACCUCCCUUCCUAUUUGUUACUAGAAUACUCAUGCCAUUUUACGCUGAAAGCCAUUACCUUGUAACAAUAUGUUCCUUGCUCCGUAAUUGAGACAGUUUUUUCCACGUUGUCAAGGUGCAUGGGAUUUUGGUUGUAUCCACUGUAUGCAUCUAAGAAGGUCAAUACCUCGUGCCCAACGACGGAAUCCACUAGCUGAUCGAUACAAGGUAUUGAGUAAUUGUCUUUUGGACAAGCCUUGUUGAGGUUAGUGUAAUCUACACACAUCAUCCAUUUCCCGUUUUUCUUUGGUACGAUCACGACAUUGGCCAGCUAGGUUGGGUAUUUGACUUCUCGUAUGAUGGCAAGUAGCUUUUUUUAACUUUUCUCAUAUGAUUUGAUUUUUAAAUGGUGCAAAACGACUUUGUUUUUGCUAUAUCGGUGGGAAAUGGGGUUCGACAUUGAGCUAGUGAUUAUAGACUUGCGGAUUUACCCUUGGCAUACCCUGUGGUUGCCAAGCAAACACGUGCGCAUAGGCUCGUAAACACUCUUCUAGGCUUUCCUGCAAAGCGUCAUCUAUUACUUUUCAUUGUUGCUUUGCUUUCCUAUCACGAUUUCCCAAGUGGGCUUUGCUACUUUCUAUCGUUUUUGAUCUUCUUUUGGCUUGGUCAGGGAGGAGGAAUUUCUUUAAUUGCUAUUUGUCAGGAGUUACCAAGGGUAGUGGUCUCACAGUUGUAGGUAUUGCAUACAUUAUAGCUAGAUGGUAAUGCCAAGCAGUGAGCUGGUUUCCUAAUACUUCCUGUAUUCCCUUUGGAGUUUGCAUCUUAAUCUUUUGAUGCUAGGUCAAGGUCACCACAUGGGUGGCAUGUAUCCAGGGUCGACCUAGAAUGGCGUUGUACGGGGAAGUGGAGGUUUCAAUUAGGAAGUGGGUUGGGGUUUUUGGUUGAUUUGAUCACCACCUCCAAGGUUAGUUUUCCUGUGCUUGGGUGGUUUUGCCAUUGAACCCAACCAAAAUGGUCUAACUUGGUUCCACUUUUUGAUGCUCUUGGUCCAUUAAUUGGGAGCAACCAUAGAAAAAGAUGUUGGAACUCCUAGUGUCAACUAGAAUCCUUUGGACUUGGUAUGACCUAAUAUGUAGGGUGACUACCAAUGGGCCACUGUGGGGGAGAGACGUGUCUAAGGUUUUGGGCAAUGAAUUCUAUCACUGGUUCCCAUAUCCUGUUGAACUAUUAUACUCGAGCACACUAAUGUGGUAGGUUGAAUAUGGUGUUGUUGCUGGACGACUCUUUGGCCUACAUGCAUAACAAAUCAAUUUUGGGUCUUGUUACUGUAGGUGUCGAUAAUAUGUAUAGAUGGUGCCAGGUUGUCAUCUAUUUUGAGGGAUGGUAGUUCAUCUUGUUCCUUUGCCUCAACCGAGGUUGGUCAUCGUGGAUCAUAUUUCUUUUCGUAUUGUUGUAAUCCUUUGCACCACACUAUAUUCUCAAGAUAUCGAUGUAGGGCCUUACAAUGAUUUGUUUGAUGUCCAUGAAUGUGAUAGUAAUGGAAAUCUUGGAUUUAUCUUGCUAUUCGGAAGGCUAGACGGGUGAUGGAGGCCAUCAGAAGUUCGGGUCACCUUUUAGUUUAGCCAACAAUUCUUGAGGUGAGGUCGUGAAUUCUACUCGGGUAGCGGGGGAUUUUUUUAUUGAAUCUUGUUUGUUUUCUUAGGUCCAACUCCUCAAUUUGAGGUAUGUUUGACUUGUGUGAUCUUCCUUUUGUUAUCUACGACCCCUAACUCUUCUUCCAUGUUGGCGUAUCUGUUUGCUUUCGCUAAGAGUUCCUCCAUGGCAGUCAACCCGCUUUUCGCCAGUGAUUGUAGUAGAGGGCUUCUAGGCUAUAAAGCCUUUCUGAAGGCAACAAUUACCGUCCGCUGGUCAUUGCUUUCCACUUGGACCAUUUUAGUGAUGAACUAGUGGGUGAAUUUUUGCAAUGAUUUCGUUGUUGCUUGCUUCAAGUUGAACAGAUAAUCUACACUUCGUCUCGUUGCAGGCAUCUUAGGUCAUAAACUAGUCACACGAUUGCGUGAAGCUGUUUAUGGAAUGCAGUGGAAGCUAAUGGAACGACGUUAGGGAUGAUCCAUUCAAGCUGGUGGGAAAGACUUGGUAGAGCAGUCCCUCUCGAACAUCCACAAGGGCCAUGAGUUACUGGAAAUGAUAUAUGUGUCACUGGUUCCAUCAUAGAGGUUGAAUUUUGGCGGGACGUAGUGGGCACAGUUCUUCUUGGAACAAAUGUAAUGCAAGAGAGAAUUUAAAUUUAUUUCCCCAGCUUUGAGUGGCCUUGGCGAGUGAAUUAGGUUGCAGUUUGAUUUGUUGUACUUCCGUUGCCAAUUUCUUGUAUUUUCGUUCAAGAUCCUCUGGUUUUUGGGUAGGUUGAACCUUAAGAAUGGCUGUUCAGGUUGUUGAGGCGCCCUGCAUGCAGCUGAUCACACUUCCCUCUAAAACCUAGUCAUUUCUAUGAGGGGCUCCCCCCCACGUGUCCUUCCCAAACUCAAGACCCUUUGGUUGAUCAGGACAAACGUAUAACCCGUUUGGAAUCACUCUAUCUGGACUAAGUUAAGCUCCGUCUAACACUAGAAGUAAGAAAUUUUCCUUCUUUCACAAUGCCAGACAUAAUGGAUAGACCAAACUGAUUGACCUUUUAAACGGACUCACAAUGUUAAAUGGAAUAGACAAACCAAGUUGGUUGGACAUUUCAGACGGACAAAUCAAUCCAGUCAAGUCCUUAGGAUUUUUGACAUGUGUGGUUAACCACGCCUGAUGUCUGAACAUUGACCUAGUCGCUUGAUGUCUGAGCAUCGGACUAGACGCUAUUUACACCCAAAAGUCAAUAUCAAUUAAUUGUUACACACAAUCCUAGACAUUGGCAAACUAAAUGAACAGUUAGCUACACGGUCCGAGAUUUUGGCACAACAGUCAGCAAAUGGCACUAAUCAACAACCCUUACUUGAUGUGAUCGCCUAGUCCACACAGUAGUGACAACGUUGACAGUCUGCGCAAUCAUCAUUACAAGAUAAGGACGAUGUUAUUAACUCUAUAUAAAUCCCUCAAGAAGCACGAAUAAGGUACACACGCUCAUUCUCUCCCAUAAAAUAGUUAAAGUUAUCCUCAUUUGACUUAAGAUUCAAAGGGGUGUGCUUAGACCACCCGUCCAGACAUCUUUCUGUGUAGGAAAGAAGUCCGUCUGACUCCAGUAAAGUUGGACGAACUCCUCAACAAGUAUGAAUAAGGGAAGAAGUCCGCCUAACUCUAAUAAAACUGAACAAACUUGAAUCCAACUGGCUCGACAUCAACAAUUCUAGGUUGAUAGGUACACAUUGUUUAAAUUUCAAUGCAAUUGGCUUAUUAGGCUGUCUUGUCGAAUUAGAAUAUUUUCUAUUUGCUGUUGGUGUUCUUACUGCUGUCAUUCCAGCUUGUGAAGGAUUUGUGAUAGUUGGUUCUGCAUAGCAUCUAACUUGUCUAGGUUGUGCUCGGAUUUCCUUCCUCGUUUGCAAAUUCUCCAUUCAUGGCUUCUUUGCUCAUUCUGAGAUGCUAUUCUCAACAUCUUUUCCACAGACAAGGUCAUUGAAGUUGCAACGAUUAGUAAUAUCCUUUUAUUUAUUUAUUUAUUAUUAUUAUUAUUAUUAUUAUUAUUAUUAUUAUUAUUAUUAAUUUAGCUAUAUAAGUUUAAAAGAUUGCUAAAGAUGGUCCCCUCUUGCUUCAAGGUGUAGGCUUUAUAUGGCCUCUCCCUCUGUCACUCCUUUAGGCUUUUGGUUAUGCUUAUUGACUUUAAGGCGCAUGGGAUGAGAGUAGUUGAGCUCGACUUUUUAGGGAUAGAUCGGUUAGUCAAGUCAACCUGCAAGUCUCAGGUGGGUUGUCUUUCUUUCAGGUCCUUGGUUUGGAGUGAGGUGAUUUUGUGAACCCUCAAAGUCAAAGUCUCCUUUUUCCCUUUAGUUCUAAUUUUUUUUUCAUUAAAUAAGGAUUUACUUUUAUUUUUUAUUUUUGAAAAGAAACUGAACUAAACGUUACAUUAACCUUACUAUAACCCUAAAAUGUCUUGGUAAUUACGUGGCUAUCCAUGUUCAGAUUGGUUGGUUAUAUGGAACCACAACAGAAGACGUCCUCACAGGUAUGAGGAUACAUGCAAGAGGUUGGAAAUCCACAGAUUGCCGGCCUGACCCUCCUGCAUUUCUUGGGUGCGCACCCUCAGGCGGGCCUGCUGCACUUACCCAACAGAAGAGAUGGGCCACUGGCUUCCUUGAGAUCCUGUUCAGCAAGAACAGCCCAUUCAUUGCCUCCUUCACUGCAAAGCUCCAAUUUCGCCAAUGCCUUGCAUACGUGUGGCUUAUUUCAUGGGCUUUACGGUCAAUUCCCGAGCUGUGUUAUCUUGCUUUGCCAGCAUAUUGCAUCAUGGCCGGCUCACAUUUCUUGCCCAAGGUGAGAAACUAAAACCAUUCAGUUCUCCUCUUAAAUGCAUACAUAGCAUUAGUAGUAGUACUUCACCAACCUUUGUUUUAUCAUCAUUGACGCAGGUCCAAGAGCCAGCUGUGUUGAUACCAAUAUCCCUCUUUGUCAGUUACAAUUUUUACAAUCUAUUUGAAUACUAUGGAGCUGGGUUUUCAAUCCGAGCAUGCUGGAACAAUUUGAGGAUGGGGAGAAUAACCGCAGUGACUGCAUGGUUAUUUGGAUUUUUCAGUGUCAUUCUAAAGCUCCUGGGGUUGUCGGAGACCGUCUUUGAAGUUACAAAAAAGGACCAAUCUACUACUCCUGGUGAAGGCAGUGACAAUGAUGCUGGUCGAUUCACCUUUGAUGGGUCUCUGAUUUUUGUUCCGGCCACUACUCUUUUGUUGGUGCACCUGAUGGCACUUUUUACAGCCUUGUUAGGACUAUUUGAUCAUGUCGGGAUCGAAUCAAGAAUAGGGGAGAUAAUAUGUAGUGUGUGGGUGGUGCUAUGCUUCUCGCCGUUUCUUGAAGGCCUGUUUGGGAAAGGAAAAUAUGGGAUACCCACAUCCUCCAUAAGCAAGUCAGUAGCUUUGGCAUUGCUUUUUCUUGCUUGCACUACUACAGUAAGAAAAUGAUUUUAUUGAAAACCGUACUGUUUAUUAAGCAUAAUUGUUAAUCAAGUGUGUUAUGACAAGUAUCAUCCGGUUCAGUGUACGAACAAAUUUGUUGCAAUUAUAAUGGCAGUUUGCUUUUCACCAUUGCCGUAGCAGCAGCAGCUCCAUGAACUGAAAUGAAGAAAUGAUCACAAGCAGUUAAAACUAUCCAAAAGUUUAUACGGUUGAAAAUUGGCGUAAGGUUAAAUAGAAUAAAAAUAUUUGAAAAAGUGAGAUCAACCUUUUACUUUUUCAACCAAAAAAAUAUAUUAAAAUGCAUUUUAUUUGAUAUGAGUUUAAUUAAUAUAUUUUAAAAAAUAUAAUGACUAAAGAACCUUAUUUAACAUUUUCAUAAAUUUAAAAAGUAAGUAAUUUAACAAUAUUGUAUGGGUGGAAAUAAUACAUAUAUACCCUUGUUUAAUUGGACGUAUUUUCUCUUUUGCUUCUCUUUCUUCUUUGAAUUAGAUUAUUUAGUCAUUACUAUCAAAAUAAGAGUAAUUUCUCAUAUUUCAAAAGCCAAAAGGUAAAACAAAUUUCCUUUAUAAGUUUUUGUCAAACUUAGGUGGUAUUUAUUUUUUGGUUAAAUAAAAAAGGUCAAAAUAUUUAGGUUUUUUUAUUCGGUUAAAACUAUAUAUUGUUAAUUUGUUCAUAUUUAGCUGUUGUGAGUUUUUAAAAUUAGAAAUGAUGUGAGUGACAAAAAAAAAUCAUCAACAAGAUAUUUGAAUGCUCAUGAAUAACGGGGUGGGAGGGGAUGGGUGUGGUUCAUGGUGGUAACACCUAAGGUUGCCUCUUAGGACAUUUGAAUGCUUGCCCUUAAUUAUCUCUUUAUUUUUUGCAAUAUUUCAAGUUUUUCUCCAUUCUUAAUGCCCUUAAUUAUCUCUUUAUUUUUGCAAUAUUUCAAGUUUUUCUCCAUUCUUUUCAUCCUAAUUUCAUAUUUUAGUCAUUCCAUAAGUUUUUAUCAACUUUAGAUGCAUACACACCUAAGAAAACCAUUGAUUUUGAAACGGUUUGAGGUUAGCCUUAAAGUAGUCCGAAGUUAAAUAGAAGGUUAUAAGACGUAAAGAAAUAUGUCACAUCCAAUCAAUAAAAAAUAUAACAAAAUUGCCAACUAAAUCUAACAAAUCAACAAGCUCAUGUGGGAAGAAAUUAGUUCCCUCCUAUGAUAAAAAGGUCAAGUGUGUAGUUAAUCCUAUAAGGAUUUUUGAUAUUAUCUUUUAGAAAAGAAAUUUGGCUUUAAAAAUCACCGACAAGGAUUAAGAUCAAGUGGUAUCAGACUUGAUUUUUAACAAUUGAUAAAAAAGCUCAGGUGUGUAGUUAAUCCUAUAUAUAUGUAUGUAUAGAGAGAUAGAAAUCAACCUCCUUGUGCAAUUGCAGUUGCCAUAGUUAUUGUCGUGUAAUGAAUAUUGUUUCAUGUGGUUCAUCUUUGAAACCCUACAAUCACUACCCUGCAAAAUGUGAAAUGAUAUUCUAUUUUGGUAAUGCUUUAUCUAAGCAUGAUAAUAAUUGACUUGGAGUAAAACAUGUAAAAACAUUUUCCUAUUUGAUUUAGGUUGAGGGUUAGUAGACACAUCCAUUGUUCCUCUCUUCACACCUAGCUACUUUAUUGAGAAAAAUAAAAAAGAAAGAGCAAGUGUAGGGAGAGAGAAAAAUAAAUGUAUUUAACAUCAUCCCAAGUCAUUAAUAUAUAUAAUUGAUAAAAAAAAAUUGAAUUACCUUCAAAGAUACCCAAGAAUCCUAAUUUGAUUGCUUCAUUGACAAGUUUUUUGUGCCAAGUUAUGGAUGAAAUAAGAUAUAAAAAUAAUUUAUUGACUUAGGAUAUAUAUAUUUUUUUCUUUCACUUUUUUUUUUCUUCUAUUUUUCCUCUUUAUUUUCUUUUCCUCUCAGUUUUCCUCAAAUUUUUGUGAGAGCCAAACAUGGCAUUAAUAUUUUGAUACCUUAGACCUUGAAUUUUAGGCACUAGUGACUUUCAUGGUAAAAAGGAGACAAAGAAAAUUUAGGCAACAAUACUAACUUAGAAAUAUAUGUGCCCAAAAACAUUUCUUCUUAAGGCCAAUGUUUUAUUUGUGGAGUCUCUUGCCCUUUCUCUAGCUUGAUGAUCAGAGGUUUUGUGGUCGAUGGGGGCAGGAGGUCUCACCUUGAAUUGUGUGAUUGCAAAGACUGAUUAAUUGAGCCAAAUCCAAGGAAAGAGAGAGAGCCAAAAAAAGAAUCAUAGUAUUAAGCCAAAACAUUGAACUAAAAGAAAGUUUUAGAAUGCAAUAACUUCAUAUUUGUGUUACAAACCGGGCUCGGUUUGAUUGUUGAGAAAAUGGGAGGAAAACACAGGAAAGACAGUUUUGAAUCCUAUGUUGUCAAUAUUAACAGGGUUGUAGGCUCCAAUUGGCAGUUUAGACAAUCUAGGAGACAAAAGAAAAGCAUGUUCAAAUCUAUGUGGUACCUGUUUUCUCUAUUUUAUUUUAUUUUUUUAAAAUAGUAACUUUUAUAAAAGAUAUAAUAAUUCUUAAAGGUUUAUGGAAAGCAAUGAUUUUAAAAAGUCUAAAAAAAAUUGAAAUAUAAAAUCUUUUUAUGACCUUAAAUUUAAAAAUUCUUAAAAGUGAUUUUUAACUAUAUAAAUUAAAUACAUAUUUUUUAUACAAAAUAUUAUAGGUGACAAAGUUUGAUACGAUUCAUUAAUACAAUACGAACCCAACAGAUUUUUCAUUGGUUUGGAUCAAAUUUGAAUUGAUUUGUUAAACCCAUUUAAUAAAUAGGUAAUUUUUGGAUUAACUUGCAUAAUAUGAAUUUGUUCCAUUUAAUAAUCUUGCUAUUAAUUUAAUAAUAUUUUAAAACUAUUUAGCUUAUAUUUGAUUUAUUUUAAAUAAAUAGAUCAAUUGAGUCAUAAAUAUAUUUGAUUGAAAUAUUAAUCAUAUAGACAUAUAGAUAACUUAACUCAAUCUAAUUAUUAAAUAGGUUAAAUGGGUUGUUAAACUUGUUACCUAUUUAAUUAUUAGGUAGUAUUUAAGUUUAUGUUUUUAAUAUGAUUAUUAUUUAUAUCGAGUUUGGGUUGAGUUAUAUAUUAAAAUACUUAAGUUUUGACACGAUAUGAACAUGACCCACCAACACAAAUUACCACCCCCUACAAAAUAUUUUACUUUUAUAUAUAAAAGUUUUUAGGACUUUAAAAUAAUAAAAUAUAAAAUUUAUCCAAACUAAUACCAAAAUUUUCAUGCAAGCGAAAAUAAAAUGAUCUAAUCAACCAUUACUAAGACAACUAUUUGGUAGAACAAAAUCAACAAACACAUAGUUAUUUCCAUUCUUGUUUUUAAGCAACUAAAAAGCAAACAAUUUUUAACAUAUUUUUGAAAAAAAAAAAAAAAAACUAAAGCCAAAUAAUCCGUUAAGUUAAAGAAUAGGAAAAAAAGAAAGAAAAUUUAAAAAUUCUGGAAUUGCACUAUAUUUUGCCUCUAGAAGGUAAUUAAAACAAAAGACCAAUGUUAAUAGAUUUGUUUAAAAAAAAAAAUAAAGAAGAAGAAAACACUAAAACCAAAUCUUCCCGUAUGGUUAGAAUAGAGAAAAUGGAAGAAAAUUUAAAAUUUGGAAUUGCAGAGACAACUUCAACAAAUUUAUAAAAUAUAGGAAACACUAAAACGAAAUAUUCCAUUUGGUUAGUGAAUGAAGGAAAAUAAAGAAAAUUUAAAAAUCUGGAUUUAACAGAGGUGAGUUUUUUGGUUCUUUAAUUUAUAUUAUAUUAUUAUUAAGGAAUAUUUGGUUAAAAUGGGCAAAAGAAGCCCUCAUAAUUAACCAUUUUUAUACCAAAUUACCCUCAAACCAUCACCUAUUAAUACAACAACAUUAUUUCAUUCCAAAUUCAAAGCAAUGCCUAUUGUACCUUCUUAAAAUUCAGUUAAAUGUCAAUGGACACAUACAUUAAUACAUCCAGACACUUCUCAUCGAUUUUCAUAACCCUACCAUACAAAAAUGGGAUAUAUAUUUAAAAUGGAUGUCAAAGAAGGGUUAAAGUCAAAUAAUAUUUUUCACAAUAUACAUGCUAUAUAUAGAAAUGCGGUAUAAUUAAUUCUUGACAUCUGGUAGGCAAAGAAUAUUUCAAAAAACUUCAAAACAAAUAUGUAUGAAAUAAAGAGAUCCCAACAUCCCAAGUAAAUAAUUGUUAUAAUGGAUGCAAAUUUUGGACUAUUAGUUAAUAUCAACAAUGGGUUUAAAAAAGUAUCUAAAAAUAUCAAAUUUAAAUAUUUGUACCUGUGGUAUACGAGAUGUUGCUUAGUCAAUUAGUUAUGAAAUAACAUUAACUCUAUGCGUAUUAUCAAUAUCUCUACAUGCGAUUCAUUGAGACAUAAACUUUUCCCUUGUUUUUUUUGAGAAGAUAUGAGAAACAUACUCAAUAUCAUUUGAUUGAAUAGUUGACCUAACUCCUUAUUGGUUGAAAAAACCCUUCACUUUAAUUAAUACUUUUUAGGGAUUCAAUUUGGAAGGAGCAAGGUCGGGCAUAAGUUAAAUGUUAGAAGGAUUAAAAUCAAUGGGUGCUGGAGCUGCUACAAUUGCUUUAGCCACAACUUUUCCCACCCAUGCUGACUUUAUUAAGGUAAUCCAAAAGAGUUUAGAAGUCAUCUCUAAACCAUAAAAAGAUAAAAUCAAUCAAUUGAUAUUGAUUUUGAUAGCUAACUAAAUUUUGGAUUGUUUGAUCAAGUAAGGGAAACAUGAUAGAAUUCAUAACUGUCUUGAUGUUAUGUUUUUUUCUUUUUAAUUUAAUUCAAAUCUUUUUUUUCACUAUAUGUAAUUUAUACCUAGCUUCUUUUUUAAGUUUAAGCUCUCUCAAGGGACAAAAUUAGUUGCAAGAGUUUCUUUCAUUUUUUUUUUCUUCUUUAAUAAUGUCAAAUCCUCCAUUUGAGUUCUUUCAUGUUUUUUUUUUCCUUUUUCAAGAUUGUUACAUGUUCCAUUUUUUUUUAAAAAAUUUCGUUGAGGUUUUUUGUAGUUAUUUUUUAUUGCAAUUUUUUUUUAUUUACAUUUGUUUUUUAGUUGGGUUUUUUUUCGUAGCUUUUUAUUUUUUGCAUUAUUUUUUUUUGUUAGGGUUUGUAGUUGUUUCUGUUGGGGUUUUUCUAGUGUUGUUUUUUAUUAGAGUUUUCUAUAUAUAUAUAUAUUGUGAUUUUUUACAAUUUCAUUUAAACUUCUAAGAUGUUUUUGGCUAGAGGUUUUUAUAGUUGUUUUUUUGCAUUUAUUUUUUGUUGGCGAUUUUGUUUUUGUUUUUUGUUAGGAUUUUGGCAGGAGUUUUUUUGUAGUUUUUUUUAAUUUUUUUUAUGGGGUUUUUCUUGUAGUUGAGUUUUUAUUAGGUUUUGAACAUGAGAUCAAAUAAAUGAAUAUUCUAAUUAAGAUUUAUUGAUAAAAUGAAAAUUAAUGUUAUUUAAGUUCUUUUUAAAUGAAACUUAAUCGUAGUACAAUUUAGGUUAUAAUAAUCAAUUAGUUCUUUGUAGAUGAAAGGGAAACUUAACCUUAAUUAAGUUCUUUCUAAAUGAAACUUAACUAUAGUAUAAUUUAGAUUAUCAUUAUAAUAGAGAACUAACCUUAUUUAGGUUUUUUUGUAGACUUAAUUAUGUUGUAGUUCAAUUGAACACCCUCAAUGAAAAAUUUAUCUUCGUAAGAAAAGCAAACUAAAAAGAUAAAUAUAUUAAAAAAAAUGAUGAAAUGCAUAAAGUAAAAACAAAAAGUGGGAAGGUGAUGUUUUUGGAGCAGUGUAGUUCAGAUGAACACUUUGAACAAAAAUGAAAACAAGUUGUUUAAGAGAUAAAACAAUAGAUAGAGCAUUAUGAGAGGAGAAAGAAUUUUCUCAAAGUGUCAUGAAGGGAAAUAAAAAUAAACAAAUUUAAAACAUAAUAGAUGGCAACAAGUACUAUUGUUGGUUGGAUGAAUUGUAACAGGUAAAGGAACAGUGGCUUGCCCAUCUCUACAACUCCUUGAUCAGAGGCUAUCUCAACUUUGUGGAGCCUCACAAGACUCUUUUAAUCUUCACCCACAUGCUUGCCCAUCAAGCUCGACCUAACAACCUCACCUUCCCUUCUAUCAUAAAGAAAGCUGCCUCUUGCUUACCCUCUUUAGCUUUCAUGAUAGGCACACCCCUUCACACCCAUGUCAUCAAGCGCGGGUUAUGGCAUGAUCUAUUUAUACAGACGUCAUUGGUUGUGUUGUAUGCCCGACUUUGCAAGGUUUCUGAUGCUUGUCCUGUGUUUGAGGAAAUUUCCAGACCAUGUGUUGUGUCUUCCAAUGCAAUGCUUGAUGCCCUAGGCAAGAAUGGGGAUAUGGGGUCCGCUCUUUCUCUUUGAGAGCAUGCCUGAAAGAGAUGUGGUUUCAUGGACUAGUAUCAUUAAUGGUUUUGGGAGGAAUAGGUGCUUUGAGGAGGCAAUUCAGUUUUUUGUGAAGAUGAUGGGGCAUGAGGAUGUGAGAAGUUGUUUAGUAAAACCAAAUGAAGCUACAUUUGUUAGUGUUCUGUCUUCAUGUACUAAUUUAGAUGGGGUUGGAGCUUUGCAUCAGGGAAAACAAAUACAUGGGUAUAUUAUUAGGAAUGAGGUUGAAUUUACUGUGUUUAUGGGUACAGCAUUGAUAGCUCUUUAUGGGAAGACGGGGUGUUUGGAAAAUGUGAUGAAAAUUUUUAAUGGAAUGGUGGUUAAAGGGGUCUGCACUUGGAAUGCAAUGAUUUCUUCGCUGGCUUGUAAUGGCAGAGAGAAGCAGGCCUUGGACUUGUUUGAGAAGAUGAAGAUGAAAGGGCUGUGCCCAGAUGAAGUUACCUUUGUUGCUGUUAUUACUGCUUGUGCUCGUUCCAAAUUUGUGGUGUUAGGUUUGGGAUUUUUCCAGUCAAUGAGGUGCGACUUUGGGGUUGUUCCAAGGAUGAUGCACUAUGGAUGCGUGGUUGAUCUUUUGGGCAGGGCUGGGCUAUUGGAGGAGGCAACUGAGUUUAUCAAAAGCAUGCCUUUUGAGCCUGAUGCCACUGUUCUGGGGGCUCUUUUGGGUGCUUGUAAGGUUCAUGGAGCCAUUGAGUUGGGAAAUGAAGUGGGUAGAAGGCUGUUGGAAUUCCAGCCGCAUCAUUGUGGUCGAUAUGUGACAUUGUCAAAUAUUUAUGCAGGGGGAGAGAUAUGGGGCCAUGCUGCUGAUUGGAGGAAAGCAAUGACAGAGGCUGGAAUUAGUAAAAUUCCAGCCUAUAGUAUGAUUGAUGUGAUGUAAACAUUUAGUGCCAGUCUCUUCCCCAACUUCGGGCAUUUCAGGAAGCAUUAAGUCUCAGUUCUAGAGCAUUAAGACAACAAUUUGGCUUGAGAAAAUUCGGAGAUGGACUAUAAAGAGAUUUUGAUCAAAGAUGCUUCAAUUUCAUGGUUGUGUAGUGUCUGAUUCUUGUUAAGGGGGGAAACGAACUGAAGUGCUAGCAAGAAGGAUGAGCUCAAGAUGACUUAUUAUGUGCUAGUGAAGUUGCAGGCUUUCAUCAACUUUAGUCCACUUGAUGAUUGAUGGCAAUUAGGUGACCCUUAUUACCAUUCCUUUGAUGGCAUUCAGCCUGCUAUUUCAGCUACUUUAGUAGUUAUAAAAAUCUUAAUCAUUUGAUAUUUUGAUAAUCAAGAUCAAUCCACUGUUGUGCACUAGUCAAUUUGAAUUUGAUUAUCCCUUUGCUUGCAUCACAGUAAUUUUCAAAUGGAAAGCAUACAAUCCAACAUUUAGUUAGUUCCAUUGCCCCAAAGAGAUAUUCUAUAAAUUUGAUUUUCAUCACCUGUUAAAGUCUCAACUAUUAAUUUAAUUUAGCUAUUGGGAGCAUCUUCUCAGCAUAGUUAGAGUUUACUAGUUUAGUUGAAAAGAGUGGUAUGAUGAUGAAUUGGUGAUCAAACCCUAAUAUGACAGUUGACUAUCCGGCUAACAAGCUAGUUUGCUAUGUAUCUGAUGACGGCUGUUCGCCUCUCAGCUUCUAGGCUCUCCUUGAAGCAUUAAUGAAUUUUGCUAAGCUUUCGGUUCCUUUCUGAAAGAAGUAUGGUAUUCGCACUAGAGCUAGUGCGCUAUUCUGGUGAGCUUCAAUCAUUCAGUGAUAAUUCAGUGGAGUUUCUACAAGAAUAGAGAAAGAUGAAAGUGAUUGAAAGUCGGAACAAUUUUUUAUCUUUUCUACUUUUGAUUCCAAUUGGUAAAAUGCAGAUGAUUCUGCACUAAGAAUUUUCUUUUCCUUUAAUAUUUUGAGACCUCAGACCUUGAAUUUCAGUCACCAGUGACUUUCACGGGAAAAAACAUUUCUUCUCGGCUUUAAAAGCAUACAAUUAUAAGGUUAAUGUUUGUUUUAUUUGUGGACCCUUUCUCUAGGUUGAUCGUCAGAGGUUCCGUGGCCGAUAGCCGCCGGAGUUCUCACCUUGAAUUAUGUGAUUGCAGAGUCUGAUUCAUCGAGCCAAAUCUAAGGACAUACCAAAACAUUGGACUAAAAGAAAGUUUUAGAAUGUAAGAACUUUAUUUUUUUGUGUUACAAACUGGACUCAUUUGGUUGCUGAGAAAAUGGGAGGAAAACACGUGUGAGAUUGAAUCUUGUUAGAGUUUGUCGACCCAAAAAGCUUGCAAUGUGAAUUAUAAUUAUGAGAUUUUUUGGAGUGUAUUUUUUAGGGUUAUGAUGAUUAUGCUUCUAUUGUAGUUGUUCGCAUCUCUUCCUUCUUGUAUCAAUCUUUUGAUAUGGUGGAUUUCCUUCUCCUUUAUCCAUAGGUUUUCUCGUUUAGAGUUUUUCACGUAAAUUUGUAUGUUCUUAUUCUAUUUUUUUAUUACCUAUUUUUGUUAUUAUGUAACAAAUCCUAUGCUAUAAAUAUUAAGAGUUGUAUGCUCCAAUUUGCAGCUGAGAUAAUGUAGGAAACAAAAGAAAAGCAUGUUCAAAUGUAAGCAUGCAUAUAACUCCUGUUUUUUGUUUUUCAAAAUAAAAAAUAGUAAUUUUUAUAAAAGAUAUAAUAAUUCUUAAAGGCUUAUAAGAAAGCAUAAGCCACGGUUCUUUCCACUUUCUUUUUUUUUUUUUUUUUUUUUUUUUUUUAAAGCAACUCGAAGUCUAGAAACCAAGGUACCUGCAAAACAUUUCCAAGAAAGAGUAAAAAACAAUUUUUAGCAUAACUAUGAAAAAAAAAAAAAAAAACCAAAUAUUCCGUGUGGUUAAUGAAUAGGGGAAAAGGAAGGAAAUUUGAAAAUUUGAUUUAAAAUUCUGGAAUUGCAAAAUAUUUUGCUUUUAAAAGAAAAAACAAAAGAAUAAUAGAUUUGUAAAAAAUAAAAAUAAAAAGAAAACACUAAAACCAAAUCUUCACUAUGGUUAGUGAAUAGAGAAAAAGGAAGAAAAUUUAAGAUUAUGUUUAAUAAUUUUUUGGAAUAUAGUUCUAAAAAAUAGCUUUUGAAAAAUUUUCCCUAUUGAUUUGGAGAAUAAAAAUUUAUUUGAGAAUAUGAAAUUUUAGCCCUUUUUUUAAAUUUUAAUUAUUAAAUGUAUUUUUUAUUUUUAUUUUUAAUUUUGAAGAACAAAAAACUGUUUUAAAUAUGCCAUCAAAUUUGGUGGUUGAUGGCUGAAAAAAAUUUAAAAUAAUAAUAAUAAUAAAUUUCAUCCACACAUAAGCAAUUUGUAAUUAGUCCAAAUGGUAAGUCAUGACAUUGACUAUCAGGUAAUUAUGAUCUUAUUAAGCUAUUAUAUUAUAUGAUCUCUCAACCUUGAAAUGAGACUAAGUUUGUUUUAAAGUAUGUAGUGACUUUGAUCUACGAGUUAUAUUCUAGUUGGUCAUAUAUUCCCUAUGAAUUAAGUUAUUAUUAAUGGUGGUUGGUGACAAUAGGUAUUCUCAAUAUAGGUACCAUGAUAUCUCAUGAGAUUGAAACAAUGUGUCCUAUUAGGUGAUCCUAAGGACAUGCAUUCAAGAAAUCUAUGGUUGUAGUAGUUAUAUGGUUGAAACUUGACAUAUUCUCUUUGUGAGUUAGAGUAUGUCAAUUGAUUAUACAGUCUAAGGACUUGAGACUAAGGAUUGUAAACGUAAUCUUGAAAGGUUGAUAACAUUCAUCUUAUUAGAUUAUAUGCACCAGUUCAUGAGAAGACUAUAGAUAGUAGGUCAUAGACUUGGGCACUUGUAUUAUAUUGUAAUAUACACAAGAUACAAGAGUGUAGUUGACCUUCUAUUGUGGGACGUUGAGUUAACUUCCGAAUUAGAUUUUGAGGGAGCUAGUAUUUGUUUAUGGAUCUCAGUAGUCUCUACUUGAACUUAUAUUUCUUGAUGACAUAAUUUAUGAGGGUUAGUUGAAAUUUUUAUUCACAUGUGUGUAUAAAAGCAUUUUGGUAAAUACACAAUGUUGCACAAUAACUUGUGAAUGGUCUCUUUAGACUGAGCUAAUUGAUUAAUUGAAGCUUAAUAUUAAUUAAUCAAUUAGAACCUAAGUAUGUUAGUUUAAGUGACACAUUAAUAUGUACUUGACUAUAUGAGCAAAAAAAGCUCCAAUAGUCAAGUCACUUAAGUCUUAAUAGAAGUUCAUAUAAACCUUUUUGGGUGGUAGGGCUUCCUUUUUGUUUUCUUAUUCACUCCAAAGAGUUGAGAGCUCUAGACAUAAAUCCUUUGAGAGGAUUCCAUCCCUUAGUGCUUAGAUUCAAGGAGAAAAAAACAUUGUGGUGGAAGAUCUUUAGGUUUGUGAAGUCUACCAUGAUUUCAACACUUCUUCACCUAUUGGAUCUAAUAUGAGAAUAUCUAAAUCUAAGGUAACACACUAAUCUUCUUGAUCCAAAAGUUUUAAAUGUCCACUUACUUUUGUUGCUAGGAUCUAGAGAGCAGGAAGAUUUGCAUGAAACCUAACGGUUUAAGGAUAGGGAAUUAAUGGAGUGAUCUAAGCAUGGCUACAACAACAAAACUCAAAUAGAACACUACAACAAGGAGAACAAGACUGUAAAACUGCCACUGUUGCUGAUGGGAUGAACUGCAAUAAACAGAGGAGUAGAGUGGCUUGGAUGUAGUCAGAUGUAAAACACAAUGAUGGGUGGUCUAAAGCAUGGGACCAGUGGGCAAUGGAGUAGAGGAUGGAACAAUUUUUUCUAUCUUAGAUUCUGAGGAUUGGGGUGGGGAGGAUGGGCUUGGAGGCUUUUAUAGGGAGAGUUUUAAUGAGACUCCUAUAAAAGCUAAAUGUCUAAAACUAAUUUACUUAAAUUAAUUAAUUUAAAUAACACGUUUUCAUCUACUCAUUCCACUCCACUAACAUGUUCUUGAGACUUGGUUCAAGACUCUUAACAUUCUUAAGAUUUGGUUUGAGACUCCAACUGAGGAGAACCUAGUAAAAAACUUACAAAAAGAAUUAAUUUUAACUUCGUAAAAGGAAGUUGGAAUUGGGAAUGUAUGCGGGAAGUUGGAUAGACAACACUUAUUAAGGUUUUCCGAAUUCGACUACCUAAGAUUCUACUGGAUGGACUUGGGCCCCUUGGACAUGCAAAGCUUCUACUUCCUUUUCCACAAGUUCAAGAGGCUUAAAAAGCUGUACUCCUACUUCAGUAUAGGAUUGUUCACGUUAGCUUAUGCACUCCUAUAUAUACACCCACAUGUACUUUUCGAACACUUUUUUCUCCUUAAAAUUAAUUAGAAUAUUUUGUAUAAAAAGUAUAGAUUCACCUUAUCUACUUAAAAUUUUCAAAAAUUUUCAAAAUUUGAGGUAGUAAAUAUUUUUAGAUAUUUCUUUUUUUUUUCGCACGGUUUUUAAAAUCAUUGUUUUUUUUAAUGUAAGUCUCAAAGAACUCUUAUAUUUUAUGUAAAAAUUACUAUUAUUUUUUAUUUUAAAAAUAAAAAACAAGAAGUAUAUCCAAAUGGAUACUAAAUUUAAUAUUGACUUUUAUUAAAUAUGAAGUGAUGAUUUUCACUAUUUUUACUUUCAAAGGAUCUAUUCAGUAGUGAUUGUGUUAAAAAGGUUUUUAGUUUGUAGUGAUUUUAUUAGUAAAACUUGUAUAAAAAAAAAAUACUAUUAGGGAAACUUAAAGUCUAUUUGAGAACUGUUUUUAAAAAUAAAGAAUUGUUUUUCAAACUUGAAAACACAUUUGAUAAUUUUUGACAAAAAAUGGUCUUUUGAAAACAUGUUAUGAAAAAAAGGUGUUUUUUGAAAACAUAUUUUAAUUAUUUUAAGUUGUUUUAACUUAUUUUCUCGAGAUUAUUUUUAAAAAAGAAUUAUACAAAUAUGAAGAAUAAUUUUUUUUAAUAAAAUAUUUGGAAACAUAAAAAACACUAUCAGAAUAUUCUAAGUUUCUAGAUAGACUUUUGUUUAAAAUAACAUCAAAGCCUAGUUUCGAAAACCAUUCUCAAAAAUGGUUUUUGAAAAUUAUUUUUGAAAACAUUCAUCUUUAGUAUCUGAAAAUAAACGAAAAAAAAGUCUUCAAUGGUAUUUGGCAAUUUAUAUAAUAAAAAGUGAUUUUUAGAAGAAACAUCAAUUAAGUCUUCUCUAGAUUUUUAACUGAAAAUAAUCUUUUAAACUUAGUCAAACACUUAUUUUUAGAAAGGAAAUUACGUCUACUUGAUCCAUACGAGUCACUCCCAAACAAACUUCAAGUUAUUUUGCACUUCAAAUAAUACUAUUGAGUCGUUGUGUUACCACAGGACCUUCAAACAUAUAACAUUAUCAGAAAUAUUAUUUUUUCAGUGGUAGAGAGAAAUCUCCCAAACCAUGCAGUGUAUGUUGAAUAAAAUCCAUGUGCAUAAGACAAGACACAAUUAUAUUGUAGUAGUAAUAAUAGUAAUAUUCUUGUGUAGGGGUCAUAUGCGUUCAAUGAAAAAAAUCAAAAGGAAAAUCGCUUGAAGGAAAGAAUAAGUCCUGAAUUUCAUAUAUGCAGCCGACUCAGAGUGCAUGAAAAAUAUAUAACUAUCUAUAUUAAAAACUGGUUUUCAGAUUUCAUAAAGUUGGUUCCGAAAACCAUAUAUUUCCCAAAUGGCCUCAUCAAAACACAAGUUUCCCAAUAAUCUUUUAAACUUAGUCAAACACUAAUUUUUAAAAAGGAAAUUACGUCUACUUGAUCUAUCCGAGUCACUCCCAAACAAACUUUUAAGUUAUUUUGCACUUCAAAUAAUACUAUUGAGUCGUUGUGUUACCACAGGACCUUCAACUAUAUAACAUUAGCAGAAACAUUAUUUUUUCAGUGGUAGAGAGAAAUCUCCCAAACCAUGCAGUGUAUGUUGAAUAAAAUCCAUGUGCAUAAGACAAGACACAAUUAUAUUUUUUCAGUAAUAAUAGUAAUAUUCAUUGAAUAAUAGUAAUAUUCAAUGAAAAAAAUCAAGGAAAACCGAUUGAUGGGGUUGCCUUCCAAGAAGUGGCUAGUUUGAAGGAAAGAAUAAGCCCUGAAUUUCAUAUAUCAUACACAUAGCAGCCCAUGUGACCUUCAAAUAUAUGAAGUUAAUAGUAGUAUUAAUUAUCAUAUUUUGUCGACUGUCCCCAGAAAACUCCAAAUGGCAUGCGGUUAAUACACGUGAUGGGGCACAAAUAAUGAAUACGUGUUGAAUAAAUUCUUGUAAUCAGACAAAACAUUUAUAUUGUAGCAGUAAUAUAUGUGUAGGCGAUACUUGUAUGUCCAAUGAGAAAAAAGUCAAGAAACAAGAGGAGAAACUACUGUUAGGUUUGCUUUGCAAGGAAUGGCCAGCGCAACUAUUAAGUCCAAUAACAUCUCCACAAACUACAUACACCAUCUGUCCAACAAGUAUCCUCCUCCAUUUUCCAAUGGCCAAACCAAUCUCCUCACCUCUCCAUGAAAAAUUUCCCCAGAAAAACACAUUCCAUAGAGCCUUGGACCUCACCAUCUUCUUCCUUCUUCUCUCUCUCCUUGCUUAUCGUCUCCUUUCCCUCAAAAACAAUGGCUUCACUUGGCUCCUCGCCUUCCUCUGUGAGUCAUGGUUCACCUUUAUUUGGAUUCUUAACGUCAGCACCAAAUGGAACCCUGUGUCCUACAAAACAUACCCUGAACGUCUUCUACAAUGUUAUCGGUAUCCAAUAAUGCUCUUAGUAAAACUCUUCAUGUGCUUUGGUGUUUUUUUCUGCCUUCAAAUUUUAUAUAUGACUAUACUUAUGAUCUUCUGAACAGAGUUGAUGAGCUUCCUCCAGUGGACAUGUUUGUGACAACUGCAGACCCCAUGCUGGAACCCCCUAUCAUCACUGUAAACACUGUCCUCUCCUUGCUGGCAGUUGACUAUCCAGCUAACAAGCUUUCUUGCUAUGUGUCCGAUGAUGGGGCUUCCCCUCUCACCUUCUACGCUCUCCUUGAAGCAUCCAAGUUUGCUAAGCUUUGGGUUCCUUUCUGUAAGAAGUAUGGUAUUCAAACUAGAGCUCCCUUUAGAUACUUCUCCAGAGAGUUGUUACCAUCCCAUGAUAAUUCAACGGAGUUCCUACAAGAAUACAGAAAGAUAAUGGUACGCGCACUAUUCUUAGUAGGAACCAUAAGUGGUCCUUAAUUAUUUUAGUUCAACUUAGUGCAAUUAUUUAUUUAUUUAAUAACAAUGAUUAGAAUGCAGAUGAUCCUGAAUCUAGAAUUUUCUUCUCCUUUAAUUUAUUGACUAUCAUUAUUUUUUUUAUUUAUCCUUUUUAUAUAUAAAAUCUCCUUUAAAGAAACAAAAAAAAAAAAAAAAUCCACUAUCAAGCAAGUUCGUGUCCAAUUUUCUUUUUCUUCAUCCCUCUGUAGGACGAAUAUGAAGAGCUUAGACGAAGAAUUGAACACGCAACCCUGAAGUCAAUUUCACAUGAGCUUAGUACUGCAGAUUUUGUCGCUUUCUCAAAUAUAAAAAAGGGAAGCCAUCCAACUAUAAUCAAGGUAUGUUUAAAGAUAUAACUAGCUGAUUUGUUUACUUAUUGUUACCAUUAUUAGGUCUAUUUGGAUUGAUUUCUAAAAAAAAAAAAUUUUAAGUUCAAUAAAAGAUUUUAUUUCUGAUUAAUUUUAUACUUAUGGUUUAAGAAAAAGGUUAAUAUAAAAGUCAUGAAAAUCUUAUUUCUUAUAAAACCUUUAUUUUAGUUUACACAAAAAGUUAUUUUAUGUUUAAUACAAACCUUAUGAUAUCAAUAUUACUUUUUAAAAAUUAUAACUUUAGCUUCAAACUUAUUUUGUAGGUAGAGAUAAAAAGAAACAAACAAUCUCGAAUGGGGAAUGGGUCGCAAUCAAUAUAGAACAAAGGACCAUUUAAAGCUAAUCAUAGGAGAUUAGAAUGAUGGUAUAAAGUAAUUGUUUUUGUCAUUUUCUAUAUUAUAAAAAAUUAAUAAAAAGAUAAAAAGAAACAAACAAUCUCGAACAUAUUGUAAUCGAUAUAGAACAAAGGACCACUUAAAGCUAAUCAUAGGAGAUUAGAAUGAUAGUAUAAAGUUAUUUGUUUUUGUCCUUUUCUAUAUUAUAUAUAAAAAAACUUUCUUUAAUUAAUAAAAAAUAGUCAUGCAAUUUUAAAAAAGUUUUAUUUCUUUGUAUUUUGAUUUAUACUCUAUUUCUUCGUACUUGUACUUUAUUGUAUUUAAAAUAUAUUUCUUUAUAUUUAUGUUCAAUGGUAUGGUUAGAUUAAAAGUUCAAUACGAUACUAAAUUCAACAAGCUUGCCAUGAGCUUUAUUUAAGCUAUAACUAUUCGGUUGCGACAUGAGAGAGCUAGGGAGUUGUGGUGAAGGAAGUAUUUGACAACAUUUCUAUAACCACGGAUGUGACUUUGUAGGUUAUAUUGGAGAACAAGGAGAGCCGCUCUGAUGGACUGCCACAUCUAGUCUAUGUAUCCAGGGAGAAGGAUCCCAAGCAUCCACACCAUUACAAAGCCGGUGCCAUGAAUGUUCUGGUAAGGAAGCUCCCUUGAAUUAAUAUAACUACUGAUCUCCUUCUUUUUCUGAUUGUUUCUUGAUAAACAGACCAGAGUCUCUGGAGCUAUGACAAAUGCUCCUUUCAUGCUGAACGUAGACUGUGAUAUGUACGCCAACAAUCCACAGAUUUUUCAUCAUGCAAUGUGUUUGCUCCUCGGUUCCAAGAAUGAACAGGACUGCGGGUUUGUUCAGUCUCCACAAUGCUUCUAUGAUGGACUAAAGGACGACCCAUUUGGAAAUCAGCUAGUAGUUUUGUAUAAGGUAUGCCAAAUUUCAAUAGCGAAGAGUGAUCUCUUCCAUACUAUAGAGCACACGUAGUAGAAGCCUCUUUUAUUUUAUUUUUUCAUUAAUUGAUAUGUUUGUUGAAUCAGUAUCUGGGAAGUGGGAUAGCAGGGCUUCAAGGACCUACGUACAUUGGAACGGGAUGUUUUCAUAGAAGAAAAGUUAUCUAUGGGUUAUGGCCAGAUGGCAGGAUGGAGAUCAAAGGAAGAAGUGGUAUGCAGUCAAUUUAUUUGUCUUAUGUAUCAUUCUAAUUUUCUUAGGGGGAUCUUAAAAUGUUAUAUGAAACUAAGCAUUACAAUUUUCUACUUCUUGGUAGGAAAAUUAACUGAUGAGAGAAUACAAAAAACAUUCGGAAAUUCAAAGGAAUUCACCAAAACAGCUGCAAGGAUCUUAUCCGGGUUGAGCGGGAUUUCGCAUUGUCCAUAUGAUCUUUUGAAUCGGGUUGAGGCAGCACAAGAAGUUGCAACUUGCAGCUACGAGUAUGGAACUAGCUGGGGUACAAAGGUGAGCUGCAAAUAUUUAGAACAACAAGAAUAGCACGUACCUCAAAUGAAAUCUAAAGUUGCAAUGAUUAGCACUUCCCUGCUACUUGAUUAAUUUAGCUGUAAGUUUACAAGAUUGCUAAAGAUGAUCCCCUCUUGCUUCAUGGCAUAGGCUUUAUAUAGCCUCUCCCUCUGUCACUGCUUCAGGCUUUGGUUCUGCUUUAUGGACUUUAAGACGCAUGGUGAUAAAGAGUCGUUGAGCUCAACUUUUUAGGGGCAGGUUGGUUAGUUAGGUCAACCUACAGGUCCGAGGUGGGUUGUCUUUCUUUUUGGUCCUUGCUUUGGGGUGAGGUGAUUUUGUGCACCUUCAAUAUCCCCCUUCCCCCCUCCCAGCCUUGAGUUUUUCUUUCUUGGAAGAGGUUAGAGCCUUUUCUUUUUGGGUUGUGUGCUAAUGAUGUUUAGGCAGUGCUAGUGCAAUUUUCAAUGGCGGUAUACCCAUUUUGGUUUCCUCCGUUUUGAGGCAGUUUCUUCCACUAAUCUCAUGUUUGAUGGUUGAGAUUUGUCCACGUGCCGCAUCCUUAGCCUUUCCUCAAUUGAGGGUUUUCUCUUUCAAAUCCCACGCUAAUUAUUAUUUCUUCCUUCAAUAGUCGAUAAGUAUUAUAUCUCCCAUUUUCUUUCUUCAUUUAUGGUUUUCUUCUUCUUCUUCUUAUAUAUUUUCCUGUUCCAGCCAUGUUGAAGAAAAAAAAAAGGAUGAAUGCCUCUGGGUCGAUUGAAUAGUUUCAUGCUAAGUUUAAUAUCCAACUGUUAGUGGGACUUUGCUUCAUGGAUGAUGGGGAUGUAAUCCUGGCCAAAGGGAGUCUAGUUGAAGGUGAGAUGUUCUUGCCCAAAAGCUACUUCGAGGCUGGGUUUUGACUUCCACUUCUUCCAUUGUUUAGAAGCUUAGUGUGUCAUCUUCGACUUGCCUCGAACCAACUAUAUAUUAACAUCAUUCGUUCGAUCAUGUCAAUGAUCGUGUUAGAUUACUUAAGGGGUUUGAAUAUUUCAAUGAGGGAUGUUAUGUACGUCUAUACUAUGAAGUAGUCUCACAUUCCUCAUGAAUGGUACUUGUUUGCUUGCUUAGGUGUAACUGGCUUCAUCACCGGGGCACCCUCGACCAAUAAAGACCUGAAUUGUGGUAUUGUUGCCAUUUUGGCUAAAUGAAAGUUUGGACCUUUUGAACCCAAUGACCUUCCUAGGGUUCACAUAACACAUGACAUGUCACAUUAGUUUUUAGUUUUGAGUUUUGCCUUUCCUCUUUUCUUUCUGAGGUGAAUCUUAAUAAUGGACUACACCUAGAGGGGGGUUGAAUAGGUGUUGUUGAACUAUAAAAACAAAAUGUCCCAACAAAGAUUACCUAAUCUUAGAAUUUUUCAAUAUCAAUAAACUUUUCUUCCAACAACUUUUCAAUAAAACAUAAAAUCUACAAAUAAGUAUGUAUGCACCAAUACUCUCCUAAUAAUUUAUGCAAUUAACAUGCAAAUGCUUCAACACUCCUCAAAAUUAAUUCAAAAGAACAAUUACCUUCUUAACUCAUUUCAAUUUACUACAAGAUAUCAUUAACUAAAAUGAACAAAAAAAUUAUUAAAGACAUUUCAUGGAUAAUCACACUUAUUUCAGCUCAGAUAUCUUCCAUUUAACAUAUAUGCCCAAGUAACCAAUGAUAUCAAAAACUGAAAAUAAAUCAAAGAGUGGAAUGAGAGAAAGAGAUAAUUGACACAGAAUUUUAAUGUGGAAAACCUUCGAAGAGAUGAAAAACCACAGGCCUAUAACUGAUAAAAAAACAUCCACUAUAAAGAAUAAAAAUUGAAUACAAGGUUUUACCUAACUCAAACCAACCAAUCCCUUCUCGAAACAUUUAACUAGUAUCUUUUACUUUUAGUUUCUCACAUUCUUCUUUAGAAGCACACUUGGAGUCCACACCAAGCUCGAUCUCAGCCUCUUCUUGAAUUCACAUAAGAAGAAAAUGAGUUUUUACACAAACUCACAAACAAUAAGAGAUGAAUGCUUAAGGAAUCAACCCCUUUUUCUUUUUAGAAAAUCCAUUUAAAAAUUUUCUUGGAAAACUUGGAUGUGACUCAUAAGAAUUUUGUCCAGAAUUGCCAACCUAGCUAAACACUCAUACUUUUCUUCUUUGUAGAUUGUGCCUUGCCUUUACUUUUUCUUGUAGUGAUAGAGGAUACCGAGGUUCUAGAGAUUAGUGAUUCCUAUCGAGCUGAGAUCACUGGUGGUUCAAAAUUGACAUUGUUUUCGUGACUAGAAGGUUUUGUUGAAGCCAACCCAAUUGUAUGCCAAUUUCAUCUCCUUGGGUUUGAUUUCUCUCCAACAUUUCUUUCAUCAAUCCGAACGGGUGACUUCUUUGGAAAAAAAAUUCCUACUUCUCACACCUCCUUUAGUUGUUGAUCGUCUAAAGAGGAAGCAUUAGCAACCUUUGUUGAAACAAUCUUCUUCGGAUGGGAAGUCUCAAAACAUUGGGUCAACCACUAGGGGCCUAUUGGGUCACUGACAAUCCCAAAGGAUAGAGCAAGGCUCAUUCAAGUGUUAGGGUAACCCAUUCUUUUGGGACUUUGAAGAGUAAGACAUCAUUUUCCUCUACUUCGAUCGAUCUCAUUGUAAGUUUUGAAGAUGCAUAAGAUUCGACUAAAUCUAAAGCUCUAAGAAUGAUAGGUGGAGCAAUGGAGAAGGACACUUUAGAUGUCAGGGACAUAAGGAAGGUUUUGGCCAUGUCGUCCUCUAUUGUAGUAUAUGACUCAUAUUGAGUGAAAAACAUAUAUGGAGAAAAAAAAAGAGAAGGGCAAAUGCUGGAGUGGAACGGAGUGUACACUUCAAGGGUAUUUUUAGAAUUUCAAUACCUGAGAGUUAGUAUAAAUACCCUUUUACGUAACCUUAAUUUUGAUACAGUGAAAGUCUUCUUCCCUAUUCUUGUGGACAUAGGCAUUCUUCCAAACCACGUUAAAAUCAGUGUAUUUUAUUUUGUUUUCUCAAAUCUCUUCAUUAGGAACCCUUCAUAACCUAAGUUCUAAAGGGGGAAAAGAUUCUGAUUUCGAGAUGCUUUCUGUUGGUAGGGAUUUACUUUCGGUGGUUGAGGUAGCUAAGUGGUCAACUCUUCCUAGUGAUGCCAAAUUUAUUUCGGGUUUUUCUAAUCGUGAGGUGGUUGAUAAAUCAAUUAGGCUGACCUAUUGGGUGCAAAUUGAAGUUUUCUUUUCCUUUUCCCUAUGUUUUUAUGUUCCGUGUGAGUCAUUGAGUUGGCUUAUAGUUUAUGUUUUAUGUGUUUUCCUCAUCCAUGUAGGCCUUAUAGUUCAACUUGGUUAUUUGUCAGCGUCUUACUUCGUCUCGACUCAACUAGGUCGGGUUGAGGGACCAAGUGAGAGUAUGUCCUCCCAAGUGGAGGUCAUCUCAAAAGAGCUGGUCAUGUUAAAUCCAAGUUGAAGGUUGAGUGGAAUAUUAUGACCAAUUUCCAGCAAAAGAUUGUGCCUCUUAGGGUUUGUUUUAGGGACUUGGAGUCUCACUUGAAGUCACUUUCUAAAGAAAAAAAUGACUUGAGCAAUCUUUUGGAGGAGAUUAGAUGAGCCAGGGUGAUGUGCGAAUUGGACCUAUUCCACUUGCAAGAAAACUGAGACAAAGAGAGAUAAAAAUUUUGUGACAAAGUUUACAUGCAACUUACUAGUGACUUGUUGGCCCAUGAUAAGCAGAACCAAAAUGAGGAGGACGUUUUUGGUUGGAGUAUUUGAAGCUUGGAAUUUAGUAUUUUGACCCUCUUGAGUUUGAUUUUGGUAGUAAAUCUAAUGGGUCUUCCAACCAAUUCCUUAUGGAUGAUCAUUUUCUAGGUACGAAUGGUGGUCUUACUACAUUGGAUUUAGAGGUGAACUUUUUUUUGUUUUUUGAAAUCUUAUUGACUGUAAGGAUUUUGGUGUUUCAAGGAGCUUAGGUUGGUUGGUGGACAUCACAAUGAGCCAAGAAAAAAGCAAGGUAGUUGCAAAGAGCUUGGGUGUUGUUCAUGAGGUAGUUAUUGAGGCUUUUAGAUCGAAGGAAGAUGAGACAAUGAAGAAUGCUACUCUUUCUGUUCCCUUAGUCACUAACUUUUCUCAAAUCAAGGGUGAUACCUUGGAGAUUGACAUUAAUACUUUUUCAAAGGAGUCUGGGUUUUUGUUGGAGAAAGAUUCUUUUAGACUUGAAAUUGCUUUACUGUUGGAAACCUGACAACACUUUGUUCUAGCCCUUUUUUUCCCAUUUGUUUUUGUUUUGGAAAUGUUUGCCCUAUUUCAAACUAUAUGAGAUAUUUCUUUUGUAGUGAACGAUAUGCUAAGAAUGAAAUUUUCUUUUGGCAAUUAUAUGUGUUGUGUAAGUUUGGGAAAUAGAUGAGUUUGUGUUGUAGGUAGAAUGCCCUCACCUUUUACCAAGAGGUAGGGUUGAACUAUGGUAUGGUCCUAUUAGGGGUAGGUACAAUCAACAUGGGUUGGAAAAUACAGUCGAAGCUCUAUAUAAUGACCAUUUAAGCAUUUUUAUUUUUAUUUUUGGCUAAUUUAUGGUGUUGCGGCAUAUAUGCUUGCUUGUAUUUAAGCUUUUUUGGAGGUUGCUUACCCAAUUUUUCCCAUUCUUACAUUGCACAAUUAAGUUAAAGCGAACCAAAUUGAUUUAAUACAUAAUACAAUUAUGCAUAGUACUUUUUAAGGUGUAUCUAGUUCCAAGGUUUAGGUAGGGGUGCCCCAUCUGGUUGUACUAGCCAACAUGUUUCAGUUCAAGACAUUUUGAUAACCUGAAGGCACCUUCCUAAGUUGGCACAAACUUGCCUUCAUCCGCAUGUCUAUUUGGAUUAUGUAUAGCUUAGAGUACCAGAUAUUCCCAUUUAUAUGGGUUGAUGUUGGACUUUUUGGUUGUAUGCUCUUAACAGUUGUUGUUGGUAUAAGCAACUAUUUGAAUGACCACCUUCUCAUGCCUUUCCUCCAAGAAGGGGUGGUUUCGAUUAGAGUCCUUUGGUUGUCUUUCCCUUCAUAAUAUUGUACACAAAGGGUUGACAUUCCUAUAUUAAUUGGUACUAACCUCCACUUCGUAUGAGUUUUCUUAGUUGUCAUGAUGUGAGGUGUGGCCCGGUAUGCCCAUAGGAUUACCGGUAGCUCUUCAACCCAUUUGGCUUUAGAUAUUUCCAAACAUUUUUUGAGUGCUGCAAGUAUUGUUAUGUUACUAAUUUCUACAUGUCCAUUACCUUAGGGUAAGCUAGAGUUGAUAAAUGAUGUUGGAUACCCAAUUCUUGGCAUAAAUCCUUAAACUCUAAGGAUUUAAACUACAUUCUAUUAUUGAUAGUGAUCUCUUGUGGAAUGCUGAACCAACAAAUGAUGUUCUUCCAGAGGAAAGUGUGGAUGUUCUUCUCUCUUAUUUGAGAUAAUGGUUCUGCUUCAAUCCAUUUUAUGAAAUUGUUAGUGGCAACUAGGAGGUAGUGUUGUUGAGCUGUUGAUAUAGGUAAUGACCCAAUCAAGUCUAACCCUUAAUGAACAAAAAGCCAAGUUGUAAUAGUCGGGUAAUAUUUCUAUGGUGGUAGGUGUUGUUGAAGGGCAUACCUUUGACACCUCUCACAAGCCUAGACAAAUUGCAUAGCAUAUUUUUGCACGUAAGGCUAAUAGUAUCCUAGACUAAGGGCUUGGUGCAUCAACAUUCUUUUGCCAUAGUGAUUUCCAUAUUGCCCUUGAUGUAUUUUUGCUAGGAAAUACUAGGAUUCAAGGUGUGAUAAACAUUAGAGGUAGGGACCUUGUGUGGAAUGUAAAUAUAACUAUUUAUCAAUGAUUGUAUAUUGCAAGGCCUAAACUUAGAGUUUAUGUGCAUUUUUUUUUUAUCCUUUGACAACGUUUCAUUUUUAAGAUAUUUUAGGAAUGGUGUCCUCCAGUCUUCUUCAUUGAUAGAGUUACUGCAGUUUACACUCAAUUCGCAUCUGUAUAUGCUUGGUUGCUUUUGAUAUUCCAAGCUAACACUUUGUUGCUUGUCCACCCUAAGAUGUAUUGCUAGGUUAGCCAAUAGGUCAGCGAUCACAUUUUUCUCCCGCGGAAUUUGUUCAAUAUUGAAUUUGUUGAAGGUUUGUUUGAUUUCAUUGACUCUAGACAGAUAGGCUCCCAUUCGAUCAUCUUUGGCCUCAUAUUGAGAUAGGACCUGACAUACCAUAAGUUUGGAGUUCCGAGUAUACUUGAAUUUUUUGGGCUCCUAAAAGUCGAGAUACUUCUAAUCCACGAAGUAAGGCUUCAUAGUUUGAUUCAUUUUUGGAUGCUUCGAAUCCAAGUACAAUGCUUUUGUCUAUACUUACGAAUGGGGUUUCCAUGUGGAUUCCAAUCCUUACACCAUGUUGGUUUGAAGCCCGAUCUACAUAGAGAACGUAAACCUCUUAUGGCCUUGGUUUGUCUCUGGUUUAACUUCUUUUGUGAACUCAACCACAAAGUCUACUAACACUUGCUCUUUUAAUUGUAGUAUGUGGUUUAUAGCUCAUGUUAUACUCACUUGACUCCACAAAUCAUUGUAGCAUCUUUCCAAAUGGGUUAAGUUUGCUGAGGACGUUUCUGAUUGGUAAGAAGUUAAUACGAUGAUGGUAUGCACUUGAAAGCAUGAUUGAAGCUUUUGAGUAGCAACCAAUAAGGCCAGGGUUAACUAUUCCAAUUGGGUAUAACUGAUCUUAGUGUUCAACAAUGCUUGAAAGUAUGAUCGAAGCUUUCGAGUAGCAAUCAAUAAGGCCAGGGUUAACUAUUCCAAUUGGGUAUAACUGAGCUCAGUAUUCAACAAUGCUUUGCUUACAUAGUAGAUUGGUCUUUUUUUACUUUUUUGGUUUUGAAACAAGAUAACACUUACAACCUGCCUUGAGAUUUUUAGGUAGAUGUAUAAUUUCUCAUGAGGUUGGGGUAUUGAGAGGAUUGACGGGUGUGAUAGGUGCUUUUUUAGUAGUUUGAAGGCUUCAGUGCAUUUCAUGUCCUACCGUAAUUUUUUUUUUUUUAGCAAAACAAAAAUGGGUUUACACUUGUCAGUUAAUUAGGAUAUGAAAUGAGAUAAGGCUACUAUUUUUUCGGCUUCUUGUACCUCCUUUUGUGUAGUUGGGAUCUUCAUGUUGUGUAUCGCAUGGAUUUGGUCUAGGUUUGCCUUAAUGCCCUGCCUUGUUUCCAAAUGCCCUAAAUAUUUUCCACUGGUAACUUCAAAGAUGCAUUUAAUUGGAUUAAGCCAUAUCUCAUGCUUGAAUAUAGCGGCCAAUACUUCGGCUAGGUGUUGGGGAUGAUCAUUGGCUCUUUUACUUUUUACCAUCAAGUCGUCCAUGUAGACCUUGACCUCCCUUCCUAUUUGUUACUAGAAUACUCACACCAUUUUACGUUGAAAGGCAUUACCUUGUAACAAUAUGUUCCUUGCUCCAUAAUGAAGACAGUUUUUUCCACGUUGUUAAGGUGCAUGGGAAUUUGGUUGCAUCCAUUGUAUGAAUCUAAGAAGGUCAAUACCUUGUGCCCAACGACGAAAUCCACUAGCUUAUCUAUACAAGGUAGUGAGUAAAUGUCUUUUGGACAAGCCUUGUUGAGGUUAGUGUAAUCUACACACAUCACCCAUUUCUUGUUCUUCUUUGGUACGAUCACAACAUUGCCCAGCUAGGUUGGGUAUUUGACCUCUCGUAUGAAUUUGAUGGCAAGUAGUUUUUUUAACUUUUUUCAUAUGAUUUGAUUUUUAAAUGGUGCAAAACAACUUUGUUUUUGCUAUAUCGGUGGGAAAUGGGGUUCGACAUUGAGUUAGUGACUAUAGACUUGUGGAUUUACCCUUAGCAUAUCCUGUGGUUGCCAAGAAAACACGUGCACAUAGGCUCGUAAACACUCUUCUAGGCUUUCUUGCAAAACAUUAUCUAUUACUUUUCAUUGUUGCUUUGCUUUCAUAUCACGAUUUCCCAAGUGGGCUUUGCUACCUUCUACCGCUUUUGAUCUUCUUUUGGCUUGGCCGGGGAGGAGGAAUUUCUUUAAUUGCUAUUUGUCAGGAGUUACGAAGGGUAGUGGUCUUACAGUUGUAAGUAUUGCAUACAUUAUAGCUAGAUGGAAAUGCCAAGCAGUGAGCUGGUUUCCUAAUACUUUCUGUAUUCCCUUUGGAGUUUGCAUCUUAAUCUUUUGAUGCUAGGUCAAGGUCACUGCAUGGGUGGCAUGUAUCCAAGGUCGACCCAGAAUGGUGUUGUACAAGGAAGUAGAUAUUUCGAUUUGGAAGUGGGUUGGGGUUUUUGGUUGAUUUGAUCACCACCUCCAAGGUUAGUUAUCCUAUGCUUGGGUGGUUUUUCUAUUGAACCCAACCAAAAUGGUCUAACUUGGUUCCACUUUUUGAUGCUCUUGGUCCAUUAAUUGGGAACAACCAUAGAAAAAGAUGUGGAACUCCUAGUGUCAACUAGAAUCCUUUGGACUUGGUAUGACCUAAUCUGUAGGGUGACUACCAAUGGGUCACUGAUUACUACUCAAAAAGUGCUAUUUGAUAGCCUUUAAUUAAUCUUUUUUAACACUUUUGAGUAGUAGUUUAGGCCUUUUAACUCAAUUGGCAUGUUAAGGAUCCUUUAAAGCAAUUUUGAUCACUUUGUGUAAGUUUUGGUGUUUUUGUUAGUAUUUUGAUCACCAAAGCAAGUCAAGAAUGAGGAGAGCUAUGAGGAAUCAUGGGCAAAGCUUAGAAUUCAAUUGCCAAGAGUGAAUCCGGAUUGCAAGGAGAAAAAGCAAAGAGGAUCAGUCAUGGAGCAUAUUCUUGAUGACAGUCGUAGCAGCCACUUUUGGAGCACUUUCUGAAGUCCAAAUGAUGCAAGCUAUAUACCAUUUCAAAGCUCAGGAAGUCAACAAUCCAAUGCUUCAAACGGUGUGCAAUUUGGAGUUGAAACGAAGAAGUUGCAGCCAUUACAAGCCAGUCACUCUAAAGUGUUGCGGAAUCAGCCUUUUGUUGCGAGAAUUUCGCAACACUUUUGUAUAGUAAGGUGUUUCUCCUUCUGACGAUGCACGAACCAUGCCGCGAGAAGGGAGCUGGAAACUUCAAGAUGGAAGCCAACUUUGCAGCCUGGUGAAGAUAGCUCGGUGUUGCGGAAUAAUUUCGCAGCCCUCUUGGGUGUCUGCGAAAUUUCGCAGACACCACUUUUCUCCUGCGAAAUGGCUCCGGAAGCCUCCCGAAGCUUGCUACCGACAUUGGGAGAUAUUUUCCAUUAGAUUUUUGUUGUCUAAAUUCCAAAAUACUCCUUGUAAACCACCAAUUACAUGAUUCCUUAGUUUUUAAGUUAGUAAAAAGACCAAAUAUCUUUGUAACAAUUAGUUUUAUAUUGCUUUGAUAUAAAUACCUCUCGGGAGCCUGUUCUCAAGGAGGAGUUCCUUCUGUAACCAUUUGGUAAGGAAGUAAAAGUUUUUUUUCUUUCUACUACCUUACCUUCUCACUUUGUAUUUUCAUUUUAUUUCUAAGUUAUGAAUUCUCUGAGGAGUUUUCCCCAGAGAAUGAGUAACUAAACCUCCAAUUCCUUGGAGCUAAGGUUGCCGGGGAAGGUUCCAAGUGCAAAAAUGCAAAACUCUGUGGUUUUAGCUAGUAAUGAAGAGGAAGUGAAAUCCUUUAGUGAUUUCAAUGUUUUUAGUUAACUUAAAACACCUUAGAGUCACCUGGGCCAACACUUGGUAAGGCAAGUGAUUUCCAACCAUGGAAAUGCACUAGUUUACCCCUUGCGAGCCUCUGGUAGGUGACUUCAAGGUAGGAUUUUCUGGAAUUACCAACACUUGGUAAGCUUUUGGACUCCUAGGAGACAUCCAUUAGUUAUCUCUUGCGAGUUUGUGAAGGGAAGUCCAAGGUUAAAGAUCACCUUGAAUGGUAAGUGCUCGUGAGAGGCAUGAACCAUUGCAAGUUGUAUCAGUGAGAGAAUUAAAGUGAAAUCUAAUUGAAGGAGUCUCUGUACAUCACCGAUUAGAGAAUUGACUUUAAGUUGAAUCUCUAAUGCGAGGAAAUGAACCAUCUGACCGGAGCUAUGUCUUUUGCAUGAGGAACCACCCCAGUGAACCUAAAUCUCCAAGGAAUGCUUUUUCUUCCUAAAUUAUUCCAAACUUCUGUUAAGUUAGUUAGUUUAAGUCUAAACCUUUACCAAUCAAACUUUGUGUUUUACUUCUUAAGCUAACCGUGAAAUGAAACAAGACCAAUUCACUUGGAAUUGGUAUCCUUGAUUGCUUGCAAAUCAUUCCCAGUGAACGAUCCUUAGAGCCACUAUACUAUAGUAGCUUUGUAUUUGCUACCCUAGUGUAUGGUGUUAUAGGUAUAAAUUUUGUUGAUCACUUCCUCAAUCAAGGAGCACCAGCUGAACACAAAUCAGCUGAGACACCAAUUGGGCAUGAGUCAAAUGGCGCCGCUGCCGGGGAAUGAGUGUCAAGUUCAUUGUGAUACCAUUUUUGAGCACUUGUGAUUUUCAUCACAAGUUGGUAAAGUUUCUUUCACUUUACUAAUUUUCAUUCUCUCUUUGUUUAUUUACAAUCUAAGUUUAUCUUUUUAAAAUUUAGUCUAGUUUAAUUUUGCUAUUGUAGUCCUCUGUUCUUGUUGUCCUCUGUUUUCAUUUUUUAGUUGCAGCUAAAUACUAGUUGUGUAUGCCAAAGUGGAUACAAGACAUUGGAGGUAGGCUUGUUAAGUGUGAUACACCUCAGAAAGGAGAAUUUGAAGUAAUCUUGAAUAUCAUGGAGGCUGCACCUGAAGAUCAGCAUAGUCACCAAGGUCGUCAAGACAAUCUCAAUGAAUUCAGAUCAAUGAGGGACCGUAUGCAUCCACCUCGUAUGAGUGCACCAUCAUGUAUAGUGCCCCCUACAGAGCAGCUAGUGAUCAGACCAUAUCUUGUUCCACUUCUACCAACUUUCCAUGGGAUGGAAAGUGAGAAUCCGUAUGCACACAUCAAGGAAUUUGAAGAUGUUUGUAAUACAUUCCAAGAGGGAGGAGCUUCAAUUGACUUGAUGAGGCUUAAGUUAUUUCCUUUUACUUUAAAGGAUAAGGCCAAAAUUUGGCUUAAUUCUUUAAGGCCAAGGAGUAUCCGCUCUUGGACUGAUUUACAAGCUGAAUUCCUCAAGAAAUUUUUUCCUACUCAUAGAACAAAUGGCUUGAAAAGGCAAAUUUCAAACUUCUCAGCUAAAGAGAAUGAGAAAUUCUAUGAGUGUUGGGAAAGAUACAUGGAAGCUAUAAAUGCUUGUCCUCACCAUGGCUUUGAUACUUGGCUAUUGGUGAGCUAUUUUUAUGAUGGUAUGUCCUCCUCAAUGAAGCAACUCCUUGAGACAAUGUGUGGAGGAGAUUUCAUGAGCAAAAAUCCAGAGGAAGCUAUGGAUUUUUUGAACUAUGUAGCUGAUGUUUCAAGGGGAUGGGAUGAACCAACUAAAGGAGAAGUGGGAAAGAUGAAGUCUCAGUUGAAUGCUUACAAUGCAAAAGCUGGGAUGUAUAAUUUAAAAGAAGAUGAUGACAUGAAAGCAAAGUUGGCAGCUAUGACAAGAAGAUUGGAGGAGCUGGAGCUGAAAAGAAUGCAUGAAGUGCAAGCUGUUGCUGAAGCACCAGUGCAAGUGAAGCUGUGUCCCAAUUGUCAAUCGUUUGAACAUUUGGUGGAGAAGUGCCCUGCAAUUUCAGUUGAAAGGGAAAUGUAUAGAGAUCAAGCAAAUGUUGUUGGACAAUUCAGGCCCAAUAACAAUGCUCCUUAUGGAAAUACCUACAAUUCAAGUUGGAGGAAUCAUCCAAAUUUCUCAUGGAAGGCCAGAGCAACUCAAUACCAACAGCCGGAUCCACCAUCUCAGCAAUCUUCAAGUAUUGAACAAAUAAUAGCUAAUCUCAGCAAGGUAGUGGCAGAUUUAGUGGGAAAGCAAGAAGCCACCAAUGCUCGAGUGGAUCAAAGAAUGGACAGAGUGGAUCAAAGAAUGGACAGAAUGGAGAGUAUGUUGAACAAAAGAAUGGAUGGAAUGCAAAAUGAUAUGAAUCAAAAAUUUGAUAACAUCCAAUAUUCAAUUUCAAGGCUUACAAAUUUGAAUACACUGCAAGAAAAAGGAAGAUUUCCUUCUCAACCUAACCAAAAUCCCAAAGGUGUCCAUGAAGUGGAAAGCCUUGAGGGAGAAUCAUCACAGGUGAAAGAUGUGAAAGCUUUGAUCACUCUAAGGAGUGGUAAAAAAAUUGAGCAGCCAACACCCAAGCCACAUGUUGAGAAAGAAGAAGAGAUAAAGAAAGGGAAGGAAAUGGAAGAUAAAGGCAGUGAGAUCAGUGAAGAAAAGAAGGUCUCUGAUGCAACAAUGAAAGCAAUUCCAGAGAAAGAGCUUCUGAAGGAAGAAAUGCUGAAGAAAUCAACUUUUCCACCUUUUCCUCAAGCAUUACAGGGGAAAAAGGGGGUUAGAAAUGCAGCUGAAAUCCUAGAAGUAUUGAGGCAAGUGAAAGUUAAUAUUCCACUGCUGGAUAUGAUCAAACAAGUUCCAACGUAUGCAAAAUUCCUAAAGGACUUGUGUACUAUCAAGAGAGGGUUGACUGUAAACAAGAAAGCCUUCUUGACUGAGCAAGUAAGUGCAAUCUUACAGUGUAAGUCUCCUUUGAAGUACAAAGACCCUGGAAGUCCUACCAUUUCAGUCAUGAUUGGAGGAAAGGUAGUGGAGAAAGCCUUGCUAGACUUGGGAGCAAGUGUGAAUUUGCUUCCAUACUCUGUCUACAAGCAACUGGGACUUGGAGAGUUGAAGCCAACAUCAAUCACUUUAUCUUUGGCAGAUAGAUCAGUGAAAAUUCCAAGAGGAAUAAUUGAGGAUGUAUUGGUUCAAGUAGAUAAUUUCUACUAUCCUGUAGAUUUUGUUGUUCUUGAUACUGAUCCUACUGUAAAGGAAGCUAAUUUAGUUCCUAUCAUCCUUGGAAGGCCAUUUCUUGCUACUUCAAAUGCAAUCAUCAACUGUAGAAAUGGGCUUAUGCAACUCACUUUUGGUAAUAUGACACUGGAUCUAAAUAUUUUCUACAUGUCUAAAAAGCAAAUCACUCCUGAGGAAGAAGAAGGUCCAGAAGAGCUAUGUAUUAUUGAUACUUUGGUGGAGGAGCACUGCAAUCAGCAUAUGCAAGACAAGUUGAAUGAAAGUUUUGUGGAUAUUGAGGAAGGUUUUUCUGAAUCUCCUAUUGGGCUUGCUACUCUACAAAGUUGGAGAAAGAUAGAAGGAAUUCUACCUUUGUUCAAUGAGGAAGAGGAGGCAGCUGUUGAAAAAGAAAUUCCAAAACUCAAUCUGAAGCCUUUACCUGUGGAGCUGAAAUAUACAUAUCUUGAAGAAAAUAAUCAAUGUCCUGUCGUAAUAUCUUCAUCUCAAACCAAGUCUCAAGUGAAGGAUGCAAGCUUCAAAUGGGAUCCAGGCAAACUAAAUCAGGAAGGGCAAAAAGUUUUGAUGUAUGACACAAGACUCCAUAUCUUUCCUGGGAAGCUCAAGUCAAGGUGGAUUGGUCCAUUUGUUAUUCACCGAGUAUAUUCCAAUGGAGUGGUGGACUUAUUGAAUUCCAAUGGCAAGGACAGCUUUAGAGUCAAUGGAUAUCGUCUUAAGCCGUUCAUGGAGUCAUUCAAAUCAGAAAAGGAGGCAAUCAACCUCCUUGAACCUCAAAAAGCCUAAGUGAAAUGGGUUUGCUGGGCGUGGUUUUACCACAGUCCAAAAUUUUUGUAAAUUUUGUAAAUUUUCAAGUUGUUUCUAUGCUUUUGAUCUUAGUUUUUGAUCUUAAAUUAUGUUUUUAGGUGUGUUUUAAUCGUUUUAUAUGAUCCCAGGUGGAAGAAAUUUCAAGGGGAUUGAAAAAAAAAAAAUCGGGCCGAAAUUGGAGCCGAAACAGAGCAAAAACAGGGGAAAAAACAGAGCUCUGCGAAAUUUCGCAGGGUGAAGGAAACCUCUGCGAAAUGUGAUUUUUGUUGCCAAACCACUCCGCAGCACUGUAGAAGCCUCUGCGAGUGUAUUUCGCAAUUGCGAAAGUGGAUUUGGCACACGAGUGCCACUUCGCAGAACAGUAGCAUCAAUUUGGCAGCUGCGAAACGCGUUGCGAAAUGAAAAAGCGUGAUUUCGCACCAAAAGUCCUAUUCCGCAGAGUAUUUCGCAAUUGCGAAAGUGGUUUUGGCACACGAGUGCCACUUCGCAGCACAGUGACAUCAAUUUCGCAGCUGCGAAACUCACUGCGAAGUUGCUGCGAAAAUGGCAAGUUGCUGCGAAAUUGGCGUUUUGUUGCGGAACUUAAACUGACCCCUGGGCUUCCGUUUUUCCUAUUUAUACCGGUCAAAAAUGCUGCGAAAAGGGUUUCAAAAAUCAGAGAGCCAUUCUCGCAGCCCCUUCAUCUUCUUCGCCAAGCCACGCCGUCCGAACCUCCGGUCGUCUUCUCCGUUUAGCAGCGCCGGCCAAAGAUCGAUAUCUCCAAAAUGGCACGAACGCGAGGAGCAAAAUCUUCAUCUCCUUCGAACCGCAAAAGGAGUCUGCGAAAGGAGCCAAGCCCAGGUUCUGUUCCAGAACCUACUCCAAAGCCUUCGCCGUCGAGACCAAACCCUCCUCCAGUGAAGCCGGCGCCACCAAAGCCACCGGCAAGGCGAUAUUUAACCAGGUCAGGUGGUCAGCCAUUGAAGAAGAAAACCAGGGUUGAGAGCUCUGAACCAAUUGAUUUGACUGAGCAAUCCCCUGAGAAAUCACCAAAUCCUUCACCGGUACAAAUUCCAGUGCCGUCACCGGUUCCCUCGCCAAUUCCCUCACCAGAAGCAACUCCAAUUCCAUCGCCGGUACUAUCUCCGGCACCCCAAGAAAAAGCUCAGGAGCCUCAAGCGCCAAUUCCAGAGCCCCAAAUUGCAGCUGAAGCACCUCUGGAAGAAGUGAUCCGAAGGCCAAUGCUGCCUCAGCCCCCAAUCGAAGGAAACUUGGAUUGUCGAACUCGGGCAUUCCAUUCUGAAUUGUGCUUCGACUUAGCAGCAUUCAGAGUGAGGCCAGAGCUUGCCCAAUCCUUCCAACUGCUGAGGAGAUAUCAUAUGGAGCAUCUGUUAGCUCCAAGGGAUUUUUUCUAUCCUCGGGUAGUCACUGAUUUCUACCAGAGCCACACUCUCAGCCUUCAGAGUCUCAAGCUCCAGAGCCCGAAGCCCCAGCUGAUCCACCUACUGAGGAAGCAGAUCCUUCUGCUUAGCACCAUCACCCCACUCAUCAGACAUUAUAUAUAUUUGCUAUUUAUGUUUUUAUGCAUGCUUGUUUGUUUUUUUUUUUUUAGUUGAAAUGAAAUCCCAGUAUUUUGGUACUAUAUAUGGGAUUCCUUGUGUUACUUGUCUUUAGUAUUGUAAUCAAAUGAACUCAAAGUAAUACAAGUUGACUAUUUCUUGUUAAAAGUUAACAUUAAGUUAUUAUUAUUUCCUUUUCUCACAUAUUCUAUUCUUUUUGAAACAUGUGGUUUUCCCCAAUCAAUAUUCGAAUUUGAUAUCAGCAAGGAGAUACCACUUCCUCCCUUUGAUUACAGUCACUCAAAUCACAUUGAGGACAAUGCUCAGUUCGGUUGGGGGGUAUGAGGAAGGAAGUAUGCUAAAUCUUUUUGGUAUUGCAAUUAUUGGUUAAUUAGUUGUAGUUUUUACUUUUUACUCUUGUUACUCUAUUCUCCAUGAAUUUCGAGGAAAAAUUUUCAAAUUAAACCAAGAGAAAUUGAACUGUUGUUUUUCACUUGACUUAGAGUAUGGAUUAUGCUUACUAAAGUGGUUCAAUUGUUGAAACUUCUACUGAAAUUGAAUUGAGUUCUUCUACUUUAAGCUAUCCACACACUGUGCACAUUAGUUUCCGAUUAUAAGAUGAAAAACUAUUUCCCUCUUGACUUAAAAUAAUUUUGAGACUUGGUAUAUUUGACCUCAUUUGAUAAAAAUUGAAACACCCUGCAAAAGGCCAAUGAGCCUUUGAAAUAAAGAAAUUUGUUUGCUUGCCUUGAAACCCGAGCAAGGUCUGAGGGGUAUAUGGUGAAAAUCUUUAAAGCCUGGUGCCCUAAGCCUUAAUUGGUUGGGAGUCACCGACCUCAAUGCUCGUUACAAGGGUGAAUAGGUAGAGUUAGCAUAUGGUAGAUGCUUGGGUAUUAGAAAUUCAUUCUUAAAAGUCCGGGGAAAAAUCCGAGGAGUUAGUGGUUGAAAGAUCCUUAAAACUUGGUGCCCUAAACCUUAAUUGGUUGGGAGUCAUCGAUGGACCCCCAUUACAUGGACAAGUCAGAAAGAGUACCCCAUAAAGCUACCUUGAAAAAAAAAAAAAAAAAAAAAAAAAAAAAAAAAGAAAGAUGAAAGUGUGUUCUUUUCUUAUUGAUUUUGGUCAGUUUGCUAAAGUGUUGAAAAGAGAUAGGUUGGGGGGUGAGAUUAGCAUAUUAUUCUCGGAACCUAAGGAACCAAUACACAUAGAUUUUUGUGGAAGAUUGAAGUUUAGUUCUUAGAAAGUGAAAUGAUUUUAAAACUUCAGUUUGCAUAAUGCACUCCCUUGAUUGACAGUGUUUAGCAUAAGUGUUAUGACUCUUGUUGAGGUUUGGGUUUGUAUUUCUUUAAUGAUUCAUGUGAGAAAUAGAUCAUCAUGCCACUUGAGAAUUAUUUUCCUUUAGCAUGAUGUUGUAAAUUUUAGUAUAAUUAGCUAUUUAUUUUCAUUUUUCUCUCCUAUAUUGCUAAGGGACUAGCAAUAUGUCGGUUGGGGGGAGUGAUUACUACUCAAAAAGUGCUAUUUGAUAGCCUUUAAUUAAUCUUUUUUAACACUUUUGAGUAGUAGUUUAGGCCUUUUAACUCAAUUGGCAUGUUAAGGAUCCUUUAAAGCAAUUUUGAUCACUUUGUGUAAGUUUUGGUGUUUUUGUUAGUAUUUUGAUCACCAAAGCAAGUCAAGAAUGAGGAGAGCUAUGAGGAAUCAUGGGCAAAGCUUAGAAUUCAAUUGCCAAGAGUGAAUCCGGAUUGCAAGGAGAAAAAGCAAAGAGGAUCAGUCAUGGAGCAUAUUCUUGAUGACAGUCGUAGCAGCCACUUUUGGAGCACUUUCUGAAGUCCAAAUGAUGCAAGCUAUAUACCAUUUCAAAGCUCAGGAAGUCAACAAUCCAAUGCUUCAAACGGUGUGCAAUUUGGAGUUGAAACGAAGAAGUUGCAGCCAUUACAAGCCAGUCACUCUAAAGUGUUGCGGAAUCAGCCUUUUGUUGCGAGAAUUUCGCAACACUUUUGUAUAGUAAGGUGUUUCUCCUUCUGACGAUGCACGAACCAUGCCGCGAGAAGGGAGCUGGAAACUUCAAGAUGGAAGCCAACUUUGCAGCCUGGUGAAGAUAGCUCGGUGUUGCGGAAUAAUUUCGCAGCCCUCUUGGGUGUCUGCGAAAUUUCGCAGACACCACUUUUCUCCUGCGAAAUGGCUCCGGAAGCCUCCCGAAGCUUGCUACCGACAUUGGGAGAUAUUUUCCAUUAGAUUUUUGUUGUCUAAAUUCCAAAAUACUCCUUGUAAACCACCAAUUACAUGAUUCCUUAGUUUUUAAGUUAGUAAAAAGACCAAAUAUCUUUGUAACAAUUAGUUUUAUAUUGCUUUGAUAUAAAUACCUCUCGGGAGCCUGUUCUCAAGGAGGAGUUCCUUCUGUAACCAUUUGGUAAGGAAGUAAAAGUUUUUUUUCUUUCUACUACCUUACCUUCUCACUUUGUAUUUUCAUUUUAUUUCUAAGUUAUGAAUUCUCUGAGGAGUUUUCCCCAGAGAAUGAGUAACUAAACCUCCAAUUCCUUGGAGCUAAGGUUGCCGGGGAAGGUUCCAAGUGCAAAAAUGCAAAACUCUGUGGUUUUAGCUAGUAAUGAAGAGGAAGUGAAAUCCUUUAGUGAUUUCAAUGUUUUUAGUUAACUUAAAACACCUUAGAGUCACCUGGGCCAACACUUGGUAAGGCAAGUGAUUUCCAACCAUGGAAAUGCACUAGUUUACCCCUUGCGAGCCUCUGGUAGGUGACUUCAAGGUAGGAUUUUCUGGAAUUACCAACACUUGGUAAGCUUUUGGACUCCUAGGAGACAUCCAUUAGUUAUCUCUUGCGAGUUUGUGAAGGGAAGUCCAAGGUUAAAGAUCACCUUGAAUGGUAAGUGCUCGUGAGAGGCAUGAACCAUUGCAAGUUGUAUCAGUGAGAGAAUUAAAGUGAAAUCUAAUUGAAGGAGUCUCUGUACAUCACCGAUUAGAGAAUUGACUUUAAGUUGAAUCUCUAAUGCGAGGAAAUGAACCAUCUGACCGGAGCUAUGUCUUUUGCAUGAGGAACCACCCCAGUGAACCUAAAUCUCCAAGGAAUGCUUUUUCUUCCUAAAUUAUUCCAAACUUCUGUUAAGUUAGUUAGUUUAAGUCUAAACCUUUACCAAUCAAACUUUGUGUUUUACUUCUUAAGCUAACCGUGAAAUGAAACAAGACCAAUUCACUUGGAAUUGGUAUCCUUGAUUGCUUGCAAAUCAUUCCCAGUGAACGAUCCUUAGAGCCACUAUACUAUAGUAGCUUUGUAUUUGCUACCCUAGUGUAUGGUGUUAUAGGUAUAAAUUUUGUUGAUCACUUCCUCAAUCAAGGAGCACCAGCUGAACACAAAUCAGCUGAGACACCAAUUGGGCAUGAGUCAGUCACUGUGGGGGAGAGACACAUGUCUAAGGUUUUGUGCAAUGAAUUCUAUCAUUGGAUCCCAUAUCCUGUUGAACUCUAUAAUACUCGAGCACAUUAAUGUGGUAGGUUGAAUAUGGUGUUGUUGUUGGACGACUCUUUGGCCAACAUGCAUAACAAAUCGAUUUUGGGUCUUGUUAUUGUAGGUGUCGAUAAUAUGUAUAGCUAGUCCCAGGUUGUCAUCUAUUUUGAGGGAUGGUAGUUCAUCUUGUUCCUUUGCCUCAACCGAGGUUGGUCGUCGUGGUGCAUAUUUCUUUACGUAUUGUUGUAAUCCUUUACACCACACUACAUUCUCGAGAUAUCAAUGUAGGGCCUUACAAUGAUUUGUUUGAUGUCCAUGAAUGUGAUAAUAAUGGAAAUACUUGGAUCUAUCUUGCUAUUCAGAAGGCUAGAUGGGCGUUGGAGGCCAUCAGAAGUUCGGGUCAUCUUUUAGUUUAGCCAACAAUUCUUGAGGUGAGGUCGUGAAUUCUACUCAGGUCACGGAUGAGGUGAACUUAACGGGAGGAUUUUUAUUGAACCUUUUUUUUUUCUUAGGUCCAACUCCUCAAUCUAAAGUAUGUUUGACUAGUGUGAUCUUCCUUUUUUUAUCUACGACCCUUAGCUCUUCUUCCUUGUUGGCGUAGUGGUUUGCUUUCACUAAGAGUUCCUCCAUGGUAGUCAACCCACUUUUCGCUAGUGACUACAGUAGAGGGCUUCUAGGCUAUAAAGUCUUUCUGAAAGCAACAAUUACCGCCCGCUAGUCAUUGCUUUCCACUUGGACCAUUUCAGUGAUGAACUAAUGGGUGAAUUUUUGCAAUGAUUUCGCUGUUGCUUGCUUCAGGUUGAAUAGAUAAUCUACACUUCCUUUCGUUGUAGGCAUAUUAGGUCAUAAACUGGUCACACGAUUGCGUGAAGCUGUUUAUGGAAUGCAGUGGAAGCUAAUGGAACCACGUUAGGGAUGACCCAUGCAAGCUGGUCGGAAAGACUCGUUAGAGUAGUCCCUCUCGAACAUCCACAAGGGCCAUUAGUUACUGGAAAUGAUAUAUGUGUCACUGGUUCCAUCAUAGAGGUUGAAUUUUGGUGGGACGUAGUGGGUACAAUUCUUCUUGGAACAAAUGUAAUGCAAGGAUUUAAGUUUAUUUCUUUAGCUUCGAGUGGCCUUGACAGGUGAAUUAGCUUGCAAUUUGAUUUUUUGUACUUCUGUUGCCAACUUCUUGUAUUUUCGUUCAAGAUCCUCUGGUUUUUGGAUAGGUCAAACCUUAAGAAUGGUUGUCUAGGUUGUCAAGGUGCCCUACGUGCGGCUGAUCACACUUCUCUCUAAAACCUGGUCAUUCUUGUGGGGGGUUCCCCUCCACGUGUCCUUUCCAGACUCAAGACCCUUUGGUCGACCAGGGCAAACGUGUAACCUGUCUGGACCAAGUUAAGCUCCGUCUAGCAUUAGAAGUAAGAAGUUUUCCUUCUUCCAUAAUGCCAAACAGAAUGGACAAACCAAACUGGUUGACCUUUCAAACAAGUUCGCAAUGCCGGAUGAAAUGGAUAGACCAAGUUGGUUGGACUUUUCAGACGGGUAAAUCAAUCUAGUCAAGUUCUUAGGAUUUUUGACAUGUGUGGUUAACCAUGCUUGAUAUCUGAGCACCGACCUAGCCGGUUGAUGUCUGAGCGUUGGACUAGACGCCAUUUACACCCAAAAGUCAAUGUCAAUUAAUUGUAACACAUAAUCCCAAACAUUGGCAAGCUAAAUGAACAGUUAGCUACACGGUCCAAGAUUUUGGUACAACAGUCAGCAAAUGGCACCAAUCAAAAGCCCUUACUUGAUGUUAUUGCCCAGUCCACGCAGUAAUGACGACGUUGACAGUCCACACAAUUAUCAUUACAAGAUAAGGGCGAUGGCAUCAACUCUAUAUAAAUCCCUCAAGAAGCAUGAAUAAAGUACACACACUCAUUCUCUCCCACAAAAAUAGUUAGAGCUAUCCCCAUCUAACUUAAGCUUCGGAGGGGUGUGCUUGGACCAUUAGUUCAGACAUCCUUCUGUGUAGGGAAAAAGUCCGUCUGACUCCAGUAAAGUUGGACGAACUCUUCAACAAGUACGAACAAGGGAAGAAGUUCACCUAACUCUAGUGAAGUUGGACAAACUUGAAUCCAGUUGGCUCGACACCAACAAUUCUAGGUUGAUAGGUACACAUUGUUUAAAUUUCAACGCAAUUGGCAUAUUAGGCCGUCUUGUCGAAUUAGAAUAUUUUCUAUUUGCUGUUGGUGUUCUUACUGUUGUCAUUCCAGCUCGUGAAGGAUUUGUGAUAGUUGGUUCUGCAUAACAUCUAACUUGUCUAGGUUGUGCUUGGAUUUCCUUCCUCAUUUGCAAAUUCUCCAUUCAUGGCUUCUUUGCUCAUGCUGAGAUGCUAUUCUCAACAUCUUUUCCACAAACAAGGUCAUUGAAGUUGCAAUGAUUAGCACUAUCCUUUUUAUUAUUAUUAUUAUUAGUAUUAAUUUAGCUAUAUAAGUUUAAAAGAUUGCUAAAUAUGGUUCCUUCUUGCUUCAUGGUGUAGGCUUUAUAUGGCCUCUCCCUUUGUCAAUGCUUUAGGCUUUUGGUUAUGCUUUAUUGACUUUAAGGUGCAUGGGACAAGAGUGAUUGAGCUCGACUUUUUAGGGGUAGAUCGAUUAGUUAAGUCGACCUGCAAGUCUUAGGUGGGUUGUCUUUCUUUCAGGUCCUUGGUUUGGAGUGAGGUGAUUUUGUGAAGGGAAACUUGUGUUUAGGGCUGGUAAUAUCACAAUAUUAUGAGAUUGAAAACCCAACUUUUCAUUUUUUAAUAUGAGAUCGAAAACUAUUUUUUAAUACCCAAUAUGCCCUCCUCUUUCUGCCAGGUCAACCUCCACGUGGAAAAAAAAAAAAAAAACAAAAACUAAAAAUAAAAAGAACAACUUAAUAGCAACCGAACCUUCUUCCAUCUGAGUGUGCUCUAGUAUUACCUCCACCAUAACUCAUCCCAAACUUCUUCACGUCCAUCCGCGGACUCCCCACUGUUGGGUCAACUGCUCCUCUCCCACCACGUGUCGCUAGAUCUUCCGCCCACCUCACCAUCCUCUCAAUGUGCCACGUCAUGCUCUGGUGCUGCAACCUUGUCGGUGUCACUAUCAAUGACGUCGUUUCAUUGCAGUCACCGUGGCGAUGGCUGAGGAACCUUGACUCUAUGUAUCGCAUUAGCGUCUCCCCCGAGUCGAGGUUCCCUCGAUAGCCGCUAAUGAUGAGCCGCAACCGUGACUGCGAUGAAACGACGUCGUUGAUAGUGAUGCCGACAAGGUUGCAGCACCGGAGCAUGACGUGGCACAUUGAGAGGAUGUUGAGGUGGACGGAAGAUUUGGCGGCACGUGGUGGGAGAUGAGCAGUUGACCUGACAGUGGGGAGUCCACGGAUGGAAGUGAAGAAGUUUGGGAGGAGUUAUGGUGGAGGUGAUGUUGGAGCACGCUUAGAUGGAAGAAGGUCCGACAGCUAUUAAGUUGUUCUUUUUAUUUUUGGUUUUUUUUUUCCACAUGGAAGUUGACCUAGCAGAAAGAGGAGGACAUAUUGGGUAUUAAAAAAUAGCUCAACCAAAGUGCAUGAAGCCUAUAUUAUUUUUGGGAUUAGAAUAGUUAUAUUAAAAAAAUGAAAAGUUGGGUUUUCAAUCUCAUAAUAUUGUGAUAUUAUCAGCACCAAACACAAGUUUCCGUUUUGUGAACCCUCAAAGUCAAAGUCUCCUUUUUCCCUUUAGUUCUAAAUUUUUUCAUUAAAUAAGGAUUUACUUAUUUUUUUAUUUUUGAAAAGAAACUGAACUAAACGUUACAGUAACCUUACUAUAACCCUAAAAUGUCUUGGUAAUUACGUGGCUAUCCAUGUUCAGAUUGGUUGUUUAUAUGGAAGCACAACAGAAGACGUCCUCACAGGUAUGAGGAUACAGGCAAGAGGUUGGAAAUCCACAGAUUGCCGGCCUGACCCUCCUGCAUUUCUUGGGUGCGCACCCUCAGGAGGGCCUGCUGCACUUACCCAACAGAAGAGAUGGGCCACUGGCCUCCUUGAGAUCCUGUUCAGCAAGAACAGCCCAUUCAUUGCCGCCUUCACUGCAAAGCUCCAAUUUCGCCAAUGCCUUGCAUACCUGUGGUUUAUUUCAUGGGCUUUACGGUCAAUUCCCGAGCUUUGUUAUCUUGCUUUGCCAGCAUAUUGCAUCAUGGCCGGCUCACAUUUCUUGCCCAAGGUGAGCAAAACUAAAACCAUUCAGUUUUCCUCUUAAAUGCAUACAUAGCAUUAGUAGUAGUACUUCACCAACCUUUGUUUUAUCAUCAUUGACGCAGGUCCAAGAGCCAGCUGUGUUGAUACCAAUAUCCCUCUUUGUCAGUUACAAUUUUUACACUCUAUUUGAAUACUAUGGAGCUGGGUUUUCAAUCCGAGCAUGCUGGAACAAUUUGAGGAUGGGGAGAAUAACCGCAGUGACUGCAUGGUUAUUUGGAUUUUUCAGUGUCAUUCUAAAGCUCCUGGGGUUAUCGGAGACCGUCUUUGAAGUUACAAAAAAGGACCAAUCUACUACUCCUGGUGAAGGCAGUGACAAGGAUGCUGGUCGAUUCACCUUUGAUGGGUCUCUGAUUUUUGUUCCGGCCACUACUCUUUUGUUGGUGCACCUGAUGGCACUUGUUACAGCCUUGUUAGGACUAUUUGAUCAUGUCGGGAUCGAAUCAAGAAUAGGGGAGAUAAUAUGUAGCGUGUGGGUGGUGCUAUGCUUCUCGCCGUUUCUUAAAGGCCUGUUUGGGAAAGGAAAAUAUGGGAUACCCACAUCCUCCAUAAGCAAGUCAGUAGCUUUGGCAUUGCUUUUUCUUGCUUGCACUACUACAGUAAGAAAAUGAUUUUAUUGAAAACCGUACUGUUUAUUAAGCAUAAUUGUUAAUCAAGUGUGUUAUGACAAGUAUCAUCCGGUUCAGUGUACGAACAAAUUUGUUGCAAUUAUAAAGGCAGUUUGCUUUUCACCAUUGCCGUAGCAGCAGCAGCUCCAUGAACUGAAAUGAAGAAAUGAUCACAAGCAGUUAAAACUAUCCAAAAGUUUAUACAGUUGAAAAUUGGCGUAAGGUUAAAUAGAAUAAAAAUAUUUGAAAAAGUGAGAUCAACCUUUUACUUUUUCAACCAAAAAAAUAUAUUAAAAUGCAUUUUAUUUGAUAUGAGUUUAAUUAAUAUAUUUUAAAAAAUAUAAUGACUAAAGAACCUUAUUUAACAUUUUCAUAAAUUUAAAAAGUAAGUAAUUUAACAAUAUUGUAUGGGUGGAAAUAAUACAUAUAUACCCUUGUUUAAUUGAACGUAUUUUCUCUUUUGCUUCUCUUUCUUCUUUGAAUUAGAUUAUUUAGUCAUUACUAUCAAAAUAAGAGUAAUUUCUCUUAUUUCAAAAGCCAAAAGGUAAAACAAAUUUCCUUUAUAAGUUUUUGUCAAACUUAGGUGGUAUUUAUUUUUUGGUUAAAUAAAAAAGGUCAAAAUAUUUAGGUUUUUUUAUUCGGUUAAAACUAUAUAUUGUUAAUUUGUUCAUAUUUAGCUGUUGUAAGUUUUUAAAAUUAGAAAUGAUGUGAGUGACAAAAAAAAAAUCAUCAACAAGAUAUUUGAAUGCUCAUGAAUAACGGGGUGGGAGGGGAUGGGUGUGGUUCAUGGUGGUGGUGCUUGUGGGCCUAAGGUUGCCUCUUAGGACAUUUAAAUGCCCUCUUGGGUAUUUGAAUGCUUGCCCUUAAUUAUCUCUUUAUUUUUGCAAUAUUUUGAGUUUUUCUCCAUUCUUAAUGCCCUUAAUUAUCUCUUUAUUUUUGCAAUAUUUCGAGUUUUUCUCCUUUCUUUUCAUCCUAAUUUCAUAUUUUAGUUAUUCUAUAAGUUUUAUCAACUUUAGAUGCAUACACACUUAAAAAGACAAUGAUUUUGAAAUGGUUUGAGGUUAGCUUUAAAGUAGUCCGAAGUUAAAUAGAAGGUUAUAAGAUGUAAAGAAAUAUGUCACAUCCAAUCAAUAAAAAAUAUAGCAAAAUUGCCAACUAAACCUUACAUAUCAACAAGCUAAUACGAAAAGAAAUUAGUUCCCUCCUAUGAUAAAAAACUUAGGAGUGUAAUUAAUCCUAUAAGGAUUUUUGAUAUUAUCUUUUAGAAAAGAAAAUUGGUUUUAAAAAUCACCGACAGGGAUUAAGAUCAAGUGGUAUUAGACUCGGUUUUUACCAAAUGAUAAAAAGCUCAAGUGUGUAGUUAAUCCAAUAUGUAUGUAUGUAUGUAUGUAUGUAUGGAGAGAUAGAAAUCAACCUCCUUGUGCAAUUGCAGUUGCCAUAAUUAUUGUCGUGUAAUGAAUAUUGUUUCAUGUGGUUCAUCUUUGAAACCCUACAAUCACUACCUACCCAAGGUGAAAUGAUAUUCUAUUUUGGUAAUGCUUUAUCUAAGCAUGAUAAUAAUUGACAAGGAGUAAAACAUGUAAAAACAUUUUCCUAUUUGAUUUAGGUCGAGGGUUAGUAGCUAGACACAUCCACCAUUCCUCCCUUCACACCUAGCUACUUUAUUGAGAAAAAUAAAAAAGAAAGAGCAGGUGUAGGGAGAGAAAAAAUAAGUGUAUUUAACAACAUCCUAAGUCAUUAAUAUAUAUAAUUGAUAAAAAAAAAAUUGAAUUACCUUCAAAGAUACUCAAGAAUCCUAAUUUGACUGCUUCAUUGACAAGUUUUUUGUGUCAAGUUAUGAAUGAAAUAAGAUAUAAAAAUAAUUUGACUUUGAAUUUUUUUUUUUUUACUUUUUCUUUUAUUUUAUUUUUCCUUUUUAUUUUCUUUUCCUCUCAGUUUCCUCAAAAUUUUGCGAGAGCCAAACAUAACAUUAAUAUUUUGAUACCUUAGACCUUGAAUUUUAGGCACUAGUGAGUGACUUUCAUGGUAAAAAGGAGACAAUGAAAAUUCGGGCAACAAUACUAAUUUAGAAAUAUAUGUGCCCAAAAACAUUUCUUCUUAAGGCCAAUGUUUGUUUUAUUUGUGGAGUCUCUUUCCCUUUCUCUAGCUUGAUGAUCAGAGGUUUUGUGGUCGAUGGGGGCAGGAGGUCUCACCUUGAAUUGUGUGAUUGCAAAGACUGAUUUAUUGAGCCAAAUCCAAGGAAAGAGAGAGAGCCAAAAAAAGAAUCAUAGUAUUAAGCCAAAACAUUGAACUAAAAGAAAGUUUUAGAAUGCAAUAACUUCAUGUUUGUGUUACAAACCGGGCUCGGUUUGAUUGUUGAGAAAAUGGGAGGAAAACACAGGAAAGACGGUUUUCAAUCCUAUGUUGUAAAUAUUAACAGGGUUGUAGGCUCCAAUUGGCAGUUUAGACAAUCUAGGAGACAAAAGAAAAGCAUGUUCAAAUCUAUGUGGUACCUAUUUUCUCUAUUUUAAAAUUAAAAAAAAACGAGUAACUUUUAUAAAAGAUAUAAUAAUUCUUAAAGGUUUAUGGAAAGCAAUGAUUUAAAAACAGUCUAAAAAAAUUCAAAUAUAAAAUCUUUUUAUGACCUUAAAUUUAAAAAUUCUUAAAAGUGAUUUUUAACUAUAUAAAUUAAAUACAUACAUUUUAUAGAAAAUAUUAUGGGUGACAAAGUUUGAUAUGAUUUACUAACAUAAUCCGAACCCAACAUAUAUUUCACUGGUUUGGAUCAAAUUCGUAUUGACUUGUUAAACUCAUUUAAUAAAUAGGUAAUUUUUGGAUUAACUUGCAUAACAUGAAUUUGUUCCAUUUAAUAAUCUUGCUAUUAAUUUAAUUAUAUCUUAAAACUAUUUAACUUAUAUUUGAUUUAUUUUAAAUUUAUUUUUAAAUAAAUAGAUCAAUUGAAUCAUAAAUAUAUUUAAUUGAAAUAUUAAUCAUAUAAACAUAUGGACAACUUAACUCAAUAUAAUUAUUAUAUAGGAAAACUAAUUAUUAAAUAGGUUAAAUGGGUUGUUAAACUUGUUACCUAUUUAAUUAUUAGGUAUUAUUUGAGUUUAUGUUUUUGACAUGAUUAUUAUUUAUAUCGGGUUUGGGUUGAGUUAUAUAUUAAAAUACCUAAACUUUGACACAAUACAAACAUGACCAAUCAACACAAAUUACCACCCCUACAAAAUAUUUUACUUUUAUAUAUAAAAGUUUUUAGGACUUUAAAAUAAUAAAAUAUUUAGUUUAUCCAAACUAAUACCAAAUUUUUCAUGCAAGCGAAAAUUAAAUGAUCUAAUCAACCAUUACUAAGACAACUAUUUGGUAGAACAAAAUCAACAAACAUAUAGUUAUUUCCAUUCUUGUUUUAAGCAACUAAAAAGCAAACAAUUUAACAUAUCUGUGAAAAAAAAAAAAAAACUAAAACCAAAUAUUCCGUUAAGUUAAAGAAUAGGAAAAAAGAAAGAAAAUUUAAAAAAUUUCUAGAAUUGCACUAUAUUUUGCCUCUAGAAGGUAAUUAAAAAAAAAGACCAAUGUUAACAAAUUUGUUUUUUAGAAAAAAAGGAAGAAGAAAACACUAAAACCAAAUCUUCCCGUAUGGUUAGAAUAGAGAAAAUGGAAGAAAAUUUAAAAUUUGGAAUUGCAAAAACAACUUCAACAAAUUUAUAAAACACAGGAAACACUAAAACGAAAUAUUCCAUUUGGUUAGUGAAUGAAGGAAAAUAGAGAAAAUUUAAAAUUCUGGAUUUAACAGAGGUGAGUUUUGUGGUUCUUUAAUUUAUAUUAUAUUAUUAUUAAGGAAUAUUUGGUUAAAAUGGGCAAAAGAAGCCCUCGUAAUUAAUCAUUUUUAUACCAAAUUACCCUCAAACCAUCACCUAUUAAUACAACGACAUUAUUUCAUUCCAAAUUCAAAGCAAUGCCUAUUGUACCUUCUUAAAAUUAAGUUAAAUGUCAAUGGACACAUACAAUACGUCCAGACACUUCUUAUUGAUUUUCAUAACCCCACCAUGCAAAAAUGGGAUAUACAUUUAAAAUGGAUGUCAAAGAAGGGUUAAAGUCAAAUAAUAUUUUUCACAAUAUACAUACUAUAUAUAGGAAUGUGGUAUAAUUAAUUCUUGACAUCUGGUAGACAAAGAAUAUUUCAAAAAACUUAAGAACAAAUAUGUAUAAAAUAAAGAGAUCCCAACAUCCCAAGUAAAUAAUUGUUAUAAUGGAUGCAAAUUUUGGACUACUAGUUAAUAUCAACAAUGGGUUUAAAAAAGUAUCUAAAAAUAUCAAAUUUAAAUAUUUGUACUUGUGGUAUACGAGAUGUUGCUUAGUCAAUUAGUUAUGAAAUACCAUUAACUCUAUGUGUAUUAUCAAUAUCUCUACAUGGGAUUCAUUGAGAUAUAAACUUUUCCCUUAUUUUUUUUGAGAAGAGAAGGGAAACAUACUCAAUAUUAUUUGAUUGAAUAGUUGACAUAACUCCUUAUUAUUUGAAGAAACCCUUCACUUUAAUUAAUACUUUUUAGGGAUUCAAUUUGGAAGGAGGAAGGUCGGUUAUAAGUUAAAUGUUAGAAAGAUUAAAAUCAAUGGGUGCUGGAGCUGCUACAAUUGCUUUAGCCACAACUUUUCCCACCCAUGUUGACUUUAUUAAGGUAAUCCAAAAGAGUUUAGAAGUCAUCUCUAAACUAUAAAAAGAUAAAAUCAAUCGAUUGUUAUUGAUUUUGAUAGCUAACUAAAUUUUGGGUUGUUUGAUCAAGUAAGGUAAACACGAUAGAAUUCAUAACUGUCUUGAUGUUAUGUUUUUUUCUUUUUAAUUUAAUUCAAAUCUAUUUCUUCACUAUACGUAAUUUAUACCUAGCUUAUUUUUUAAGUUUAAGCUCUCUCGAGGGACAAAAUUAGCUGCAAGAGUUCUUUCAUCUUUUUUUCUUCUUUAAUAUUGUCAAAUCCUCCAUUUGAGUUCUUCCAUGUUUUUUUUUCCUUCUUCAAGAUUGUUACAUUUUCCAUUUUUUUUAAAAUUUUUUGUUGAGGUUUUUUGUAGCUGUUUUUUAUUGCAAUUUUUUUUACAUUUGUUUUUUAGUUGGGUUUUUUUUUCGUAGCUUUUUUUUUGUUAGGGUUUGUAGUUGCUUUUAUUAGGGUUUUUUGGGUGUUGUUUUUUAUUAGGGUUUUCUAUCUAUAUAUAUAUAUAUCUAUAUAUAUAUAUAUAUAUAUAUAUUGUGAUUUUUUACAAUUUCAUUUAAACUUCUAUGUUGUUUUUGGCUAGAGGUUUUUAUAGUUGUUUUUUUUGCAUUUAUUUUUUGUUGGGAUUUUGGCAGGAGUUUUUUGUAGUUUUUUUUUUUAUGGGGUUUUUUUGUAGUUGAGUUUUUAUUAGGUUUUGAACAUGAGAUCAAAUAAAUGAACAUCUAAUUAAGAUUUAUUGAUAAAAUAAAAAUUAAUGUCAUUUAAGUUCUUUUAAAAUGAAACUUAAUCAUAGUACAAUUUAGGUUAUAAUAAUCAAGUUCUUUGUAGAUGAAAGGGAAACUUAACCUUAAUUAAGAUCUUUCUAAAUGAAACUUAACUAUAGUAUAAUUUAGAUUAUCAUUAUAAUAGAGAACUAACCUUAUUUAGGUUUUUUUGUAGGCUUAACUUAAUUCUGGUGUAGUUCAAUUGAACACCCACAAUGAAAAAUUUAUCUUAGUAAGAAAAGCAAACUAAAAAGAUAAAUAUAUUAUAAAAAAAUGAUGAAAUGCAUAAAGCGAAAACAAAAAGUGGGAAGGUGAUGUUUUUGGAGCAGUGUAGUUCAGAUGAACACUUUGAACAAAAAUGAAAACAAGUUGUUUGAGAGAUAAAACAAUAGAUAGAGCAUUAUGAGAGGAGAAAGAAUUUUCUCAAAGCGUCAUGAAGGGAAAUAAAAAUAAAACAAAUUUAAAACAUAAUAGAUGGCAACAAUUACUAUUGUUGGUUGGAUGAAUUGUAACAGGUAAAGGAACAGUGGCUUGGAUUUAGUUAGAUGUGGAACACAACAGUGAGCCAUCAGAAGCACGAGACCAAUGGGCACAAGAGUAAGGAUGGAAUAAUUUUUCUCUCUUAUUCUAAGGGCUGGGGUGGGGGGACUUUUAUAGGUAAAGUUCUAAGGAGACUCUCCUCUAAAAGUUGAAUGUCUAAAAUUAAUUUAAAAUAGUUUACCUAUUCCAGUCCAUUAACAUGUUCUCAAAACCUAAUUCCAUACUCCAACUACGGAGGACCCAGUGAAAGACUUAUAUAUCCAAAAGGAAAAACCCUUAAAAUUAAUAAAAAAGAAUCAACUUUUAUUUUGUAAACGAAGGUUAAAAUUGGGAACAUAGGAACCUCUAUGCUUGACGAAGAUUUUCUAGAUUGGGUUACUUUAAAUCCUACUUGAUAGGCCUGGACUCCUUGGGCACGCGAGACCCCUACUUCCCUCUCGACAAGUGUUCAAUCCCCUUUCAAUGUAGAAUUGUCCAUUUUAGCUUGAGCAGUCCAAUACACACACCCACAUGCAUUUUUUCCGGACGCUCUUUUCUCCUUAAAAGUAAAACAUUUUGUACAAAAAGUAUAAAUUUAUUUUAUGUUCUUAAAAAUCACUUUAACAAUUUUAACUUUUGAGGUAAUAAACUUUUUUGAUACCUAAUUUUUUUUAUACCUUUUUUAAAACCACUACAUUUUUUGUGUAAGUCUUUUAAGAAUUCUUGUACUUCAUGUAAAAGUUACUAUUAUUUUUUUUUUAUUUAAAAAAUAUAAAACAAGAAGUAUAUCCAAAUAGAUACUAAAUUUAGUAUUAACUUUCAUUAAAUAUUAAGUAAUGAGCUAUGAGAUAGACAAUUAAGGGAGCCAAGAUGAAUUAAGGGAAAUUGAUUUCUUUCAACUCUUUUUAGUACUUUGAAAGGAUAUUUUUGGCAGUGAUUUGGGUAAAAGUCUUUUUAGUCUUAGUGGUUUUCGUGGUAAAACUUGUAUAAUAAAUACUAUUAUGGAUACUUAUAGCCUAUUUGGGACUAUAUUCGAAAACAAAAAAUUGUUUUUUUAGAAUUGAAAAUACAUUUCAUAAAUUUUUAAUGGAAAGUAGUUUUUUUAAAAAAAAAACUUGUUAUGAAAAGAAAGUGUUUUUGAAAACAUAUAUAUUUUAACUAUUUUAAAUUGUUUUCACUUAUCUGCUAAGGAUUGUUUUAAAAAUAGUUAUGCAAACAUGAAAGGAUUGAAAACAAAGCAUUAUAGAUAAAAGUUUUUAUUUGUAUUUUUUUUUAAAUUUGGAAACAUACAAAAAACGCAAUGCGAAUAUACCAAGUUUCUAGAUAGUUUUUUGUUCUAAAUAAUAUCAGAGAACUAUUCUCAAUUUUUUUUUCCUUUUUGAAAAUUGUAAGUUCUCAAACAGGUCUUUAGUAUUUGAAAAAAAAAAAAAGUUUUUCAUAGCAUUAAUUUUGGCAAUUUGUAUAAUAAAAAAUGAUUUUCAAAGGAAACGUCAAUCAAGUCCUAAUAUAAAAAAUGAUUCUCUAGAUUUUUAAUUAAAAAUAAUCUUUAGUAUGAAGGAAAGAAUAAGCUCUGAAUUUCAUAUAUCAUACACAAAGCGGGCCAUGUGACCUUCAAAUAUGUAACGGUAAUAGUAAUAUUGUCAUAUUUUGUCAAUUGUCCCCAGAAAACUCCAAAUUGCAUGCGCUUAAUAUAUGUUGAAUACAUCGAUGUAAUCGGACAUAAAACAUUUAUAUUGUAGCAGCAAUAUAAGUAAAGGCUAUACUUGUAUGUCCAAUGAGAAAAAAACAAGAGGAAAAACUACUGUUGGGUUUGUUUUGCAAGGAAUGGUCAGCACAACUGUAAGUGCAAUAACACCUCCGCAAACUGCCUACACCAUUUGUCCAACAAGUAUCCUCCUCCAUUUUCCAAUGGCCAAACCAAUCUCCUAACCUCUCUACGAAAAAAUUCCCCAGAAAAACACUCUCCAUAGAGCCUUGGAACUCACCAUCUUCUUCCUUCUCCUCUCUCUCCUUGCUUAUCGUCUCCUCUCCCUAAAAAACAAUGGCUUCACUUGGCUCCUCGCCUUCCUCUGUGAGUCAUGGUUCGCCUUUAUUUGGAUUCUUAACUUGAGCCCCAAAUGGAAUCCUGUGUCCUACAAAACAUACCCUGAACGCCUUCUACAAUGUUAUCGGUAUCCAAUAAUUCUCUUAGUAAAACUCUUCAUGCGCUUUGGUGUUUUUUUCUGCCUUCAAAUUUUAUAUACAACCAUACUUGCGAUAUUUCUGAACAGAGAGAGUUGAUGAGCUUCCUCCAGUGGACAUGUUUGUGGCAAUUGCAGACCCCAUGCUGGAACCCCCUAUCAUCAACAAUCCUCUCCUUGCUGGCAGUUUACUAUCCAGAUAACAAGCUUUCUUUCUACGUGUCCAAUGAUGGGGCUUCCCCUCUCACCUUCUUCGUUCUCCUUGAAGCAUCCAAGUUUGCUAAGCUUUGGGUUCCUUUCUGUAAGUAUGGUAUUCAAACUAGAGCUCCCUUUAGAUACUUUUCCAGCGAGUUGGCAUCAUCCCAUGAUAAUUCAAUGGGGUUCCUACAAGAAUACAAAAAGAUAAAGGUAAGUGCGUGAUUCCUAGUAGGAACCAUUAAUACUGGAAAUUAAUUAUAUUAGUUCAGAUGAUUUUUACUAUAAUUUUAAUUACAAUUGUUAAAAUGCAGAUGAUUUUGAAUUUUGAAAUUUCCUUUUCCUUUAGUAUAUUGGAUAUCGAUCCUUUUCUUUUCUAUUUAUAUAUAGACCUUCUUCAGUAAAGAAUUCUACUAGCUAGCUAGUAAGUUACUUUUCCAAACAUACUGGCCUCCUCUCCAUCAUGGUACAGUGAUGCUUUGAUAAAAGCUUUUGCAUAUCUGUCUUUCGUUUAAACAAUUUUGUUCAUCUUCAUCUCCUUUAGGAACGAUAUAAAGAGCUUACACGAAAAAUUGAAGAUGCAACUCUAAAUUCAAAGCCUUAUGAACUUGGUACUGCAGAGUUUGUGGCUUUCUCAAAUGUAGAAAGAAGAAACCAUCCGACCAUAAUCAAGGUAUGUUCAUAUAUAGCUCAUCUGUUAUUUACUUAUUAUUACCUUGUUAAUUGUAGAUCAAAGUAAGCAACCAAUUUAAAAUCUGUUACUUUUAGGUUAACACUGAGAGGACGAGUGGUGGAAAAGGAAGCAUUUGACAAUAUUUCGAUAACCAUGAACGGUGACUUUGUAGGUUAUAUUGCUGAACAAAGAAAGCCGCUCUGAAGGGUUGCCACAUCUAGUCUAUGUGUCUAGAGAGAAGCAUCCCAACCAUCCACACCAUUACAAAGCCAGUGCUAUGAAUGUUCUGGUAAGGAAGCUCCUUGAAUUGGUAUAACUACUGAUAUCCCUUUUUGUUUAAUAAAGAAGAUCCUUCAAUUGGUAUAAUUAAUGAUAUCCCCUUUUUUCCCCUGAUUGUUUCAUGAUAACAGACUAGGGUCUCUGGAGUUAUGACAAAUGCUCCUUUCAUGAUGAACGUCGACUGUGAUAUGUACGCUAACAAUCCACAGAUUUUUCAUCACGAAAUGUGUUUGCUCCUUGGUUCCAAGAAUGAACAGGAAUGCGGGUUUGUUCAGACUCCACAACUCUUCUAUGAUGGACUAAAGGACGACCUAUUUGGAAAUCAGCUAGUAGUGUGGUAUAAGGUAAUUUCAAUAGUGAAGAGCAAUCUCUUCCAUACUAUAGAGCACGUACGCGCAUAUUUUUUUGAUAGCGAGUCCUACGAAAAUCUUGUGCUUAUGUAGAAGCCUAAUUUCUUUUUUGCUUCUUAAUUAAUGUGUUUGAAACAGUAUAUGGGGAGUGGGAUAGCAGGGCUUCAAGGACCUAUGUAUUCUGGAACGGGAUGUUUUCAUCGAAGAAAAGUUAUCUAUGGGUUAUGGCAAGAUGGCAGGAUGGAAAUCAAAGGAAGAAGUGGUAUGCAAAUCAAAUUUUUCAUGGUCAUUCUUCACUGUACAUAUCUUCUUGUUUUCUGUCAUUCUAUGAAACCAUGCAUUGCAAUUUUUCUACUGUUUGGCAGGAAAAUUAACUGAUCAUGAGGGAUUACAAAAAACAUUCGGAAAUUCAAAGGAAUUCACCAGAACAGCAGUAAAGAUUUUAUCAGGGUUGAGCGGGAAUUUGGUAAAUUCUACCACAAGAAUAACAAUUAAAUACCAACAAUUAUGAUAUUUAUAUCUCAUUUAACAUUUUUAAAGCAAAGCUAAAUCAUUUUACACAUUUAGGGUUUCCAAAAACAACCUAAAUGAAAAUUAUAUAACGAUUUGCUACACCCAACAACUCACUCAUUUUCAUGGAAGUUUUUGAAAAUAAAUAAAAGCAAAACAAAAAACCCCAAAAAAAGUCUAAGGAAAAACACAUCCCUACAUGUACCGUAAAAUCUAACCGUGGGAUCGAAAAUCUGACUCCUUAGAAGUGUUCACUGUGCUAAAGACUAUCAUUGCCUGAAAUUUCAUCAUGAUCGAAGUUCGUUUCACCAUUAGAUCAAUGGAGACACACGAAUGACCAUCUCUCUGCAUCUCCUCUAUACUUUCCCUAUUCUUAAAUACUUUUCAAUAAAAUAAGUCAUAAAAAAUUAUAAUAUUUUAAUUAUUUAUAAAAUAUAUUUAUUUUAAUGUGAAUAAUUUUUUUUUAAAAAGAAUCUAAAAAAGUUUCCAAUAUAAGUUUAAUAGGAGAGGAUAAGGUGAGUAUGAAAAAUUUAUAUCCUAUUUAAUUUUUUUAACAAGAUGAUGAUAAAAAAUAUUUUGAAUAAAUAAGAUAAGACAGGGAUAAGCAUCUCUAAUCCAUUUUAUUGCCAUCUCUACACGAUUGAAGAGAAUAUUUUUUGACAUGCAAUUUUUCUUAUAUUUUAUGUUAUUUUCAAAACUCCUUGUACAUUAGAGUUGUAAACAUGCAUGAUUAAUUGAAUAAAUUAGGAUAAAGAUAAUGUCACAUCAAUAUGCAUUCCACAAAAAGGAAGAAAUUGAAUGGGAGCAUGUACCGGCUUCAUCAGCCGGCAAUCAUGCAAAAUUUGGCUGAUAUUUACGUCUAUUGUGGACUUUACACCAAGUUUACUCUAUCAUAUGGGCCAAUUAUCCAUCUCUAUCGCCCUAAAGCAUCAGUAUCCCCUAUUUGUUCUUUUGGGGAAAAAUAUAACAAUCAGGUUGCAGGGUCAAUUUGGUAGGGUACACCUGUCAAGAGUAUUGUGGACGUGGCCGUAAAGUACGACCACUGCACUUGACAUGAUCUCUAAGCCAUGGUUUCUUCCACAUGAAUUUUCUUUUUUCUGAAUUAUGUUCAACGAUAUCAUCAUGGAUUUGCCUGCCACGCUUCUAUAAUUCAAUCUUGAGUUACCUUGAAGAUCAUGCAUGCUUUUGUCUUCCACAUUCAUUUUUCCAAAUCUUUCAUGCAGCUAGAUGAUUAAUUGCAAAUUUAUGUUGAUUAACUCUUGUAUUUUUUUAUCAUGCACGAUACACACGUAAACUCAGUCUUAAUUAUUUUACAAAUAACAUUUUGUUAAAUUAAUUACACUUUACAACAAAAAAAACUUGGAUUAUAAUACAAAUGUCCAUAUCAAAGGAAGUUCUACAGACAUUAUAAUUAUAACUCGGAUGAGUUAGAUGAGCUAGAAGACUAAUUUGUUUCAAAUCUACUAUCAACUUGUCCAACCCAAACCACAUCUAAUUAACUCAAGGUUGGAUCGAAAAUUAUUAAUCCACUCCAAGUCCUAUACAAUUGAGGUUCCAGUUCUUACAAGUUAUUGAGUAAGAUAAUUAUUUUAAAGUCUAUAUCAAAUAAAAUAUAUUAUAAAAUAAAAUAUUACAACUUAAAUGUCUCAAAGUUUUAAACCAUGUCCUUUAGCCAUUGAUUUAAUGUAUAUGACACCUGACCAACUAAAAUUUCAACAUUCGAAAAUAUUCUAACAAUUAGAGUCAUGACCUACAAAAGUGAGAAAUAUUAGACUUUAUAUGUGUAUAUAUAUAUAUAUAUAUAUAUAUAUAUAUAUAUAUAUAUAUAUAUAACAAUAAAUAAUAUAAUUUUAAGUUAAUAAAUAAAUAAUAAUGUAUAAAUAUGGGUUUCCAUGGGUUGUCUAAAUGAUUAAACUGUGGCAAUAUUAAUAUUUUAUGGUUGAUGGUUUUCUAACCCAAGCACCAAGCUAACCCAUUUAAACCUUACCCACAUCAAUUGGAACUGGGGUGAACCCUCGAAGUUGCAGUCCAAAGAGACGUAAAUUAAGGUGUCGAUUAAAUUCAAAGAUUAAUAUUUAAUUACCUAAAAUAAUUUAUGAAAUUUUCUUUAUUUGAUGACUUAAAACUUAUCAUUUAAUCUUAAUUUUUCAGUAUCAAGAUUACUUAAUAAAAUUAACUUAAAUUUUUUUAAAUUAGCUAUCAAAUUUAACAUAUUAACUUUUAUUAAUAUUAAGUCAUGACCAAUGAGAGAGACAAUUAAGGGAGCAAGAUAUAAUAGUUGUGAUAUAAAAUUGAUGAGAACUAUAUUGAAAACUGUUUUUACUUUUCUUUUGACUUUUUUUUACUCUUAAGGAUCAUUUUGACCUAUAUAGUUCUUUGUUAGGAAAACUCUUAUAGUAAAUACUUUUAUGAAUAUUUAAUAUUUGGCAAUAAAUAAAUAAAAAAAGUUCUUGAUGAUAUAUGUAUGAUUAAAAAAGUGAUUUUUAGAAAAACUUUUACCAAAUCUUUGUAUAAGAUGUGAUUUUAAAAUUUCUCAAAGAUAGUUUUUGAAACUUAAUCAAAUACAUAUUAAAAAUAAGUAGUUUUAGCAUUUUCAGAGUCAUACCCAAAUAAACUUUUAGGUAUUCUUGACUUUAAAUAGCCUUAUUGAGUCCUAUUGACUAAUAAUACUAAUUAUAUCUGUCGGAGGGACAGCUGGGAAAUCCACGAAUGCAUGCGGUAUAUGUUGAAUAAAAUCAAUGUGUAUUAUGCAUCACACAUUUAUAUUGUAGUAGUAAUAAUAGGAAUAUGGCUGUUUAAUUAAACUACACUAGUAUGUCCAGUGAGAAAAAACAAGAGGAAAAUUGAAAAACUACUGUUGGGUUUGCUCUGCAAGGAAUGGCCAGCACAACUAUAAAGCCUGUCUAACCCGGCAACUCUUAAGGUAUCCUCCUCCAUUCUCGAAUGGCCGCACCAAUCUCACCUCUCUAUGAAAAAAUCCUCCAGAAAAAUACACUCCAUAGAGCCUUGGACCUUACCAUCUUCUUCCUUCUCCUCUGUCUCCUUGCUUAUCGUCUCCUCUCCCUAAAAAACAAUGGUUUCGCUUGGCUCGUCGCCUUCCUCUGUGAGUCAUGGUUCACCUUUCUUUGGGUUCUUAACUUGAGCUCCAAAUGAAAUCCUGUGUCCUACAAAACAUACCCUGAACGCCUUCUACAAUGUUAUCGGUAUCCAACAAUUCUCUUAGUAAAACUCUUCAUGUACUUUGGCGUUUUUUUCUGCCUUCAAUUUUCAUAUAUGACCAUACUCUUGAUUUUCAGAACAGAGUUGAUGAGCUUCCUCCAGUGGACAUGUUUGUUACAACUACAGAUCCCAUGCUGGAACCCCCUAUCAUCACUGUAAACACUGUCCUCUCCUUACUGGCAGUUGACUAUCCAGCUAACAAGCUUUCUUGCUAUGUGUCGGAUGAUGGAGCUUCCCCUCUCACCUUCUACGCUCUCCUUGAAGCAUCUAAGUUUUCUAAGCUUUGGGUUCCUUUCUGUAAGAAGUAUGGUAUUCAAACUAGAGCUCCCUUUAGAUACUUUUCCAGUGAGUUGGUAUCAUCGAAUGAUAAUUCGAUGGAGUUCCUACAAGAAUACAGAAAGAUGAAGGUACGCAAACUAUUCCUAGUAUGAACCAUAGGUACUUGGUGAAAUUUAAUUUUUGCUUCUUUACUUUUAAUUACAAUUCUUAAAAUGCAGAUGAUUUGGAAUUUGGAAUUUUCUUUUCCUUCAGCAUAUUGAGUAUUGUAAAGUGUGAUUAAAGGGUCAAAGCUUAACCCUAAUUGAUAUUCAUCCAUGUAAAUAUAUAGUACAUCAAGCAAACCUAAUUAAGGGAAAACCGUGAGUUUAGGAAACAUUCCUAAACAAUGCCGUGAGUUUAGGAAACAAUCCUAAACAAUAGCUCCUAGAAUAUAUCAUAAUAUCUCAACAUUUAGGAAACAAUCCUAAACAAUAGCUCUUAGAAUAUAUCAUAAUAUCUCAACAUUUAGGAAACAAUCCUAAACAAUAGCAACUACUUUCCUAGAAUAUAUCAUAAUAUCUCAACACCCUCCCUCAAGUUGGAGCAUGAGGUUCAAAAAUGCCCAACUUGGCAAGAAGAUAAUCAAAUUGUUUCUUUCCAAGAGCCUUUGUAAAAAUAUCGGCCAAUUGUGUAACAGUAGGAACAUAUGACGGAGCAAUCAAACCAUCUGUUAUCGCAUCCCGAACAAAGUGACAAUCAACCUCAAUGUGUUUGGUGCGUUCAUGAAAUACUGGAUUUUUGGCCAUAUGAAGGGCUGACUGACUAUCACAAAAGAGCUUGAUUGCCUUUGGGUGGUGCACACCCAAGCUCAGAAGCAACCCCUUCAACCAUUUGAGCUCACAAGUAACUGCUGCCAUAGCUCGGUAUUUCGCUUCUGCAGACGAGCGGGAAACUGUGUGUUGCUUCUUUGUCUUCCAAGAAAUAGGAGAUUGCCCAAGAAACACAAGCCAUCCAGACAAAGAGCGUCUAGUGACUGGACAUGCUGCCCAAUCAGAAUCACACCAACCCUGCAGGGACAUAUCACUAUCUGCACGUAACAAGAUACCCUGACCCGGAGUACCUUUCAAAUAACGAACGACUUUCAAAGCCGCCUCCCAAUGCUCAAUUCUAGGCUCCUGCAUAAAUUGAGAUAAUAUAUGAACCGAGUAGGCCAAAUCUAGAUGGGUCACUGCCAGAUAAAUGAGUCGACCUACUAAUCUGUGAUAGGACUCAGGGUUCGACAAGAGCUCCCCAUUUGCGAGUCCUAAUCUGUGAUUUUGCUCGAUCGGGAAGCCACACGGCUUGGCUCCCAGUAAUCCGGCCUCCGAUACAAUGUCAAGUGUGUACUUGCGUUGACACAAGAACAAACCAGCCGAACUCCUGGCCACCUCGAUUCUGAGGAAAUACUUCAAAACACCAAGAUCUUUCAUCUUAAAACAAUCACUGAGAAAGGCUUUAAAGGUCUUAAGUGCAGCGGAAUCAUUCCCAGAGAUAAUAAGAUCGUCGACAUACACUAGCACAUUUAUUUGAACAUUGCCCUUAGUGUAAGUAAAAAGAGAAUAAUCAGAGUAGGAUUGUAAGAAACCAUAUCCUUUGAGAGCCGUGACCAACUUGGCAAACCAACAUCUCGGAGCCUGUUUCAACCCAUAAAGUGAUUUCCGUAACCUGCAAACCAAGUUCGGAUCGGAACUCUCAAAUCCUGGGGGUAGCUUCAUAUACACUUCCUCCUCAAGAUCUCCAUGCAAAAAGGCAUUGUGAACAUCCAUCUGAUGAAGUUCCCAAUUUUUCGAAGCCGCAAUAGCCAAGAAAGCACGCACCGUAGUCAUUUUGGCAACUGGAGAAAAAGUCUCAUGAUAAUCAAUACCGGCUUCUUGAUGAUUCCCCAAAACUACUAAUCUGGAUUUGAGCCUUUCAAUAUCACCGUUUGAGAAGUACUUGGUUCUGUAAACCCACUGACUUCCCAAAGCACGCUUACCCUUUGGAAGAGGUUCAAGAGUCCACGUACCAUUUUCCUCCAAAGCCCGAAUCUCCUCAUGCAUUGACUUUUGCCAACCGACAUCUUUCAUAGCCUCUUUAAAUGACUUAGGAUCAUUGCUCGAAAUAAUAGCUGCAAGAAACUUUUGAUAAUGUAUAGAAAAAUUGUCACAAUUUAUAUAAUGUGCUAUGGGAUAAGGAGUACCUGAGGGAUGCUGUGGAGAUGGAGUGGCGGGAGAUGGACUUUCAGCAACCACCGUAUGAGUAACAAAAUCUCGUAAUAGAACCGAAGGAAAUUUAUCCCUCAUUCCCUUUCCCAUAGGAGCAGACUGCCCAUUGCUUGUAUUGUCAAGCCCAAGUGAAUCAAGCCCAACAGUGGGAACAACUUCCGGCCCAGGUGAAAGAUCUUGGUGGGCUUGGGGUUCAGGUUGGAUGAGGUUGGGAUUUUGUGUUUGGGCUUGUGGGUUAGGUAAAUCAGCAUCAUCAUCGACAAAAUCAGCAAAAUCACUAUCAAUUUCAACAUUUACCGUAGGCACAAUGUUGUCCGGAAUAAUAUUCACAGCACCUAGGUUACCAAACGGAAAAACAUCCUCAAAAAACUUGACAUCACGAGAAACAAAUAAUUCCUUGGUGUCCAAAUCAAACAACUUCCACCCCUUCUUUCCAAACGGGUAACCCAAAAACACACAUUUUCUACUUCUACUUGCAAAUUUGUCACUUUUGGAUUUUUGAUCAUGAGCAAAACUAAGACAACCAAAGGUGUGAAUUGCCGCAUAUGAAGGAGGGGUGCCAAAUAGGAUUUCAAAUGGUGUUUUAUUGUGUAACAAAGGAGAGGGAGUGCGGUUUAUUAAAUGAGCAGCGGCAAGAACACUUUCGCCCCAAAAAUAAAUAGGCAAAUUUGCUUGAAAGCGUAAUGCCCUCCCCACAUUUAAAAUAUGCUUGUGUUUUCUCUCAACCCUCCCAUUUUGUUGUGGAGUUCCCACACAAGAAGUUUGGAAUAAAAUGCCAGUUGCAGAAAAAUAGUCAAGUAGGCAUUUAAAUUCCGUACCAUUAUCACUUUGAACAACUUUCACUAUUUGAGAAAAUUGUCGAUCUACCAUUGCAAUAAAAGACAUAAACAUCCGAAAAACUUCUGUUUUAUCGACCAACAAAUAAAUCCACACAGCUCUUGAGAAAUCAUCAACAAUAGUUAAAAAAUAACGAGCUCCACAAGAAGAGACAUGUUUAUAAGAGCCCCACAAAUCACAAUGUAUUUUCUCAAAAAUUCUAGUUGUCUUAUUGUCACUUAAAGGAAAUUUGUCUCUAGGAUGCUUAUCACGAAAACAUAUUUCACAAGCUUUGUUUAAACUACCCUUAAGAUUGCUAACUGGAGGAAGUAACUUCACUACUUUCUCUGAAGGAUGUCCCAUCCUUUUGUGCCACAACUCCAAAGUGGAGGCUGCGUUGUGGACAGAAACAUGUUGUACCGAAUCACCUUCAGCUCCACCGAAGUAGUAAAGUCCAUCUCGCCUAACUCCCGUUCCAAUCAGUUCCCUGGUGUGAUCCUUUAUAGCACACAUAUAAGAGUUAAAUUGGACAAUACAAUGUAAGUCAUCAAUCAAUUGUGAAACCGAAAGUAAAUUGCAAUUGAGUUUCGGCACAUAAAGAACGUUUUUAAGAGUGAUGUUAUUCGACAAACGAACGGAACCGGAUUGGGUCGCAACAACAGAUUCACCAUUAGGAAGGCCAACCGGACACUCAAACAACGCUAUAGUAUCAAAUAACCAAGAUAAAUCACUGGUCACGUGAUGAGUUGCCCCGGUGUCAAUGAUCCAUGACUUCGUGUCAAACUUACCAUUCAACCUGUCAUCCGGAACUUGAGCAUUACCAAUUAAGCCGGCAAGAGCUUUCCAUUGUUCGGGAUUUAAAUAUCGUACGAACUUGCGGCGUGCCUCCAAUGCCAACUGAAUAUCGGAAGCCCAAUCAUCGUAAUUGUCGCCGCGUAAGCGAGUGGGAGUGAUGAAGUCGCCUGGUCGGUCUCCUGUGCCGAGAAAAAAAGGUGAAUUCAUCUCCCUUUUAGGUGGCGGCAAUGGUGGUUGUUCAUCGUCGCCGGCCAUUGUUUUAUUGUGUGUGCAUGUUAGUGCUCUGAUACCAUGUAAAGUGUGAUUAAAGGGUCAAAGCUUAACCCUAAUUGAUAUUCAUCCAUGUAAAUAUAUAGUACAUCAAGCAAACCUAAUUAAGGGAAAACCGUGAGUUUAGGAAACAUUCCUAAACAAUGCCGUGAGUUUAGGAAACAAUCCUAAACAAUAGCAACUACUUUCCUAGAAUAUAUCAUAAUAUCUCAACAAGUAUUGACACUUUUCUUUUCUGUUUAUACAUAAACCUUCUUCAGAAAAGAAUUCCACUAGCCAGUCUGUUACUUCUCCAAAUAUAUCUCCUCUUCAUCAGUGUACAGUGACGCUUUGAUAAAAGCUUUUGCAGAUAUCUUCCUUGUGCUUAUACAAUUUUGUUCAUCUUCAUCUCUUUUAGGAAAGAUAUGAAGAGCUUAGACAAAAAAUUGAAGAUGCAACCCUAAAGUCAAUGUCGUAUGAGCUUAGUUCUGCAGAGUUCGUGGCUUUCUCAAAUGUAGAAAGGGAAAACCAUCCGACCAUAAUCAAGGUAUGUUUACUCAUUAUUACCAUUAUUAAUUAUAUAUCAAAAAAAGGCAACACGUGCGGCUAAUCAUAUGAGAUUAAAAUGAUUAUAUAAAUAUUUUGCCCAUGGAUUAGUAUUUAAAAAAAAAAAAAAAAAAAAGCAACCAAUUUAAGCUAUAACUAUUUGGUUAACAUGAGAGAGCUAGGGAGUGGUGAUAAAGGAAGUAUUUGACAACAUUUCUAUAACCAUGAAUGGUGACUUUGUAGGUUAUAUUGGAGAACAAGGAGACCCGCCCUGAUGGACUGCCACAUCUAGUUUAUGUAUCCAGAGAGAAGCAUCCCAGGCAUCCACACCAUUACAAAGCCGGUGCCAUGAAUGUUCUGGUAAGGAAGCCCCUUGAAUUGUGGCAUAAUUACUGAUAUUCCUUCUUUUCCCCUGAUUGUUUCAUGAUAAACAGACCAGAGUCUCUGGAGUUAUGACAAAUGCUCCUUUCAUGCUGAACGUAGACUGUGAUAUGUACGCCAAGACCUCGAGUUUGUUCAGACUCCACAAUCCUUCUAUGAUGGACUAAAGGACGACCCAUUUGGAAAUCAGCUAGUAGUUUUGUAUAAGGUAUGCUAAAUUUCAAUAGUGAAGAGUGAUCUCUUCCAUACUAUAGAGCACACGUAAUAGAAGCCUCUUUCAUUUUUUAUUUUUAUUAAUUGAUGUGUUUGCUGAUCAGUAUGUGGGAAGUGGGAUAGCAGGGCUUCAAGGACCUAUGUAUGGUGGAACGGGAUGUUUUCAUCGAAGAAAAGUUAUCUAUGGGUUAUGGCCAGAAGGUAGGAUGGAGAUCAAAGGAAGAAGUGAUGCAGCCAAUUUAUUUGUCUUACAUAUCAUUCUAAUUUUCUUAGGGGGAUCUUAAAAUGUUAUAUGAAACUAUGCAUGCAAUACAAUUUUCCACUUCUUGGUAGGAAAAUUAACUGAUGAGAGAUUAGAAAAAACAUUCGGAAAUUCAAAGGAAUUCACCACAACAGCUGCAAGGAUUUUAUCCGGGUUGAGCGGGAUUUCCCAUUGUCCAUAUGAUCUUUUGAAUCGGGUUGAGGCAGCCCAACAAGUUGCAACUUGCAGCUAUGAGUAUGGAACUAGCUGGGGUACAAAGGUGAGUUGCAAAUAUUUAGGACAAAAAGAGUAGUACCUUGAAUAAAAUCCACGUUUCCUUUUUUACCUUAAGUUCAUACUUUUUUUCAGUAAAUAAGGAUUUUCGUUAUUUUUAUUUUUAUUUUUAUUUUUUUUAAUUUAAAAAAAAAAAAAAAAAAAAAACUUCACUGAAAGCUGCAUUAACUCUACUUUAAGGCAUUCUCACUGUAUAAUGGUUUUAGAUGCCUGAUGUUUUGUAAUCAGAUUGGCUGGUUAUAUGGAACCACAGCAGAAGACAUUCUCACAGGUAUGAGGAUACAUGCAAAAGGUUGGAGAUCCACAUACUGCCAGCGUGACCCACCGGCAUUUCUUGGGUGCGUACCCUCAGGCGGGCCUGUUUCACUUACCCAACGGAAGAGAUGGGCUACCGGCCUCCUUGAGGUCCAGUUCAGCAAGAACAGCCCUUUCAUCGCCACCCUUACUGCCAAGCUCCAAUUCCGCCAAUGUCUUGCAUACAUGUGGAUUCUUUCUAGGGGUCGACGGUCAAUUCCUGAGCUUGGUUAUAUUGCUUUGCCAGCAUAUUGCAUCAUGGCCCGCUCACAUUUCUUGCCCAAGGUAAGGAUAUUGGAAAGUCUCUCAAAUUUUUAAUUGACAUAUAUUUCUUUUUCUAAAAAAAAUGUUGUAUAGAAUAUUUUUUAUGCUCAAGUCAUUAUAAUUGGAUUCCUUAUGGAAAUAGGGGAACUAUUAAAAAUAUCUCGAUAAAUAGCAUAAGUCAUGAUGAAAAAAAUGUUACGAGAUAAAAAUAAAUUUAUGAAGAAUAUAUGUAAUAGAUAGAAAUGUGAGGAAGAAUAGAAGGCAUUUGGUAAAGUUGGAUUAAAGCUUACAUUGACACAACAAGUGGUAUCAAAGAUUUGAUUGAAUAUUUUUGGAAGGACAACAAGAAUAGAACACAAAAAAGGAUUACAAAAGAAAUUAAUUUUUAUUGAAGGUAAAGUCAAUUGUUUCUCUCAUAAAAAUGUGAUACAAGAAGCAUGAGGAUCGUGACGCAUGACAAGAUCAUGGUGCACGAAGGCAAUUGUGACAUGCGAGAAGAGCGUGGUACACAUGGAAGCUGGGUAUAAAAUAAGGAUUUGGUUAAAACAAGCUUUGUAAAAGAGUGUAUCUUAAAUAAAUGAAAGAAUAACUUAAUAAAAUUUGAUCAAAUGUGAGGAUGGUUGGAAAACGUCUCAAAUUUCUAAUUAGUAUAUAUUUAUUUUAAAAAAAUAUUUUAUUGAAUAUUUUCUAAUUUCAUAUGUCAUUAUAAUUAUAUUCUUUAUAAAAUAAGGAAAGUCAUUGGAAAAUAUCUCUACAAAUAUUAUAAAUUAUGAGAGGAAAAAGUUAUGAAAUAAAUAUAUGUUUGUGAAGACUAUCCAGAGAUGUGAGGAAGAGUGAAUGAUACUAGAUGGAAUAAGAGGACUAAUUAUUUAAGGUAUAAAUACAAAGAAUGAGAAAAUAUAAGAUAUUUACUGAACUAAUAAUUAAUUUAUUUUUAUCAUUUAUAAUAAUUUCUAUAGUAUAGUGAAAUGUUAUUUGUCAUAUGUUAAUAUAGACAUGAUUAGUCGAAAAACCUCAUGUAUCUCUGUGUGAAUUAUUUGAUUUUUGUGUUCUUGCAUUAGCAUAUUUCCAUUGAAGCUUCCACUUGCACAACAUAGCUAGUGUUCUAAGAUAUAGGUCUUGCUUUGUUUUUGCUUUUCACCAACCUUUGUUUUAUUAUCAUUUUAUGCAUACCUAGCAUUAGUACUUCACCAACAUUUGUUUUGUUAUCAUUUUAUGGUCCUACUAGCUAGCUAUAUUAUGCACACAUAGCAUAUUAAUUCUAAUUUUGCUGAAAAUAAUUUAAAUUCUAAAUGAUUUCUACUUUAAAAUGUUCUAAGAUGCAACCAAAUAUACACUGUAUUAAUAGCUUCAAAUUGUUGGGGGGUUGUAGUCCUGGUCACCAAGCCUAAAAUCUCAAGCUCUUAGGUUAAUUAUAAAGUUUGUAAUGUAACAAAAAUAUGCCCAAUAAUGCAGGUCCAAGAGCCAGCUAUGUUUGAUACCGAUAUCUCUCUUUAUCACUUACCACUUUUACACUAUUGGAAUACUGUGGGGCUGGGCUUUCAAGCAGAGCAUGCUGGAAUAACCUGAGGAUGGGGAGAAUAACCACAGUGACUGCUAGGUUAUUUGGAUUUUUCAGUGUUAUUCUGAAGCUCCUGGGAUUGUCGAAGACCAUCUUUGAAGUUACAAAAAAAGACCAAUCUACUACUCCUGUGGAGGACAAUGACAAGGAUGCUGGUCGGUUCACCUUUGAUGAGUCUCUGAUUUUUGUUCUGGCCACUACUCUUGCGUUGUUGCAUCUGGUGGCACUGGUUGCAGCCUCGAUAGGACCAUCUCAUGUUGGGAUUGAAUCAAGAAUAGGGGAAGUAAUAUGUAGUGUGUGGCUAGUGCUAUGCUUCUUCCCAUUUUUGACAGGCCUGUUUGGGAAAGGAAAAUACGGGAUACCCACAUCCACCAUUUGCAAGUCAGCAGCUUUGGCACUGCUUUUUCUUGCUUGCAUCAUUACAAGAGAAAGAAAGAGUUUCUAGUAAGUCAAUUGAAAUGGAGGAAUCUUUACUUUGCUGAAGAGCGUAAGUAUUAAUCAAAUUUGUUGUGACAUGCAUUAUCACAAUAAUUAAAUGUAAGAGAAAUUUUACAACUAUGCACCAUUUUACUGUCUUCUCGUCUCUAUCUUGACACUCUCCGUUCCCAAAUAAGACGGUAUUUUUCCAUUUUGCCUUUCAUAGUAGCCGCAGCUGCAACUUGGGGAACUGAAAUCUUGGUGGUGAUAUUAAGUUAGGUUGACAAUUUUGUUCCAACAGAAUUUGAUUUAAUGCUACUACUUAAGAGACUAAUCAACUUCAAGAGCAAGAUUGAAAAUUCAAGGAAAUGAAGUAGAUUAAGGUGAGUUGCAAGUUCGGCUUAUAAGGGUGGCGAUUCCUUGAUUUGCAUCACUUCUUUGUUCUUCUCAAGGUUUUAUUUCUUCUCUACUUUAUCCCAGUGCAAAUUGGUACCAGAGCAUUGGUUUCAUGGCUAGUCAUUGUCAUCACAAUUAGAAUCACAAGUGUUCUUAAUGACCAUAUUAAGUUUUCUUUUCUUAAAAGUUAAGUUCUCUUUUCUUAAAUAGUUUUCAUUUAUUUUCCCAUAUGUAUAAAUUUUUUGUAAAGGUAAUUUAGAUUCAUUUUAGAAUUCAUAAUACUUAUGAAGUUUGUGUUCCAAUUGUUAUUAUUAUUAUUAUUAUUAUUAUUAUUAUUAUUAUUAUUAUUAUUAAUUAAUUAAUUAAUUAAUUAAAUUUUAAAAGUAUUUAACUAAUGGCUCAUUGAUGAGAAGAACUCUAAUGCACCUAUAAAUUGAAAAGCUGUUGGUCCCUCUCUCUACUCUUAUAUAUAUAUAUAUAUAUAUUCAAAAGUAUUUCCUUAUUUCUCACUAUGGAGUGUAUAAAGGGGGAGCAAGAGAGUGAAGAUCAAGAGUGAAAGAGUUCAAGAUGAUUACUUCAAGAACUUUAAGUUAUAUGAAAUUAGGAAUAUAAAUCAAGGUGUACUUUCUUCUUCACAUCCUAUAAGGCUUUUUUUUUUUUUUUAAUUUAAGUUUGAUAUUAAAUAUCAAGUGAAAUACUUUUUAACAUUUGGUAUUAGAGUGAGGUUAAUCAUUUGUGUGUUUAAUUUUUUAUUUGGAUAUAGAUGAAGAAACACUAUAACCUAAAGUUAUCUCUUGAUGUGAAGUAUAAUAACUAGACAUUUUGAACAAAUUAUUUUAUUUUUCAUAGCACAAAGCUAUGAUAACAUUUACACUUCUAUAACUAGAAGUUGUGAAUAAAAGAAUGUGCACAUAUCAUAGACCAAGUUAUGAAUAAAUUAACCUAAAUUACAUAACAUAAAGUUAUGAAUGAAAGAAUUUGUUAAUAUCAUGAUGGUUGGAUAUGCAAAAGCGUUGAUACCAAUUUGUUGGAGUAAUAAGGUUGAUCGAGAGAAACAUGAACAAUUACAAAAGAAGAUUAGUUAUAGUUUGCAUUAGACUCUCCAAAUAUGCAAGUAACAUUUAUAGAAUAUGUCGAUCUUCGUGCAAUGAUUCCUGGUGAAGAAAUUAGAGAAAAACAAAAAAACACACAAAUUUAAUGUGGUUUGGUGGAUUGUCUAUGUCCACGGGAAUAAGAAAGAAGACUUUCACUAUAUAUCAAAUUAGAGUUAUAUAAAAAGGGCAUCUAUACUAACCCUCAGAUAAUGAAAUUCCAAAAAUAUCCCUAUACCCCCUAACAUAUUAUUCGCCCUUAAAAAUAAAAAUACAAGUUUAAAUAGCAAAUAUUGUCAUUUCAUUCCAUUCCACUCCACUCCAGCAUUUGCCCAUUUUUCUCCAUAUAUAUAUAUAUAUUUCCCUCAAUAUGAGCCACAUACUACAACAAAAUAACUAUCUUGGGGUUGUAAGUCAUGAGUUUGAGAUUAUGAACCAUUAGAUUUUGAAGAAGCCAUGCAAAACUAAAAACGAAAUAAUAUUCAAGUAAAAUCUCUUUCAAAAGGGAAAGACAUUUGAAGUAAAAUGGAUAUACAAAAUAAAGAAGCAUACAAAAAGAGAAGUAGAGAAAUACAAAACCUCUCAAAUAUGAAGAUUUUAGAAGAUUAAAAAACAUUAUUUGAAGUUACAAAUUAAGUUUAAGGGAUUAUACAUGUUAAAAAAUAAACUUGAGAGGAGAAAAGUUUCGAAUUAAGAAAUGUAAUUUGAUUUAGUUUCUAAAAGUCAAUUGAAAUAUUUUAGUUUGAGUAAUUCAGUCAUAUUUUAUUAUUAGGAGUUUUUAUUUUGUUAAAUACAAGUAUAUAUAAAAAGGUUGUAUAAUAUUUGAACAAAGUCCCAUUGGAGGAUAUAUCAGAGGUGUUCAACAUCAGUGUUUUGGUUUGAAAUAGGUUCUCUGUUAAGUGUCAUUGUUGAAUGGUGGUUGUACUAGGAUCCAUGUGUUGAAUAGAUGUUGUAGAGUUGAUCCAUUAUUGAAUGGGAAUGUUGACUCCACUUUUGAUGAAUGUGGGGACAAUAAAGCGAUGUUCUCUCCAAAGUAUGAAUGUUAAGCUACUUAUUAGCUUAGCUUUUAAUGUUGUAUAUCAAAUCCAUUAAUAGUUUGUUUGAUAAUGCUUUUUUAAAAUAUAAAAAAAAAAUGAAAAAAAAGAAAACGAAAAUCAAACAUUUAACUAAAUUUUAAAAAUCACUUAUUAUUAUUAUUUUAUUUUUAAAGAAACAUUUUACAAAUGAUUCUCUCAUAAAAAAAAUAUUUAUAUUAAAAGUUUGUUUGAUAGUGAUUUUAAAAAUUAUUUUUAACAUCUUUAAUACUUAAUAGAUAAAAAAUUUCUAAGUGUUAAAAAAAUUAGAAACAUUUCCUAAAGUUACUAUCAAACACAUUAUAAGAGUGCAUUUAAGAAUAAUUUUAAAAAACGAUUUUAGUACUUCUAAUGAUAAAAAAUUUUAAAAAUGUUUCUUAAAAUUACUAUCAAACGGAUUCUAAAAACACUUAUAAAAAACACUAAUAUAUUUGAGUACUAUUUAAAACUCCAUUUCAUGUGCUGCUCCAUUUCUUGAGUUCAAUAAAUAGAAAACAAGGAGGUUUGAGAUAUAAACACUGAAAUAAAAAACUCUAAUACCAUAGUGUGGACCCCGCAUUUUCGGCUCAUGCGUUCCCACUCAAUGGCGAAACUCGUUUUUUGUUUUAUUUGAUGAAAUUUGAUUUUUAGAAAAAAAAAAAAAACUUGGAGUCGCCACUUAUUUUUGUUUUACUUUUAAAGGGUAAACAAAAUAUGAAAGAAAAACCCUAAGUGUGACUCUUUAUUUCGGAAAAGAUGGUCUACGAAAAACCAGAUCGGGUUCGGGGGUCAAGUUACUUAUUGGGAAGGUAUGGUAAAGACCGUAGCACCCUUCUAAGUCCCUAGAAACGGGUCCCUACUAAUAAAAUGGAGCUAAUGUGGCAAUUGAUAAGGAAAACAAUGAAUACCCGGAACUAUCAUACACAUAUGAGAAUCAAAACAUGUAUAUAGAAAGACCAGAAUGGGAAUAGAUACGUACCUGGGCGACGAGCCACAAUAAGCUUAUCAAAAAGUGAGGUUAAUGCACAAUUAAGAAAUAAUUUCGAGCAUGUCAUAGAGUAGAAUAACAUCAAUCAUGCAUGUCAAUUAAAUCAAUCAAACAAUCAAUCAAUUAUAAAUUCACUUAUGUUGGGCCCCCACCAAAACAUUUUAUUUUACAUGAAUUAAUCCCAUAAAUUUCAUUAUUCGGAAUUACGGAAAAUUCGUUCAUGCUUAUUAAAAUCAAGAGGAGCAGAAGAUUGUUGGAAGACCAGAAUGGAAUUAAAGUUAUUCGAGAUAAAAUCGGAUUUUUGAAAUUCAUUUGAAAAAUUGGAGUCUCGAAGGUUAUUUAAAGAAAAUUGGGAUUUUAGAGUUUAUUUGAAGAACGGACUUUUAGGAAUUAAAUGUGAGAAUGUGAAUUUUUAGAAAUUAAAUUUGAACGAGGUUAGAAACUUGAAAAUGAUUUGAGAGUUCAGGAUUUUAAAUGAGGGGAUAAGUGGAUGAGUGAAUAAGUAAAUGAAUGAAAUAACGAUGGUGAAAUAAUAAAGUUUAGGUAAAUAAUCACGAAAGAUGGAAUUUUAGAGAUUUGAAGAUGUGAAUUUAGAGAUUGAAAACUUAAGAAUUUAUUUAGAGAUGAGAUCUUUGGUAUAUGAAUAACUGAAUAAGUAAGUGGAUGAGAUAACAUUAAUAACGAGAAUAAUCAUUAAACAAUGAUAUAUGGACGGUGGAGUUUUUGAGAUUGGAAAUUAGAUUUGGAAGUCGGAUUCUGAUGAAUUAAACUUUAACGAUUAGAAUAAAUAGAUAAUAUGGAAUAAUAAUGCUACUUAACGGAAACAAUAUUUUAAACGAAUAGAAAAGGAGUAGUGGAAUUUUAAGAUUGAAAAUUAAGUUAGGACGUUGAAUUUUUUAAGAGUUGGACCUUAAAUGAAUAAAAAGAUAAGGGAUAAGAAUUCUAGUUAAUGAAAAUAACAUUUGGGCGAAUAAUAGAAUUUCUAAGGUUGAAAGUUAAAUUGAGAUUUUUUAAAGAUUGGACUUUAAAUAAAUAUGGGAUGAUGAUUCUAAUGGAUGAAAAUGAAAUUUAAAUGAAUUAUAGAAUUUUUGUUAGGAUUGAAAAAUUAAAUUAAAAUAUAGAAUUUUUGAAGGAUUAGACUUUAAAUAACUAGAUAAAUACGAUAUUAAAAUUCUAAUUGAUGAAAAUAAGAUUUAAAUGAAUAUUUGAAGAAUUAAAUUAAGACAUGGGACUUUUGAAAAAUUACUUAAAGACCUAAGUUUUGAAAAUGGGAUUUAAAGUUUAGAAUGUAGUAAAUUCUUUGAGUCCAAUAUAAAUUAAUUUAUAUAAAAGUUUUUCAUAUAUGGUGAUUUAGACAUAAUUUAAAGAUGGGAAUGUGAAAUAUAAAUUAUCUUGUGUUUUGAAAGGAUAUCCAACCUUAAUAAUUUGUCCUUUAAUCGUCUUCAAGUUGAGUUAAAUAAAUUGGUAUAAAUAGAAUAAGAUAACAAAUAAAAGGGAAUGAUUGAAUUAAUUAAUCAUGGAUAUUAGAGAUUUUUAAGAGAAUUAUUUAGGAUUUGGGCAACCUAAUGGGCUAAAUUGAUGUGGGCAUGGGCCAAUGAGGGUGGCUAGCAUAGGGGACAUGGGGCCCUUCAUCAACAUGCUUGGGUUGGGCUCCAACUCAAGCCCAAACUCGUCACCAAGAGCUUAGGUCUGGGCUCCAACUUAAGCCCAAGGCACCAUCACUAUAAAAGCAUGGGCCUGGGCUCCAACUUAAGCCCAAGGCACCAUCACCAUCAAAGCUUGGGCCUGGGCUCCAACUUAAGCCCAAGUUCAAGGCCAAUAUGGGCAAGCCCAAAACGUAUUUCUAUCACAAACCUGGGCUUGGGCUCAAACCUCCACCUAUGGGCAAGCCUAAAAGGCUCCAAACUCCCUCACAGCCCACCACUCCAACCGGAUCCUUCCUUCAACCCCACUCCCUGGAGACCCUCUUAUGUUGAUGGCUGCAAAAUACUAAGUCACGGAUUUCGUUGCGAAGCUGCAACAAUUCAAACUUACAUUUUAAAAAAUUUUAAUGAUAACAAUUUUAAGUAUUAAAAAUAUUAUAAGCACUUCUUAAAAUCAUUAUCAAAUGGAAUCUAAGAGUUUGUUUGACAAUGAUUAUAGAAAAUGUUUUUAAUAUCUUCAAUACUAAAAAUAUAAAAAAUUUCAAAUGUUAGAAAAAUUAGAAACACUUCCUAAAAUCAUUAUCAAAAGCUUUAUAAAAAUGCAUUUGAGAAUAAUUUUAAAGAACGUUUUUAGUACUUUUAACACUUGAACGAAAAAAAAUUUUAGGUAUUAAAAAUAUUAAAAAUAUUUCUUAAAAUUACUAUCAACCGGGCUUUAAAAACACUUAUUUAUUUGAUUGCUAUUUAAAACUCCAUUUCAUGUGCUACUUUACCUCAUGAUCAUAGAGAUGCCUUACCUCAUGCCGUGCCCAGAAUACAAAAUUCCGCUUAUGUCUUACAUUUUGUGGUAGAAAAUCGCAUUAACAUCACACCACAUCAGUCCUGUUUCCACUACUGGAACAGAAUUUUCAGGUAGCCUCUAAAUACUAAUUUUUUCAAAGAUGAGCUAGGUUCAUGUUCCAGGUCAGUUUCUGUGUUGUCAAUGGACAGAGGACGUAACGUACAAUAUUAUCUGUAGGCCAUGGCUGCUUCCUCCAAGAAAAUUAUGUUAUGUCAUAAGUCACGGAUUUCGUUGCGAAGCUACAAUAAUUCAAACUUACCUUCCUUUAAGAUCAUGCUUGUGUCUACAUUCAUUUUCCCAAAUAUUUGUAGUUGAAUUUUUUGUCAUGUAGGGGCCGCGCACUUAAGGCAGAUCUCAAGUGAGUCAAAGAAUUAACAAAUUAAGGUGACAUUUGAUAAAUUAAACUAAAAACUUAAUAUUUAAUUGUUUAAGAUGAUUUUAAUAUGACUUUUACUAAACUUGAUGAGUUGAAAAUUAUUAUUAAAUUAUUAAGUUAAAUAUUAAAAAAGUUUUUAAUUUUUCUUUUAAUUAUUGCUUAUUUUUAAAAGAUUUUUACUAAAUAAAAAAGUUAAAAUAUUUGAUUUUGUUUUACUAAAUAUUAAAAAUAAUUUUUAAAACAGUCAAAACAUAUUCCCAAUAUGACUAUCGUUGUAUUAAUACUUAAUACUUAAUAAUAAAAAAAUAAUAAAAAAAAAACAAAGAAUUUAAUACUCAAUACUAUUAAUUGUAUUUAAAUUAACUUCUUUUUAUAUAUAAGUAAAAAAUCCAAAGUAACAUUAGAAAGUAAAACCAAAACUCAAGUGAUUUUCUAAAGUUCCAAAAGUAAUUUUUAAAAAUUUACCAAAUAAUUUUACUUUGUCUGAACACAUUUAUAAUGCAGUAGAACAGUUCUGUUGGCCAUUGAGAAAAAGAAGGGAAAAACUAUGGUAGGGUAGCCAUCAAUGGAGUGGCCGAUAUGAAGGAGGUGAUAAAUCAAUCCAAGCGUCCAUUAACACCUCCACAAACCGCAUACACCAUCUGCCCAACAAGGCAACUUUAAGCUAUCCUCCCCCAUUAGAUGGCCAAACCAAUUCCUUCACCUCUCUAUGAAAAAAUCCCCCAGAAAAACACACUCCAUAGAGCCUCGGACGUCACCAUUUUCUUCCUUCUCCUCUCCCUCCUUGCUUACCGUCUCCUCUCCCUAAAAAACAAUGGCUUCACUUGGCUCCUCGCCUUCCUCUGCGAGUCAUGGUUCACCUUUAUUUGGAUUCUUAACUUGAGCUCCAAAUGGAAUCCUGUGUCCUACAAAACAUACCCUGAGCGCCUUCUACAAUGUUAUCGGUAUCCAAUAAUUCUCUUAGUAAAACUCUUCAUGUGCUUUGGUGUUUUUUUCUGCCUCCAAAUUUUAUAUAUAGUCAUACUUAUGAUUUUCUGAACAGAGUUGAUGAGCUUCCUCCAGUGGACAUGUUUGUGACAACUGCAGAUCCCAUGCUGGAACCCCCGAUCAUCACUGUAAAUACUGUUCUCUCCUUGCUGGCAGUUGACUAUCCGGCUAACAAGCUUUCUUGCUAUGUGUCCGAUGAUGGGGCUUCCCCUCUCACCUUCUUCGCUCUCCUUGAAGCAUCCAAGUUUGCUAAGCUUUGGGUUCCUUUCUGUAAGAAGUAUGGUAUUCAACCUAGAGCUCCCUUUAGAUACUUUUCCAGAGAGUUGUUACCAUCCCAUGAUAAUUCAAUGGAGUUCCUGCAAGAAUACAGAAAGAUAAAGGUACGCGCACUAUUCCUAGUAGGAAGUAGGAACCAUAAGUGGAGAUUAAUUAUAUUAGUUCAACUUAGUGCAAUUAUUUAUUUAUUUAAUAACAGUUAUUAGAAUGCAGAUGAUCCUGAAUUUAGAAUUUUCUUUUCCUUUAAUUUAUUGACUAUCUUUCUUUUUUUAUUCUUUUUAUACAUAAAAUCUCCUUAAAAAAAUAAAAUAAAAUUCCACUAGCAAGUAAGUUACGUGUCCAAGUAUAUCUUCUCUACAUCAUGUUACAAUGAUGCUUUGAGAAUAGCUUUUGUAGAUAUCUGCCUUACAUUUAAGCAAUUUUCUUUUUCUUCAUCCCCUUGUAGGAAGAAUAUGAAGAACUUAGACGAAGAAUUGAAGACGCAACCGUGAAGUCAAUAUCAUAUGAGCUUAGUACUGCAGAUUUUGUCGCUUUCUCAAAUAUAAAAAAAGGAAGCCAUCCAACUAUAAUCAAGGUAUGUUUAAAGAUAUAACUAGCUGAUUUGUUUACUUAUGAUUACCAUUAUUAGGUCUAUUUGGAUUGAUUUCUCAUAAGCUAAAAAGCAAAAUUUUUAAGUUCAAUAAAAAAUUCUAUAUAUAUUUGAUUAAUUUUAUGCUUAUGGCUCAAGAAAGUGCUCAAUAUAAAAGUCUUGAAAAUGUCAUAUUCUAUGUUUAAUAAAAACUUUACGAUAUCAAUAUUACUUUAAAAAAAUUAUGAUCUUAGCUUUAACUUUAUGUUGCAGAUAAAGAUAAAAACAAACAACCUCAAAUAGGUUCUCAAUUGUUACAUAAUAAGGGCCCACUAAAGCUAAUUAUAUGAGAUUAAAAUGAUAGUAUAAAGCUAUUUGUUUUUGUCUUUUUCUAUUUUAUAAAUUUUUUUUUUUUAAAAGUAACCUUUUUUAAUUAAUAAAAAAUUGUCAUGUGAGAAAAAGUCUCAUUUCUCAGUACAUUGAUUUAUACUCCAUUUCUUUGUACUUGUUGUAUGGUUAGAUUAAAAGUUCAAUAUGAUACUAAAUUUAAUAAGCUUGCCAUGAUCUCUAGUUAUACACAAAAUUAAAUAACAUUAAUUUUUUGCAAAAGCAUAAGCAUUUAAAUAUUUUGCCCGUGGAUUAGUAUUUUUUUUUAAAAAAAAAAAAGUAACCAAUUUAAGCUAUAACCAUUUGGUUACAACACGAGAGGGCUAGGGAGUGGUGGUAGAGGAAGUAUUUGACAACAUUUCUAUAACCAUGAAUGGUGACUUUGUAGGUUAUAUUGGAGAACAAGGAGAGCCGCUCUGAUGGGUUGCCACAUCUAGUCUAUGUAUCCAGAGAGAAGCAUCCCAAGCAUCCACACCAUUACAAAGCGGGUGCCAUGAAUGUUCUGGUAAGGAAGCCCCUUGAAUUGGUAUAAUUACUGAUAUUCCUUCUUUUCCCCUGAUUAUUUCAUGAUAAACAGACCAGAGUCUCUGGUGCUAUGACAAAUGCUCCUUUCAUGCUGAACGUAGACUGUGAUAUGUACGCCAACAAUCCACAGAUUUUUCAUCAUUCAAUGUGUUUGCUCCUCGGUUCCAAGAAUGAACAGGACUGCGGGUUUGUUCAGACUCCACAAUCCUUCUAUGAUGGACUAAAGGACGACCCAUUUGGAAAUCAGUUUGGAGUUUUGUAUAAGGUAUGCCAAAUUUCUAUAGUGAAGAGUGAUCUCUUCCAUACUAUAGAGCACACGUACUAGAAGCCUCUUUUAUUUUUUCAUUAAUUGAUAUCUUUGCUGAAUCAGUAUGUAGUAAGUGGAAUAGCAGGGCUUCAAGGACCUAAUUAUUCUGGAACGGGAUGUUUUCAUCGAAGAAAAGUUAUCUAUGGGUUAUGGCCAGAUGGAAGGAUGGAGUUCAAAGGAAGAAUUGGUAUGCAAUCAAUUUAUUUGUCUUAUGUAUCAUUUUAAUUUCCUUACAGGGAUCUUAAAAUGUUAUAUGAAACUAAGCAUUGCAGUUUUCCCUACUUUUUGGUGGGAAAAUUAACAGAUGAGAGAUUAGAAAAAACAUUCGGAAAUUCAAAGGAAUUCACAAAAACAGCUGCAAGGAUUUUAUCAGGGUUGAGUGGGAUUUCGGAUUGUCCAUAUGAUCUUUCGAAUCGGGUUGAGGCAGCACACCAAAUUGCAAGUUGCAGCUAUGAGUAUGGAACUAACUGGGGUACAAAGGUGAGCUGUCAAUAGUUAGAACAACAAGAAUAGUACCAUGUUUUUUGAAAAGAAACUCAACUAGAAGUUACAUGCAUUAUGUGACUAUCCAUGUUCAGAUUGGUUGGUUAUAUGGAACUACAACAGAAGACAUCCUCACAGGUAUGAGGAUACAUGCAAGAGGUUGGAAAUCCACAGAUUGCCGGCCUGACCCUCCUGCAUUUCUUGGGUGCGCACCCUCAGGCGGGCCUGCUGCACUUAUCCAACAGAAGAGAUGGGCCACUGGCCUCCUUGAGGUCCUGUUCAGCAAGAACAGCCCAUUCAUUGUCACCUUCACUGCAAAGCUCCAAUUUCGCCAAUGCCUUGCAUACAUGUGGAUUAUUUCAUGGGGUUUAAGGCCAAUUCCCGAGCUUUGUUAUCUUGCUUUGCCAGCAUAUUGCAUCAUGGCCGGCUCACAUUUCUUGCCCAAUGUGAGCAAAACUAAAACCAUUCAGUUUUCCUCUUAAAUUCAUACAUAGCAUUAGUAGUAGUACUUCACCAACCUUUGUUUUAUUACCAUUGACGCAGGUCCAAGACCCAGCUGUGUUGAUACCAAUAUCCCUCUUUGUCAGUUACAAUUUUCACACUCUAUUAGAAUACUGGGGGGCUGGAUAUUCAAUCCGAGCAUGCUGGAACAAUUUGAGGAUGUGGAGAAUAACCGCAGUGACCUCAUGGUUAUUUGGAUUUUUAAGCGUCAUUCUGAAGCUCCUGGGGUUAUCGGAGACCGUCUUCGAAGUUACAAAAAAAGACCAAUCUACUACUCCUGGGGAGGGCAGUGACAAGGAUUCUGGUCGGUUCACCUUUGAUGGGUCUCUGAUUUUUGUUCCGGCCACUACUCUUUUGUUGGUGCACCUGAUGGCACUUGUUACAGCCUUGUUAGGACUAUUUGAUCUUGUCGGGAUUGAAUCAAGAAUAGGGGAGAUAAUAUGUAGUGUGUGGGUGGUGCUAUGCUUCUCGCCGUUUCUUAAAGGCUUGUUUGGGAAAGGAAAAUAUGGGAUACCCAAAUCCACUAUAUGCAAGUCAGCAGCUUUGGCGUUUCUUUUUCUUGCUUGCACUAUUACAGUAAGAAAAUGACAUUAGUAAAAACUAAAAACCGUAACAAUUUAUUAAGCAUAAUUGUUAGUCAAGUGUGUUAUGACAUGUAUUAUCCGGUUCAAUGUACGAACAAAUUAAUUUAUGCAAUUAUAAUGGCAGUUUGCUUUUAACCAUUGCCGUAGCGGCAGUACCUCCAUGAAUUGAAAUGAAGUAAUGAUCACAACCGUGAGUUUGAAGUAAUGAUUAGUGAAAAAAAGACGAGGAAAAAAAAAAGAAAAAAAAAUUACCUUUUAUCAUAUAUUCUCUUCAUUCUCCACUCAUUAAUAUAUAUGAAUAUGGAAGAUCAUGGGUUCCCUACAUCCCAAAAAAAAAGAGAUUAAUUUCAAGAAUAUAUUGAUUAAACCGAGGAAAAUAAAACACAUAAAAUAGAAAAUUAAGUGAUUUAAAUUCAAAAGAUCAAGUCAAAAUAGAAAAAAAUCUUAGAAAAGUAAAGUUGCAUGUUGAAAAUUAGGUUAUCAUUCUUGAUUAAUUUGCUUAGUUUUUGGAGGUAUGCUACUAGGACUCUUUCCUUUCUUCGUCUUAAUAUGAGACCUAUUACCUUUCUUAAUAUCCAAAAUUUGGUUUUAAGGUAAUUUGACAUACUCAUUAGAUUAUUAACAUGCGACUAAAUUUUUCAAAGAGCCUACUACUACAACACUUACUAGCAUUAUGUCUUAACCUCUUACAUGUAGUGCACUUAGGGUCUUGCUUAGAGUUAGAUUUCCCAUAAGAGGAACAAACUUCCUAUGUUUUUAUAAAAGUAGUCUUUUCACUUGUGGGAGUUUCACAUAUAAUUAUAUAUCCUAAACUUCUCUUGCCUCUAAACAUUCCCAUUUUGAAUCAUUUCAUUAAAAUUUUAGGGUGAAGAUGAAAAUUUUAUCAUGUCGACUUUCAAAGAUCUUUUUCCUAUGGUCUAACUUUGAGGUUAAGGAUUUAUUCUUUUCAAGUACAAUGUGAUAUUCAAAAUCAAGGAACCUAAUUUUUCCUUAGCAAAUUGUAAUGUUCACAAGUUGUGUCCCUAAUCUUAUUACCCAAAUUAGUUUUUUUAAGUCUCAUAGGAACUUAAUUUUUCAUUCAAUUCAUUUUUCUCAUAUUCAAGAUAUUUAAUGUGAGAAAUCUUUUUGUUUAAAAUAAUUUUAAGCUUAACUAUAACACCUUAUACCCUGAGGCCAAGGGCCCUACGGUCAUUCCAUAUCAAAUUGAAACCAAAACUAAAAUAAAAUAUCUAGCCACAAAUUCAAUAAUUUUCUCAAACACUUAAAUCAAAAUUCUAAAAAUUAAUAAUGAAUUCAAUCUUAAGUAAACAAUCCCAUAAAAAAAUUAAAAAAGAAAAAAAAUCAAUUCUAAAGUAGUUUAUAAUAGAAGCAUCUUUCCUAUCUUGAUUUUUCUUCAUUGAUGUCACUUAUACUUGAAAAUGGGAAUUAUAGAAAAGGGUGAACUUGAUAGCUCAGUAUAAAAAAUAAUUUAAUAAGAAUGAUUAAUAUAGUAUAAAAUUAAACACUGAGAGAUAUCAUUUUUUUUUUACGAAAAUCAAUUAGUGAGUAAUCUCUUUUAAUUCAAUAGUUUAGUUCACUUUCUUUGAAAAAUUUAACACUUUCUAUUGAAAGAUUAAACAACAUAAUGCACUUUGCAUAAUAAUUCAUAUAAAAAAGAAUUUUACAAACAAAGAUUUUACUCUAAUCCACUCACAAUAACACCAUGCCCAAAUAGUUGAAUUUGUAUUAGGUGGCUAGCCUCAAAAUGUUAUUAGUGAAUGGAACGGAUUCCAAUCCAUAGUAUACCAAAGGCCAAUAACACCCCUAUUAGCUAGGGUUGUGUUGUAUUAUUACCCUCACUAAGGGUAAUAAAGGUCAACAACUUAUCCCUAUUGACUAGAGCCACUUAGUGUUUCUAAAAUCAUUUUAAUUAAUUAGAAAAAAAGGUAAAAUUCACUUACAUAAUAAUCAAACAGAUCACAUGAUGUUACUAAUUUAUUUUAUGAACAAAACACAACAUAUUUCAAUAAAAUAUUACCUAAUCCACUUUACGAAAUUUAAACAAUUUUGAUACUUUACUAAAUAGAGGAAGACAAAUAAAAAGGUAGAAAAUAACUCACUACACUAUUAACCCUUACCUUGAAGAACCCACUUAAAUUCUUGAAAGAAUUAAUCCACACCUUUAAAUUAUAGAACGAAGCAAUAUGAAGCAAAUACUAAAACUUCUUCUUUCUAACUCUUCGAAUCAAAGUUCUCCGGAGACUUUUUUUUUCUUCUUUAUUUUGUGUUUUCAAUUUUUUGAUAAUAUGAAUAAUUCAUAACAAAAUAAAGUUGGUGGGCAAUUAAAGGGAGCAAAAAUAUCUCACUUAAUUUGUUUUUCAAUUUUUUAAAAUAUAUAAAUAUCCCUAAAUUCUCCUUCCUAAUCACUAGAUUCAAUAGAACUAAUUUUAGUACCUGAGGAUAGUGAAACAGUGAAGGCAAUAAGGUUAUUGUUAAGAAUAUUAGGCUAAUCCAACCUAUGGUAAUCACCCUAGAGGAAGGGUGAAAAGGGUGAUAGUCUCUUUUUGCAAAUUAAAACUAUGUAAAUGUAAGAGACAAUUAUAUGCAAGUAUAUAAUAAGCAAUAUAUAGACAAUUGCAUAUAAAUUAAAGAGUAGGGAAAAGAAAAUGCAAACACAAGAGUUUAUAGUGGUUCGGCGCAACCCGACCUACAUCCACUCUUCUCUAGCUUCAAUCCGAGCGUGAGGUUCCACUAAUUCAAGGCUUCCAAACCAAGCCUUCAAGUAAUACAAUUGAAUUAUGGUUCCAAUUCACCAUCUUGGACUUUUGGCUCCAAGCACCCUUUACACUUCUCAAGAGAUAUCCCACUCUUGAACAACUUCCUCUCAAUGAUUUACAAAUAAAAGAUCUCACAAAAAUCCUAACACAAGAACUUUAAGCUCAAUUGAUACAAGAAAACUAGGAUUGAAAGGUGCACUAAGGAUAUGCAAGUUUCAGAACAAUGGUGCACUCAAAAACACUCUUCUAAGGCUCAAAUAUAAUCAAGAAAGAUUUGGGAAGGUUAAGUUUUUUAAACAAUGAAGAUUGGAGCCUUUUUAUAGAAGAGAAAAGUCAAACUAGCCGUUUGGGGGUUCGACCAGUCGAGUUAGGGGUCGACCGGUUGACUAGCCGUUAACAUUUAAUGCUUGGCAGGUGACCGUUGGACCUCGACCGGACCUCAACCGGACCUCGACCGGACUUCAACCAGUUGAGGUUCAACCUUGACCGGUUGAACAACCGUUCUGGAAGAAAGAGAAAGUUUUUUGCACCCUCGACCGGUUGAACUAGGGGUCUACCCGGGCCUCGACCGGCUGAGCUGUGGGUUGACCCGGACCUCGACCGAUUGAGCUGGGGGUCGACCCAGACCUCGAUCGGUUGAGCUUGCGGUCGACCGGUUCCUCACCCGGUUCAACCGAUUGAGUCGUUUUUUGGCUCAACAACCACCUUUUUCAACUUAAAACCUUUUAAAAUAAGUUUGAAAGACAUUUAACACAAAGUUUUAGUUGAAAACAUGAAAUCAUCCAAUUCUUAAAAUAUUUAAAACAAAAUAACUCUUGAAUGAUUUUGGUGCAUAAGUAAAGAAUGUAAUGCAUGAAAAUCCUAGUGCACUAACAACCUUACAAAGAGAUCUUAUGAAGUUUGGAUCUUGAAAAACUUUUUUUUUUGAGGUGGUCUUCUUCUUCAUGAUUUCUCCUUGGCUUGAUUUGUCUUUGUGAUUGCCACUUUGGAAAUCGUCUUGCUUAAUCACACUUGAAAUAUAGUCAUUAGUUCUAAAGCUUAUUUUGUUAUCAUCAAAAUCAAGAUUAAUCAAACCUUGGUUUCACAGUUAUCAUUGUCUUUUUUUGUUGAUCUUCGUGUAAUAAUUCCUAGUAAAGAAAUUAAAGAAAAACAAAAGAAAACACGCACAGAUUUAAUGUGGUUAGGUAGAUUGCCUACGUCCAUGGGAACAAGGAAAAAGACUUUCACUAUAUUUCAAUUAAUGUUACAUAAAAGGGUAUUUAUACUAACCCUCAAGUAUUGAAAUUCCAAAAAUACCCUUGAACAGUACCACGGGGAGGCGUUGUCCCCCGUACCCCCCCAACCUAUCGUUUACCCUUAACAAUAAAAAUGCAAAAUUAAAUGGCAAAUGUCAUCGUUCUACUUCGACAUUUGCCCAUUUUUCUCCAUAUGUCUUUUACUCAAUAUGAGCCACAUAUAAUUCAAUUAAUACCUACACUCAUUUUUUUUUGUCCCUGAUGCAACAAUCCCUCAUUCUCCUUAAUGGAUCCCUUGAAACCCUUAUCAAAAUUUGCACUAUGUGUCUGUCAAACCUUUGUUGUUGAUGAAAGGUUCUUGUAAGAAAGAUUUGAAAGGUUUCAAAGAUGGAUGUACAAGCUUUAAAAAUAAUGAUAUUUUUUUAAGGUUUAAGGGUCCACCAAUUUUUAAUAAAACAAAUCUAUGUAUACUUGCAAAACCCUAAUAAUUAAUUAUGGGGAGUUUCUGAAUUUUAAACCACUUUAAAAAUGACUUUCUAGAGUCAGAAAUGAAGGGAGAGACAAAAAAUCAUCAACAAGAUGUUUGAAUGCUUGUGGGGGGAAAGGGGAAAGAAAGCUUAAAUGCCCUUGAGAAGCAUUUGAACACCCCUCAAUACAUUUGAAUGCUCACCUUUAAUUAUCUCUUUAUUUUUGCAAUAUUUCGAGCUUUUCUCCAUAUGUUUCAUCCCAAUUUCAUAUUUUAUCCAUUCCAUAAGUUUUAUCAACUUUAGAUGCAUACAUAUCUCAAAAAACAUUGACAUUGAAAAGAUUCAACGUUAGCCUUGAAGAAGUCUGAAGUUAAAUAGAAGUUGACAAGACCUAAGGAAGUAUGUCACGUCUAAUCAAUAAGAAAUAUAACAAAAUUGUCAACUAAAUCUAAUACAUCAACAAAUUCAUAUGAGAAGAAAUCAGUUCCCUCUUGUAAUACAAGCUUUGGUGUGUAGUUAAUCCUAUAUGAAUUUUUUAUAUUGUCUUUGAGGAAAGAAAAGUGGCUUUAAAAAUCACCUGUGGGGAUUAAGAUCAAGUGGUAUAUAUGUAUGUACGUAUGUAUGGAGAGAUAGAGAAAUCAACCUCCUUGUGCAAUUGCAUUUUCCAUAGUUAUUGUUGCAUACCAAAUGUUGUUUCAUAUGGUUCAUCUUUGAGACCAUACAAUCACUACCUACCCAAUUUGAAAUGAAACUCUAUUUUGGUAAUGCUUUAUCUAAGAAUGAAAAUAGUUGACAAGGAGUAGAGCAUGUAAAAACAUUUUCCUAUUUGAUUUAGGUUAAGGGUUAUCAAACACAUCCACCAUUCAUGUCUUCACACCUAGCUACUUUAUUGAGAAAAUUAAAAAAGAAAGAGUAGGUCCAAGAGAAAAAAUAAGUGUAUUUAACAUCAUCCUAGGUUAUUAAUAUAUAGUUAAUAAAAAAAAUUCGAAUUACCUUUAGAGAUGCCUAAGAAUCCCAAUUUGAUUGUUUCACAGACAAGUUUUCUACCCCAAGUCAUGCAUGGAACUAUAAAUGCAAGAACAACUCAAGAUUUUUAUAACACAAGAGCCUUGACCUUUGUUCUCAAGAAGAAAACUAAAAAACUUCAAGAGAGGACAUUUUUGGGAGAAACCUCUAUUAUGUUGUUAAUAAUAAUAAUAAUAAUAAUAAUAAAAAGAUACUUUCUUAAUCCAUUUUUCUCAUUAUUAUUAUUCUUUUCCAUAACUUUCGAUAGUUAAAAACUCCCAGAAAAUGCUUCGUCUACUUUUAAAAAUAUUAGAUGAGGUCGGGUUGAGCUAUAUAUAUAUAUAUAUAUAUAUAUAUAUAUAUAUAUAUAUAUAUAUAGACACACACGUAUGUAUGUAUGUAUGUAUGUAUGUAUGUAUGUAUUAUCCAAACUCAUGGAAUGACCAAUGUCUGACAUACAUUUGAUUAGGUUGUUCCUUUCUCCAAAUAGGCAUUAAUAAAUCAAUUUAUGAUUAUGCAUCAAUAUUAGUCUAAAUACCAUGUGCCAUUGAGCCUGUUAGAGAAUUAAAU